rnacentral:lncRNA from 1 species
UGGAAUCAUAUUACGAUGGAAGCAGAGGCAACACCACAAUACUGUUUCCUAAUCUUCGUGAGCUUGUACUGAGCAGAUGUCCCAAGCUAACUGAGAUAGUACCGUUGGAGAAGCUGCCAAGGCUUGAAAGCGUACAAUUAAGGGACCUGGAAUCCUUCAAUGGUUCACUUGCACAUGUGGAAUCUGAAUGCCCUAAAUUCCUCUCCCUCGUUCGCUUGAAAAUAGAGAUCUGCCCAAAUUUUGUAUGUUUUCCAGAUGGAGGGAUGGAUGCACCCAAAUUGGAGGAGCUGCGUAUCUCUCAAUGCAAGAAAUUGAGGUCACUGCCAGAACAAAUGCAUAUCCUUCUACCGUCUCUUCAACGUUUGAAAGUAUUCGGCUGUCCAGAAGUGGAAUCAUUUCCUCAAGGAGGGUUGCCCUCAAAUUUACAAGGCCUUUCUUUUGAGUGUUAUAGAAAACUCGCUGCAAACCGCUCACUGUGGGGUUUAACAAGACUCAACUCUCUUAGAAAUUUGGAAAUCAGUUUCACUGAAGAAGGUGGAGAAGAAACGGGAUGUUCGUUUCCGGAAGAGGGUUUGCUGCCCGCCACUCUCACUAGUCUCUCCAUCUGCUUUCAUCCAAAUCUUAGAACCAUCCAAGGCAAGGUUUUGAGACAACUCACCUCUCUUGAACACCUCACAAUACAAGGAUGCCCUGAGCUCCAGGGCUUUCCAGAACAAAUGCAUACCCUUAUACCGUCUCUUCAAAAAUUGAGAGUGUUCGGCUGUCCAGAAGUGGAAUCAUUUCCUCAAGGAGGGUUGCCCUCAAAUUUGCAAGACCUUUCUUUUGAGUGUUGUAGAAAACUCGCUGCAAACCGCUCACUGUGGGGUUUAACAAGACUCAACUCUCUUAGAAGGUUGGACAUCAGUUUCACUGAAGAAGGUGGAGAAGAAAUGGGAUGUUCGUUUCCGGAAGAGGGUUUGCUGCCCGCCACUCUCACUAGUCUCUCCAUCCGCUUUCUUCCAAAUCUUACAACCAUCCAAGGCAAGGUUUUGAGACAACUCACCUCUCUUGAAGACCUCACAAUACGACGGUGCCCGGAGCUCCAGGGCUUUCCAGAAGAAGCGCCCAAAUCUCUGAAAAGCUUGACUAUUUGGGAGUGCCCUAAUAUCGGGUGCUUGCCGGGAGAAUGGCUUCCCACAUCUCUUUCACUACUGCAAAUCUGGACGUGUCCGCUGUUAGAAGAACGAUUCCGAAGAGAGACAGGGGAAGAUUGGCCAAAGAUUUCUCACAUCCUCCAUAAAUAUAUACAUUAGAUGUCCUUGAGAUUAGUACUUGCCGAACUCUCUCUCUCUCAAUCAGGUGUGUGUGUCUAUAUGUAUAUAUACAAAUCAUUUGAAUGACCCAAAACACUUUAGUUGGGUACUUUUCUGAUAGUUAUUUUUUUACUGCUAUGUUUUUUAGUAUGUUUGGUUAGUACUCCAGCUCCAGGCUCAUUAUCAUUGUAUGUAAGCUGUCUCGAUCCAUCCGAUUUGUGUGGUCAGUUUAAUCAAGAGAGCUUUAAUGAAAAGAAUUUAAACUAAGUUUAAAUUAAUCAAAAAUCAUCUUAAAUUAUUUUUUAACUAAAAAGCUUCAUAUUUAAUAGGAAGGACAAACUAAUUUAUAUUAGGUCCUACAAACAGUAAAAGACAUUGGCUGAAUUAAAAAGCCGAACAUGCAAUUUUUUUUUUUUUACAGCCAUGCCCAUGACCGAAACUUCAUUCUGCCAGCCCAAUUCCGUUAGAAAUAAAUUUUUCUUUAUUUACAGGUAUGUCACUACCUCAUUAAAACCUAAAUAUCAUAUGAAAAUGAAAAUUUUAAAAGUUUCCAUGAAUUCUCCCAUCAGGACGUCCCUGAUCGUAGCAUUGAGUGAUUUGACUCUUAAAUAAAUACAAAAAUAAGCUAUUAUCAUCAAUGUUACCUAUUUUUAAUGUUUUAAAUAGGAAUGCAUCUUAAUAAUCAAGCAGCGUGAAUAAAAUCAAAUUAAUCUUAUAGUUCGACUACAAAACAAAACCAGCACAUGAAAUUAAAAUUACAUAGUAGCAAUAUCCCAUACAAGUGGCCUUGUUAUUUUUUUAUUUUUUUUUUAUACAAAUCAAUUUGGAAAUCUUAUUAUUUUCAUUCUCAUCCUACAAUGUUGCACGAUGAUUUGAACUGUUUAUCUUUAGGCCAUCAUUUAAAAACCAUCUCUACAAAAAGCUAAAUGCAUUCAAAAGUUUUUGCUCAUGUAACGAUUAUUCAAUAAUUCUUUUGAACACUGAAAUUAUGACAAUAUUAUUCUAAAAUGGUUUGACGAUAUCUUGUUUGGUUCUUUUGUUGCAAAUAAUACUAGAUAGGGAAGUUUUUUUUGGUAAAAGAAAUAAAGGAAAUAAAAUAGCUGGCAUGACAUCAUACUCACCAAUCACGAUGUAUACGUUCCAUACAUGUGGGGGUCUUGGCCUCUCAUUUUUUCUCUCCCUCACUUACUUACAAAUACAUGAAUGCCCAAAUUUUGUAUGUUUUCCAGAUGGAGGGAUGGAUGCGCCCAAAUUGGAGGAGCUGCUUAUCUCUCGAUGGAAGAAAUUGAGGUCGUUGCCAGAACAAAUGCAUACCCUUCUACUGUCGCUGUCAAUCGUCUCUCCAUCUACAAUCUUCCGAAUCUUACAACCAUCCAAGGCAAGGUGUUGAGACAACUCACCUCUCUUGAAAACCUCAUAAUAGACGGAUGCCCUGAGCUCCAGUGCUUUCUUGAAGAAGCCCCCAAGUCUCUAAAAGGCUUGACUAUUACGAGAUGCCCUAAACUCGGGUGCUUGCCAGGAGAAUGGCUUCCCACGUCUCUUUCUUAUCUGCAAAUCCAUUUGUGUCCUCUGCUAGAACAACGAUUCCAGAGAGACGGGGGAAGAUUGGCCCAAGGUUGCUCACAUCCCCGCGUGUAUAUAUUAUAGAUCUUCUUGAACUUGGCUCUCUCUGUCUCUCUCAGGUGUAUGUGUAUAUCCCUUGUUGUUUUGCCACAAACUCUUCCUAAUGCAACAACAUAGGGGGGAGCUGGUAUAGCCCUUGUUGUUUUGCGAUGGAGUAGUACUAUGUACAUGAUUACUAGGCUAAAACAAGUGCAAAUUUGAUUUCGUUAAUUUGUCUAUUCGACUAUAUAACCUUGCUCAUUGUCAUUGUAUGUAUCAUGCUGUCUCGAUCCAGCCGAUUUCAUUUCAUGUUUGAUAGGGCCAUCAAGUUCAGCUCCUCCUAAUACCAUUAAGUUCGUCACUGUUUGGUUAAUGUCUGGCACCGUGAAGAACAAAAGUGAAGAGUUUCCAUUCUGCAUUACAUGAUCCCUGUCAAACUUUAAUCAUUAGCAGAUCCCAAUUUCAUUCAAAGCACAAAGCUUAAAUCCAACUACUACUAAAAUAAAACCACAUUACCAAAAACUAGAAGGAAUCAUAAAACCGAAAAAACCCAAGAAAUUCGAAGUUUUACGCUUUCAAUUUACGAAAAACAAGAACAAGCAGUAUAAUUUGUCGUGUCUAAAAAUCUGGUUUAGACAAAUCAUCAAACACCUGGUGUACAUCGAGCACCCAGUCUCAGAGAAAGGAGAAAGACAUAGUUUACUUGGGGGAUUGCAUGAGGGAAAGCUUGAGUGAGCCGAACCGUAGAUUCGCCCAUCGAAUAGUGCAGACAUUAACGGUGAAGUCCAACCCUUCCGCAUUGAACCGGGAGGCUUUUGGCACGUCCUUGUGCAGCUGCAGUAGCCACCUAAACGACUCCGCUGCCAUUUUUUCCCUUGCUUUCUAGGCUGUGUACUUCUGAGUAUGUAAAUGGGUCACCCGAACCUAAUCCGAACCUAAUCCGUUAAUCUAACGGGUCAUCCAAAUCCGACCCGUUAAGCUAACGGGUCACCUGUUUCAUCCGUUAACAGUUAUUAUUAUUAUUUUUUUUCAUAGAGUUUAUAUUUUGUUGUUAAGAUUUUAUUGAAAUUACUAAAACAUCCUCAAUUAACAGGUGCUAACGGGUUGACCCAAAGUGACCCGUUAUUUAACAGGUUCACCCGUUAACGACCCGACCCGUUAAGCAUCCACCCAAAUACUAAUAUUAACGGGUCAGAUCGGGUUAACGGGUCGGAUCCAAAAUGUCAGGUCUACUUCUGACUGAAGGAAACUGACUCACUGGUUGUCGUUUCAACCGUGAGUCGUGACUGAUAUUAGACGACAUGUCGUUUUGAGGGUCUCAAAGUUAAAUUGGGGGAUUAUCUUAUGAUGCAUGGACCCGGAUAUAUAUACUCAGCUUAUAUCGGUCCCACCUCUAAACUUUGGUGAUAAUUAUUGUUAUACAGAAAAAUUUCUUAUUUGGACGUAAAUAUUAAAGGGAGUUUUAACGAAAAGCUCAUGAUACUGUUCAUUUUAACGAAAAACCACAUUUUUACACUAAAAAGUCAAACCUGCUACUAUUCACUUUACCCUUUAUUUUGUCCUUAUCGUUAAAACUCAAAUUUUUCAAGUCAUUUUUGUUAGUUUUCCUAAUAUUAAAAUUUCAUUAGAGGUUGUCAUUCAAUUGUUACAUUUUAGGAUGAAAGUUGCGCUUUAGCUUUACUUGACUCCUGUUUUCAUAAUUUUUUUUCUUUUUCAAUUUUUGACCUAAUCUUAGACAUGAUUGCUUCUUUUAGAGUAUCAAGAGAUUCUACAAGCUUAAGCUUUAUGAUUGAACUCUCACAGUGUUGGUGAUGUCCAACCUUCUAAGAGAGUUGAGUCUUGUUAAACCCCACAGUGGGCGGUUUGCAAUGAGUUUUCUACAACACUCAAGACAUUGGACAGCCGAAUACUCCUAAUUCCCUCGUUCACUUGGGAAUAGACAACUGCCCAAAUUUUUUAUGUUUUCCAGAUGGAGGGAUGGAUGCGCCCAAAUUGGAGGAGCUGCUUAUCUCUUGAUGCAAGAAGUUGAGGUCGUUGCCAGAACAAAUGCAUACCCUUCUACAGUCUCUUCAGAAAUUAGGAGUAUUCGGCUGUCCGGAAGUGGAAUCAUUUCCUCAUGGAGGGUUGCCGUCAAAUUUACGAGUCCUUCGUCUUGAGUGUUGUAGAAAACUCGCUGCAAACCGCCCACUGUGGGGUUUAACAAGACUCAACUCUCUUAGAAGGUUGGACAUCAGAUUCAGUGAAGAAGAUGGAGAAGAAAUGGGAUGUUCGUUUCUGGAAGAAGGUUUGUUGCCCGCCACUCUCACUAGUCUCUCCAUCAGCUUUCAUCCAAAUCUUACAACCAUCCAAGGCAAGGUUUUGAGACAACUCACCUCUCUUGAACACCUCACAAUAAAAGGAUGCCCGGAGCUCCAAGGCUUUCCAGAAGAAGCACCCAAAUCUCUGAAAAGCUUGACUAUUUCGGAUUGCCCUAAUAUCGGGUGCUUGCCAGGAGAAUGGCUUCCCACAUCUCUUUCUCGACUGGAAAUCCGAAGGUGUCCGCUGUUAAAAGAACGAUUCCGGGAAGAUUGGCCCAAGAUUUCUCACAUCCCCAAAAUAUAUAUCAGCAUGAAUGUUCGCGUCAUCCCAAAACACUUUAGUUGGAUACGUUUCUGAUGGUUAUUUUUUAGGAAAAUUAAUGAAAAGGGUUUGAAAACUUUGAGUUUUAAUGAUAAGGACAAAAUAAAGGGUAAAGUGAAUAGUACCAGGAUUGACUUUUUAGUGUAAAAAUGUGAUUUUUCGUUAAAAUAAACAGUACCGGGAGUUUUUCGUUAAAGUUUCCUAUUUUUUUUAGUAUGUUUGGUUAGUACUCCAGCUCCAGGCUCAUUAUCUUUGUAUGCAAGUUGUCUCGAUCGAUUCGAUUUGUGUUGCCAGUUUAAUUAAAUGAGCUUUAAUAAAAAAAGUUUUGACUAAAUUUAAUUUAAUCAAAAACCAUUAUAAAUUAAGGAAAACUCAUGAAAAGGGCUUGAAAACUUUGGAUUUUAACCAAAAACCAUGUUACAACUUUAUUUAAUGGUUAAUACAAAGCCCAAUACUAAAGCAAUCCAACUACAAUGGCCCAACCAAAAUAAUAUCAUUACUUGUCGAUUUUGCCCCUAACGUUUUAGGUUAAGUCAGUUUUGUUUUAUUCUGUCAGUUUACUUUUGCCCUUUUCAGAAAGCUGAAAAAGUCACGAUUCUUUAUAUUCACCCCCAACAACUCAUAAAUCCCACGAGCUCCCUCUCGCGCUCCCCCAUUCUCUCUUUCACUUUCUCUCUCUAACUUUGUAUCUGCAACUCCAUUUCGAUUUUUCAAGUUGAUGAUGGGAAACUGAUUUAGUGCGCAAAUAAAGAGAGGAGAGAGAAGAACACACAUAAAUUCUGGGUUUUAUUCAUCUGUCAUUUGAUUUUCUAAUCCCGGAUUGCUUCUCGUUUGCUUCCAAAUCCUGAAUUAUUUCUUGAAGUCAAUGAGGGUGUUGAAUUUUAUUAGUCCGAGGUUGGUGAGUCAUCACAGAAGAGGGUUUGUAUUUCAAUUCGGAAGGAGGGAGGUUGAUUCGGUGGAACUGGAUUUGUCAAAGUGGGUGAUUGGGGGCUCCGCCGAUGGAUUCGCAAUGGCAACAGAAACUGAUUCGCUGGCAAGGUGAUGUGGAGUUAAAGGGCACUCAAUGCACUAAAACUGAUGUGGGUUUACAAUGUUAGCAUGUAAAACUCUUAACAAAUUCUGCUAAAGUUAUUCUUGUGACUCUCUCAAACUCGCAUCUCGGUGGGUUUACAAGGGGUGGGCUAGGUUCAAUUUGGUCUGGGUUGUGGGCGACCAAAACUGAUGUGGGUAUUUUUGUAUGCGUAAAUGGAGAGAGAAGCUUAGUUUGUGUGGAAAAACAAAUUAAAGGAAAGUCAAAAAAAUUGAUUGAGAGAAAUGUCAAAUAACAAACACGAAUAUGAUAGUUCUAGUUACGAAAUAGUGAUAGUAUUAGUGUUCGGUUUUAAAAAUAGUCAGUGUUUAGUUUACGAACUAGUGAUAGUACUAGUGUUCUAUUUGAGAAAUAAUCAGUGUUUAGUUUACAAAACAGUGAUAGUACUAGUGUUCGUUUGAUAAAUAGUCAGUGCUUAGUUUACGCAAUAGUGACAGUACUUGUGUUCAGUUUAUGAAAUAGUGAUAGUACUAAUGUUCGGUUUAAGAUAUAGUCAGUGUUUAAUUUGAGAAAUAGUGUUCAUUUUAAGAAGUAGUCAAUGUUCAGUUAAGAAAUAGUGAUGGUACUAGUGUUCCGUUUGAGAAAUAAUCAGUGUUUAGUUUACGAAACAGUGAUAGUACUAGUGUUCCGUUUAAUAAAUAGUCAGUGUUUAGUUUACGAAACAGUGAUAGAACUAGUGUUUGUUUGAGAAAUAGUCAAUGUUUAGUUUACGAAACAGUGAUAGUACUAGUAUUCCGUUUAAAAAAUAGUCAGUGUUUAGUUUAUGAAACAGUGAUAUUACUAGUGUUUCGUUUAAGAAAUAAUCAGUGUUUGGUUUACGAAAUAAUGAUAGUACUAGUGUUCGUUUGAUAAAUAGUCAGUGUUUAAUUUUCGAAAUAGUGACAAUACUUGUGUUCAGUUUAUGAAAUAGUGAUAGUACUAAUGUUCAGUUUAAGAUAUAGUCAGUGUUUAAUUUAAGAAAUAAUGUUCAUUUUAAGAAGUAGUCAAUGUUCAGGUAAGAAAUAGUUAUAGUACUAGUGUUCCGUUUGAGAAAUAAUCAGUGUUUAGUUUACGAAACAGUCAUAGUACUAGUGUUCAAUUUAAUAAAUAGUCAGUGUUUAGUUUAUGAAACAGUGAUAGUACUAGUGUUCGUUUGAUAAAUAGUCAAUGUUUAGUUUACGAAAUAGUGAUAGUACUAGUGUUCCGUUUGAUAAAUAGUUAGUGUUUAGUUUACGAAAUAGUGACAGUACUAGUGUUCGUUUGAUAAAUAGUCAGUGUUUAGUUUACGAAAUAGUAACAAUACUUGUGUUUAGUUUAUGAAAUUAGAGGCCAAUACAAACCUUGUAUAAUCUAUUUAUGAAACAGAACACGGGUACUAUUUAUGAAACUGAACACGAUUACUAUUUAUGAAAUAGGACACGGAAACUAUUUAUGAAACUAAUCAAGGGUACUAAUUAUGAAAUUGAACACGGGUACUAUUUAUGAAACAGAACAUGAAAACUAUUUAUGAAACUGAACACGGGUAUUAUUUACGAAACAGAACACGAAAACUAUUUAUGAAACUGAACACGGGUACUAUUUAUGAAAUUGAACACGAUUACUAUUUAUGAAACUGAACACGGAAACUAUUAUGAAACUGAACACAAAAAUUAUUUAUGAAACUAAACACGAGUACUAUUUAUGAAACUAAACACAUAUACUAUUUAUAAAACUAAACACGAGUACUAUUUAUGAAACUUCAAAUAUACCAAAUACAACAAUGUACCAUUUUUUUCAUUCGUGAGAAUAAAGUAGAAACAUACAACAUGUUGAGUAAAUCAAGAAAGCAUAUGCCACCACCAAACUUAUAUUAAAAAUCGUAACUUUUAAUUUGAACACAUCACAAUUUCCAACACAAUAAUCCAAAAUUAACUAAACUAAUCAGUCAAGUAGAAAUCAGGAGUGCAGAUCUUCUGCACCGAAAAUUAUAUGUGGCCUCUCAUUGGCUUCCCUCAAAAUUUACACUUGUCCCUCAAUUGAUUCAAUAUAACAUUGUUAACUAUCCAAAUAAAAACUCUGAAAAAAAAAAGAAAAGAAAGGAAAAUAGCAGCCCAUUACCCAGUCUUCACCUACCAACGCCACUAGCGCACAAUCCAUCAUCAACCCCACCGCGUCCAAAAUUGCAAAACCAAAAAACAAGGGGAUUUUUUUCGAGUGAGGAAGGUGAAAGGUCUGCGACUCUCUGUCCGAGAAAAAAACAACAAGGGGCAUUGAUUCCAUCUGCAUCAAAGUAAUUUUUUUGUCCUUAUGGGAGGAAAAGAAAAGAAAAAGAUAGGAAGUUUUAUUUGAUCGAGGGGAUGGCUGAAAAGGGGAAUCAGUUUCUGUUGCCAUUGCGAAUCCAUCGGCGGAGCCCCCAAUCACCCACUUUGACAAAUCCAUUUCCACCGAAUCAACCUCCCUCCCUCCAAAUUGAAAUACAAACCCUCUCAUGUGAUGACGCACCAACCUCGGACUAAUCAAAUUCAACACCCCCGUUGACCUCAAGAAAUGAUUCAGGAUUGAAGUUUAAUUCUAACAGAUUGGUUGACAGAAUGCGAUUUCUGUUAGGGGCAGGGGCUGGAAAAAAAAAUAUUCUGUUUUGGGUUUUUAAUUCAUCCCAUGUGGGUUUAAUGGUUGUGGGCCUAAAAUAGAUUAGUUUUGUCCUUAUAAUUAAAUAUAAAGCCCUUUUGAUUAAAUAAUAGUAUAUGGUGGUUUUUGGUUAAAUUAAACUUUGUUCAAACCAUUUUCAUUAAAGCUCCCUAUAAAUUAUUAUUUAACUGAAAAAACUUCAUAUUUAAUUAUAAGAACAAACAAACUUAUAUUAGGUCCUGCAAACAGUAACAGACAUGGACUGAAUUAAAAAGCCCAACAUGCAAUAUCUUUUUUUCCAGCCAUGCCCCUGACAGAAAUGUCAUUCUGUCAGCCCAAUUCCAUUAGAAAUAAAUUUUCCUUUUUUUACAAGUAUGUCACCACCUCCCAAAGCCCAAAUAUUAUAUGAAAAUGAAAAUUUUGAAAGUUUCCAUGAAUUCUCCUAUCAGAACGUCCCUAAUUGUAGCCUAAGUGAUUUGACUCUUAAAUAAAUAAAAAAAUAAGCUAUUAUCAUCAAUGUUACUUAUUAUUCAUGUUUGGGCGAAGUGCUGAUUUAGUCCCUGAACUAUCACCUCAGUGAAAAUUAGGUCCCUGAAUUAUUUUUUUCGGUAAAAUAAGUUCCUAAAUGCAUUAGAAAUUGCUAAUUUCAUUCAUACUAUUAUAUUCAUGAGAGCUUUAAUGAAAAGUGACACACCCCGAUCCGGAGGAUCCAGGUGUGCUGGCCGUCACGUGGGCGUGACGUAACCAUAGGCACGACACGGAAGCGGAAUAACAACAUCAAUCAACAGAAGUUCAAACCAAACUCAAACAUAACCAUCUACGGACAUAACCGGACGAGUUAUAAGGUAAACACAUAAGUUCAGAGCAUAGGUUAACUGCAGUCAAGUAGGACUAAAAUAAAAUACAUCACCCUCAGGUGAGUCCUACAUGUCGAAAGUCUGUUAGAAAGCCGGAAAAGACCUCGAGAGUCACCAGCCGCUAAAUUAGAACCUGGAGGGGCGCAAAACAAAAUGAGUGGGUCAGUAAAAACCAAAGAUUUUCCAAAACAUUUCAAUUAAAACAUUUCUAACCCCUCACCGUAAAACCUGUAUACAUUCCCAGAAAAUAUAUAUAACCAUAUGAAAUCUCAAAACUUAAAUCUCAAACCUUUAACAUUUUUCAAGAAAACAUGCCAUGCCAUAAAUCAAAAUAUAAAUCAGGUGAAAUAAGGAAUCAAUCGGAGACCAUGCAGUUGGUCCUAUACGAUUAAUUCAAUAGCUCAAUAUCCCACUAAGCCGGAGUCACCACAGUGACCUGUACGGCCCUACUCUGCACAUCACUCGGAACUACGUAAGGUAGUCUAUACGAUGAAAGGUGUAAAAAUACGCUUUAGUGCUUCACUCAUCAUAUCAUCAGUGCGCAUAACUAAGGUCACCCACUAGUCGGAAUCACGCCUAGUGAUCUAUACGACUAGCAUGUCGGAACCCUCACAUGGUCUGUACGACAUCCACCUACUUGGAUCCGAGGCGAGCGUGCGGUGUGGUGAAUAAUAUAAGCACUAACACCUAGGGUGCAUGUUAUGAGCUCAAAACAUCUCAACAACAACAAUUCAAUGAAUAAAUGAACUCACCUGACUUACCUGUGCCUCCACAGCACCAUGCAACAUGUAUGCAUCAUAUAUCAAUCAUAUAUCUCAUGUGAAAUUCAUAUUCAUCAAAUAAUCCUAUGCAUGGCAUUUUAAAACAUAUUUUCAUAUAAAUUCAUUUUUCUGGGAAAAAUCGAUAGUAUAAAGGUAAUACGAAAGCAAAACUGCCCAUUCACUGAUAAGUCGACGGGUCGUAACCCCCGUGGCGUCCCUGGAUGCGGUCGUCCUCGGGAUACGUCUCACCUAUAUGCGAAACAACUAAAAUGACAUUAUUUAAAGCACAUCACCAACGUUUCGUAAUAAUUUCUCAUACGAUACUCAAUCUUGACAAAUGAAUACACCAACGCGAUCUACACAACCUCACGAGCAUCGCAAAAUUUUUAAAAUAAUUUUUUGAAGCCUCACGCGCCCCCACGCGCCAAAACAGGCACGGGUCUACGCGCCCCCACGCGCAGCCACGUGCGAGUCAUGCGGACGGCGUCAGUUGACGCCGUCAGGAAUAUUCCCGGAAUAUUUCGUCAGAACUAACGGUUACCGUUACUGCCGUUAGGAAUAUUCCGUUAAAACUAACGGAAUAUUCCUCCUUCUUCUCCGACCUACCCUCGCCGGACUCUGGUCACCGGAAAACUGGGAAAAUUUUCUAACUAGCUAUUCUCACUCAUUUUUCGUCCAUUUUUCUCGUACUUUACACCAAAAUGAAGCCCUAAAUGAGUACUAUCACGAUGGACUAAUUUUAAACACCAAAAAGCACGGGAUCAUACCUUCCAAAAAUCCAAGAAAAUCGGCCAAACUCGAACUAGGUGAUCUCGACGUCCAAUUCUUCCAAAUGAAGCACUCCGAGCUUCCUUAGGACUUCACCAAGCUUCCUACAAGCUUCAAAAUCCCAAAAACUUAAAGAUUUAUGUGUGCAUGAACAGUGCACCACCACGGGGACUUUGAAAUCUAGGGUUUUCGAAGGAAACAUUACCUGAAAGUGGUGUCAGUGCAUUCGUGAAGUCUUCAGGAGUCCAUUGGUGUCCUCAAGAUCGUCGAUCCACAAAGUUUGGAAGGGUUUUGGGAUCUGUCCGUACAAUUUGGAGAGGAAGAGAGACUAAGAGGGAGAGAUCGUGAGGGAAGAGAGAGAGAGGGAAGACACGGGGAAGGAGAAGGAGAGAGAUCUUUUUGUGGUCCACACCAAUCCACCCAUACAUUUCAUCCUAACCAUACAUAAAAAUCCAUCUUUCAAAAUAUUUUCUAAUACCCUUGCAUAAUAUUUGAACAAAUAAAGUCUCACACACACGUACCUUAACAACGUCAAGGGCAAUCUCGUCAUUUCAUAUUCCCGUCAAAAGUACUUCUGGGACGGGCUGUGACAAAAAGGGCUUGAGUUAAGUUUACUUUAACAAAAAAUCAUCCUAUACUAUUAUUUAACCAAAACGGCUUUAUAUUUUAUGAUAAGAACAAAACUAUUAUAUAUCAGGCCCUAUAAACCUUGAAUACACAUGGGCUGAAUUAAAAGCCCAAAACGAAAUACUUUUUUUUUUUCCAGCUCUUACCCCUAACGGAACCCCACUCCGUCAGCCACUCCAAUUAGAAAUAGACUUUCCUUUUUUACAAGUAUGCCACUUCCUCAUUAAAAAACAAAAUAUUGAAAUAAAAAACCCCAAUAAUUUAUACGAUCACAAAUCUCAUCUUGAAUUUUGUUCGUUCUUGCUUCGUUAAUUUUAAAUCGGAGGGAAAAAUGUUAGGACCUGUUUGGUUGCUCAGAAAAUUUCACUGAGAUUCUGUUUUCUGUUUAGAGUUUGAAACUUGCAGAGUUAAUUUCAAUGGAGGAAGCUCAGAAUGGAGCCCUCAUUUUUGCGUUUUAUUAUGCUGAUUUGAGUUCCGAAAGACUGAAAAUCCCAAAAAGAUUCAUGAGAAAAAUGGAAGGCAGAAUAACUGGGUUGGUUUUUUUGUUCGACCUUAGCGGCAGUGCGUGGAGGAUUGAAUUGAUUCAACAGAAUGGUGGUUUUUUCUUGCAUCAUGGGUGUAGUGGCUAAGCCAGAAUUUGUCGAGGGGAGGGGCGAAAUUCAAAAGAAUGCAAGGUUUCAAUUGAAGCGGUUGCUUUUAUAUUGGACAGUGCAAAGUUUUAAGUCAAUAUUCAUAACAAAAAACAGUCUCUUCACCACAACGGUUGUAAGCGGUAAUAUCAAAGCUAUGUAAGAAGCUUAAAUUGGUUAGGAUUAGAUUCUAAGAAAAUAUUAGGCGCUAUGGACUGAGACCUAGCAGCUAGGCGCCUAGACAUGAUUUAAGUAGGAGCCUAGAUGGAUUUAAAUAUAUUUUUUAUAUCGUAAAAUAAGUAUUAAACAAUAUUUAUAUUAUUUUUUAAAAAUUAGUACAAUAUUUAUAGAUAAUAUGAAAGUUUAAGAUAAAUAUGCUAUGGGUCUUAAAUAAAUAAUGUGAGAGUUAAACAUAACUUUGUUAACUUUUAAUAAGUUAACAAAUAAAUAAUAAAAAGUAAAUUAAAACCAGGGGUAGAAUCCCCUCAGUUCUUGCAAAACACAAAACAAUUGACCCCAAAUCAUAAUGAAAGAUCAAAUUCCAAAUUUCCAUCCCAAUUUUCCCUAGAAACAAACUGAAAAUUCUCUUUCUAGGAAGUAGAAGAAGCCGAAAAGAAAAGCAUCGCCGCUUGUCAGCGGUGGGUGAGGUGGUGUCUCUGCUUGAUUUCAACAUUAGUUCGGGUCUUUCUUCACAAAGCUUCGAGCCACCAUUUCCAUGGCCGGUGACAAAAUCUAUCGCAUAUGGAUUCUUCUUGUCCGUCAAUGGCGAACCCGCCUGUAGGCAGAUGACAUCUUCAAUGAUUUUUCUUCGAACCCAGGUGCGCCCACAUCCUGCCCCAUUUCCGUCAAACAAAUAAAGAAGGAGACAUGAAUGAGACACCACUUUCGGGACAGCAGCCCCGGAGCCGUAGUCAGUACUACUAUGUUGAUAACCAAACACCUCAUUUCUCCUACCACUACCCCUGCCAUGGCAAAUCUGCAAACUCGAAGUCGAAGCCCUUCAUCGAUCCCAUCGCAACCUACUCCCAAAAAAAAAAUUGCAUAUCUGCUGCUGCUGUGCGCAGUAGAACAGAUCACCCAACAACACAAACAGAGGAUGAACAGUGGGUUUUUCAAAGAGGAGGGGAGUGGCGAACCCAGCUCUGCAGUGGUGUUUCCCGGCGAAGCCGCCACUCCUCACCCUCACGUGGCUUUGCCACUGCAUGGGUGGUUAACAUUUGUGAUAGACCAUUACGUAGAAUGCUGGGACUUCUUGAUUUUUAGAUACGACGGUGAUUUGCGUUUCACCGUGCUAAUCUCUUAUAAAAGUUUGUGUGAGAAAGAAGCUGCAUUUCGUUUUGGAUAUAGCCAAGCCUCUAGCAACUUUGAAAAGUAUGUGUAUAUGGAACGAAAAAGGGGAAGGGAGGAGGCCGCAUCUUCUGGCAAUAAGCUGGUUGAUGGUGCGACGAAGAAGAUGAGAAAUGGCUUGUCUCAGUUCCACUCAGAAUGCAUCGAUGAGGGCUGAGAAGAAGCAACUUGUUCCAAGGAAGAAAAUCCACAUGAAAAUCCCUGGCUUGGAUGUUGUACUAAGAAAAGUCUGGUUUGGAUGUUGUUCUAUAUAUAUAAAGCAAAGUUUCAAAGAAAUGAGACCAUAAUAAAAAUCUUGUUGAGUAGCACCCACCAUUAACAUUCCAUCCUGCGCCACAAUGCUGGCAAACACUAGUAGUACUAGUGCAUUGUUAUUUGUUAUAGUACCUGUGAGCCAUUCAUCCAAAUUUCCUUAAACGUGCUUGUUACUUGUUUGAUUUUAUAUAUACAGCAUCAGCAUAGCACACAUAACUAAGAUGACUUGUCGUGAGGGUGGUGGGUUAGGAUUAGCUAAUUUGGUAAUCCAACUUCUGGUUGCCUAAUUGACUAAUAGUCUAAUUAUAAUUAAAGUCAUUGUCGUAAUUGCGUUCAAUGUUACUUAUUAGGAUGAGUUAUUUUGGUUCUGUUAAAAAAUAGUUAGUCAGUUUAAUAAAUAGUGUAGUACAUGUGUCAGUUUCAUAAAUAGUUUAAUAAAUAGUGUAGUACCCGUGUCAGUUUCAUAAAUAGUCAGCCAGUUUAAUAAAAAUAGUGAGUGACAAUGUCAGUUUCAUAAAUAGUGUAGUACAUGUGUCAGUUUCAUAAAUAGUCAAUCAGUUUAAUAAAUAAUGUUGUACCUAUAUCAAUUUCAUAAAUAGUCAGUCAGUUUAAUAAAUAGUGUAGUACCCAAUGUCAAUUUCAUAAAUAGUGAGCUUAAUAAAUAGUGUAGUACAUGUGUUAGUUUCAUAAAUAAUCAAUCAGUUUAAUAAAUAGUGUAGUACCCAUGUCAAUUUCAUAAAUAGUGAGUUUAACAAAUAGUGUAGUACUUGCAUUAGUUUCAUAAAUAAUCAAUUUAAGAAAUAGUUAGUGUUCAGUUUAAGAAAUAGUGAUAUUAUUAGUAAUCAGUUUAAGAUAGAGUGAUAGUAUCUGUGUUUAGUUUUCAAAAAUAGUUAGUAUUCAGUUUAAGAAAUAUUGUAGUAUUCGUAUUUAAUUUCAGAAAUAGUCUGUUUAAGAAAUAGUGUAGUAUCAAUUUUUAGUUUCAGAAAUAGUACAUGUGUCCAGUUUCAGAUAUAACCAUUAAAAAAAAAGAGUUUAAUAAAAAAAGUUUGGACUAAGUUAAUUUUAACCAAAAAAACAUCCUAUAAUCUUCUUUAAUAUAAGAAGCUUGAAAUUUAAUAAACAUGACAAAAUACAAUAUAACAAAAACUAAAACUAAAGCCUCAUAGGUAGUAAAUAAGCCCACAUGCAAAACCAAAUUUUUUUAUUCCAACCAAUACCCCUGAUGGAAACUCCAUUCCGUUAGUCCAAUUCCAUCAGAAAAUUGAUUUUUCCCAGGUUUGAACUGAAUGAAAGGUUUGUCGGGGCCACACUUCCAUUAAAUAUUAGUUUGGUUGCGUCGUGUCUGCAUGUCCAUGAGUUUUAGCCUCCAACUCUCCUUUCUCAGUAUCUUAGCCACUAAGAUGUGUCACAUGCCCCACUGCCUUCUCUAAUCUUAAAAAUUAGAACCUUCAUCCCCAAUUAUUACUCCGUUGUUAUUAUUUUAAUUAUUAAUUUAUUAGCACUAUAAUUAGGCAUAUAUAUGUAAGUAUAUCCACCACAAAAUAGCAUAUUAAAUUUCAAGUACAUCAAUCUUUCCCAUUUCUUAAAGACACCAUAGAAAGCAAUAGCAACUUCACUCAUUUUUUCUUCUUACUCAACAUUCUUUCAUUUAACCCGAUUUCCGACACAACCUGAAAAAGAAAUCGAAACCGUGAGAGAAAAGUGUAUGGCAUGUACCGCAGGUUUAUUGUCAUGUAUUUUUGAGCACGGCACAAAUUGCUUCUCUCUGCAUCUCCUCUCUUUAGUGUCUGAUUUUGGUUUGAAUGCAUGUGAUGUUCCUCAUCCUAUAUGCUAUCUUUUACUAAUUAAAUUUAGAGCCCAGUCAACAUCUUCCUCAUUUGUUUGCCAUAUCCAUAUACUCUUUCACUUGCAAAACAUUAAUCAUAUAUAAUUAAAAUUGAAUUGAUUAAAUCUCGAUUGGUCUCAACUUCCAAGGAAAAUAGAGGAACUAAAAUGAGAAAGAAGGAUUGCUUAUUUACUAAUUUAUAAAUUAGUAAGAAAUUAGAGGAAUUGAAUUAAGAAGGAUUUAGCCUGAGGAAGAUUCAAAAUCAAAAUCAUGUUAAAUGCUUAUUGAAAUAUUUAUAGAAUCAAGGUAAGAUUAAUAUAAAUUUCAUAUAAACUAUUUAUAAGUUAAACACACACACUCUCUCUCCCUCACUAUUUUUAAAAUGAUUAUUUAAAAAAAAUGAACACGGGUACUACAGUUGUGAAAUCUCGUUUCUGGAUUUCAUUAUUAUAAUUUACGUAUUGGUAUUAUAGAGAUUUUAUAUUAUUUUUUUCGGGACUCAGUAGACCAUUUGAGGUCACAAUUUAUAUUGUUGAAUAGAUAUCGAGAUCACGAACGCAUUGGCUAAAGCCGUUUGCAAGUUCGGAUUAUAACGGUAUAGUUACAAAUGUUUGAAGUUGUUGCUAAAAAAAAAAGAAAAUUGAAAAGAGAAGAAAAAGCCACGGGAGUGGCUGAAAAAAAAAAAGAAGUAAAGAAAGCCACACUGGUGGCGAGAGAAAAGAAGGAAAAAAAAGGGGAACGGACCCUUCUCCGCACACACAUACCCAUUCCGUCGAUCCGGUUAAUUUCGGUGGAUUUCUAGCCAUUUUCAUGCGAAUUUCACCCAAUCAUCACCUGAAAUCACCACCACAUUCCUUCUCCUUCGAUAUUCAUUCAAGAUUGGACGAAAAUUGGGUUGAAUUUGGUGAAACUCGCACCGGUGGGUGCGAGGGUUCCUUGUCUUCAAUCCACCAUUUUGGAAACGAUUUCCUUCGAUCUCCAUCGCCAUUGGACUCCCCUUGAGCCUUGGAACAAAGCCCAAUUAGUUGUAAGGGUGACAAAACACCAAGGAGGUCGAAUUGAAGCACAUCCAAUUUCUAAGGUUCCGGCGGGUUCAUCAUGAAUUGAGGUGUUUCUCGGCCAAAUUGGCCUUAGUCACAGGUAUCAAACUUCAUCUACUCUUCAAAAGCUUCAAGUUGGUAUGCUUGGUUCGUGCUUUCGUAUUCAUUUUAGUGUUGGGUGUUUACAACCCUAGAAAUCCAGUUUUCUUCGGUGAAUUUGGACAGUUUCCUGUUAGAAUUUAUCGUCGGCCUAGUUGUGAAAAGUGUUUCCCUUGUUGAGCUCUAGCUACGACGUAAAUUUGAACUCAUUUAGUUAAUAUUGAAAAUUCGGGUUUUCAAAACCCUCCAACUUGGCUACCACCGAGUAUGGCGGUGCGUGGGACCGUCCACGAGUGUUGUCUAAGUACUAAAUAUCUUUUAGUGACCCUAUGAACCUAUGUCUAGCGCGGUUUCCCGAAAUUCAAUUGUUUGAUGUGGUGAUCAAAUUGGACCACCAUUUGUUUGUAUGAUUGACGACAAUCCGAUCGUUGGAUUGUCAUACAAUUUUGUGAGCACCUUAGUUAUCAGUUGUUGGACCUUUGAGAACUUAUGGAUCGGAAAUCCGAUGUGCGGAUCUUCUGGUUUGAAUAACCUUAGAUUGUUGAUCUUAAUGGACUUACCUUAUCGACAGUGGACGUUCUAGUCAACGUGCUAUACUCUAGAGUGUCGUUUAUCUCUAGUUUGUUGUUGAGGCUUGAUGGAACUUAGUUGGCUCAUCACGAUGACGUGUGUUUCUCUGUUGACGUGUGUCUUGAUAUAUGUAUUAGUGGCAUCAUAUUGAGUUAUACUUGUUAAUUAAAUGUGCUUUCUAUUGAAGUGUUAUUUUAUUUUUAGCAUCGAUCUAUGUUUAUUAAUUGUGAUUCGACUGUAGCUUGGAAACGUUUAUGAAAUGUGGUUAGAUAUGUAUGAUCAGUAUGAUGUGUAUGAUUGUUUUUAGGACGAUGUGAACCUAGAAUCUUAUGAGAAGUAUUAUGUAUAACUUUAAUGCUUGUAUGAUAAGAUAGUUAGUGGUCAUGAGAAGUUGAUAGUGCAAUUGAUUCCGUUGAGUGAUGGUCUGAAAUCCCUUCUACUCCAUGAUUCCGUUGAGUGAUGGUCCGGAAUCGUAUCCUUGUUUGGAUUCCGUUGAGUGAUGGUUCGAAAUCCCUUCUACUCCGCGAUUUCGUUGAGUGAUGGUCCGGGUAUCCUUGUUUGGAUUCUGUUAAGUGAUGGUUCAUAAUCCCUUCUACUCCACUAUUCCGUUGAGUGAUGGUCCAGAAUCGUUUCCUGGUUUGGAUUCCAUUAAGUGGUCCAAAGUUACAUCACUUGACUUGUUGGUUUCUUAGAUUUGAUAUCAGCUUCAGAGAUGUAGGUUUGGCUUAACUGUGUCACUUUAGCCUUAGUUUUAGAAUAUUUGUGAGCAAUGGUUUUGAGAAUCUUGUGAAUUGAAUUAGAAAAGCUGUUGGACGUUUGGGUGACUCCUUCAGGAUUUUCUAUGAUUCGAUUAUGAUUUCAUAAAGUAUGAAUUUAGAAGAUAUGGUUAUAGUUGUUAUUAUUUUGGGCAAAUUAACUAUUAAUGUAGCUAGAGAAUUGUAUUGGGCUUCGUCGGUUCCUUGAUAUGAUAUAUAUUGUGAAUUGCGGUAUCAUGUUGCGACAUAAUGACUUAUAUAGAAGAUGGAAGGAAAAUCUUGAUUUUCAGGUGGGUUUGUUAUUUAACCCUGAGUCUAGUAAUUUCAUGCUUGUCAAGUUCUAUUGAUUGAUUGAAAAAUUUUAUGCCUUUCGGCUUAAAUGGACAAUGACAUAUGUCAAUUAUAGUGCAUGAAGAACUACGAAUGACUUGAUCCCUGUUUAGGGUACGUAGGUAGUCUAACAAGGAGGUUAGAUGCAGUCAUAAAGCAUAAGAAAAAUUAUUAUGCGAUUCGAUUAUCGAAUUGUGCUCUGCCCAUAUCCUGGAGGUGGGGUAUGAUAGAUACGGGUAUUUGGUAACGUCACGUGUCGAUCCUAGACGUAUGUCGGGAUCGGGGCGUGACAACAGUAUUUCUGAAACUAAACUCUACUAUUUAUGAAACUAAACACAACUACUACACCAUAUCUAAAACUAAACACUGACUAUUUAUGAAACUGAACACAUGUACUAUCAUUAUUUCUAAAAUUAAGCAAUGAUAAUAUCAUUAUUUUUUAAACUGAUCACUAACUAUUUUUGAACUAAACACGAGUGUUACACUGUUUUUGAAACUAGACCUUACUAUUUCUAAAAAUUGACCAGGAGUAAUAGCACUAUUUCUUAAAUUGAAUAUUGGUACUAUCACUAUUUCUGAAACUGAUCACGGAUACUGCACUAUUUCUGAAACUGAUCACGGAUACUACACUAUUUCUGAAACUGAUCACGGAUACUACACUAUUUCUAAAACUUAGCAUAGAUACAACACUAUAUCUGAAACUGAAAACGGACUAUUUCUGAAAACUAAACACGAGUAUUAUCACUAUUUUUUAAAUUGGACAUUGACAAUUUCUGAAUAUUAAAAACCUUGAUCAUACAAUAUGCACUCUUGCAUAUACAAAUUCAAGAUCAAAUGUGUAUGAACCUUGAGUAUUGAUUUCUUUCGUAUAAGGACAACAAAAUCAAUAUCCCUUUGGGAAAAGUGAAUAUGCCUGUCCUUUACACUAGCGCAGAGUUCCAUUGACUCUAGCUUGGCAGCAAUUCGUGCUACGCAACCAUCCACAACAAAUAUUGUUGAGAUAUACCAACGGGGUAUUUCCAAUUAGCUGCAGGAAUCAAGAGGACAAUAAGAGUGCAUUAUAGGCCAAAUCAAAAUAUUAAACAAAAUAAAUAUUUAAAGCUAAAUUGAAUGCUUAAGUUUCAUGAAGAAAAAUGGUACUUCGGUGACAUCGUUCUUGAUUGCAAAUUUGACUUGCAUAUUUAUCUUCUCUUGCAGCAAGCUGUGAAAACAGAUUCAAAUGUUCAAUUCUACUGCAACCCAACCAAUCUUUACAUUUAAAAAAUAAUUCAUUUAUUAAUUUAAACAAUAAAAGUUCUACAAAUCAAAAGCAACCAGAAAAUUCCAAACACUUAAUCAUGUCAUCUUCUUAAAAAAUCACUUGAAAAAAAUAUUUGCAAAAGCCCAAAAAUAGUCAACAUAAUCAAAACUAGAAGACCCCAAAUAUGCAGAAUAAAUAGAGAAAAACAAAUCCACACUUUUUUCACAAAUUCGAAACCAAAAGUACCUCUUGGAGUCCAUUUUAAAGCUAUCUCUGAUGAUUGUUAGAACUCGCUCGAACUCGUAGUUAUCAGUGGAAGACAGGUCGGGAGCGUCCCGAACUUCUCGAACUCUUCUAGGCCUUGACUUCCUCAUAGAUCACAAGGGUGGCGUCAUCUCUAUUGUAGACGAUAAGAUCAAAAUUAUAAAUUGAGAAAAUAGCAGAGAGAAAAUGACAUGAGAUAUGUAGAAACUUGUAGAAACCGUACAAAAGGUUUUUUUUUAAGGAAAACUAAUGAAAAGGGCUUGAAAACUUUGAGUUUUAAUGAUAAGGACAAAAUAAAGGGUAAAGUGAAUAGUACCAGGAUUGACUUUUUAGUGUAAAAAUAUGGUUUUUCGUUAAAGUGAACAGUACCGGGUGCUUUUCGUUAAAGUUCCCUUUUUUUUAUUUCAUCCGAAGUGAAACAGAUUAAAUAAAGGGAGCUUUAAUGAGAAGUGUUUCUCAAAAUUUUUAAUUAAACAAAAAUCAUUACUAACUUUAUUUAAUAAAAAUGAUUUAAACUUUAAUAAAAAAGAUUCAAAUUUUAAUGAAAAGGACAAAAGUUUUACAUAAUAACAAAAAUAAAAAAUAAAAAACCAACAAAUAGUGACUCGCAGGACCAUGUGUCACAUCACACACAUACACACACUCUCUCUCACUCAACCGUUCAAUCUCUUUCUCUCUCCCUCUUUCCCAUAUUCCCCUCAAUUUUUCUCUUCUUUCACCUCACUCAUCUACAUCAAAUUUUUUUUCACCUCGCCCCACUCUUCUCUCUCCUUUCACCUCACUCCAUAAAUAAUUUAUUUUUUAAUUUUAUUUUAUUACUUGUUCAUUUGACUAUUCGUUCAAUUUUUUUAGAACAAACUAAGUAAUAAUAUUACAAGAUCAAAAAUAAGAAAAAAAUUUAUUAUUCAGUUUUAUGAACACUAAUACUGUCACUAUUUCUUAAACAGAACAUUGACUUCUUCUUAAAUUUGAAAAUCGAACAAUAUUUCUUAAACUGAACAUUGACUACUUCUUAAACUGAAUAGUAUUUCUUAAAUUAAACACUAACUGUUUCUUAAACGUAACACUAAUACUAUCACUACUUCUUAAACUAAACAUUGACUAUUUCGUAAACUGGACACUAACUAUUUCUUAAACUAAACACUAGUACUAUUACUAUUUCGUAAACUAAACACUGAUUAUUUCUUAAAUUUAACACUAGUACUAUCACUAUUUCGUAAACUAAAUAGACUAUUUAUUAAACCAAAUAAUAGUACUAUCACUAUUUCGUAAACUAAGCACAAAUUAUUUCUUAAACCAAACACUAGUAUUAUCACUAUUUUGUAAAUUAGUACUGUCACUAUUUCGUAAACUAAACACUGACUAUUUCUUAAACCAAAAACUAACUAUUUUGUAAACUAAAUACUGACUAUUUCUUAAAAUCGAACACUAGCACUAUCACUGUUUUUUAAAUUGAACACCAAUUAUUUUAUAAACUGAACACAAAAGGUUCAAAAUUUGAAGCUCUCUUCUCAUUAUCAUAUGAAUCACUGGCAAUAAUAUUUAUAUUCUUACAGAGUUAGAAUAAUGAUUUUCACAUUCCUAUUUGUUCUUUAACAUUUCUUCAAACAAUUUAUUUGACUUUCCUUUAAUUUAUUCAAUACAAAAUUAACAACAAAAACAUAAAUGAAAGAUCAAAAAAGCUAAUGUGCUUUCAUUGAGGAUCAUAAUCUAAUAUUUUUUAUUUUUAGGUUUUAGCUGGUUAGGGUUAAAAUUAAUAAAGAAUUCCAUGAUUUGAACAUAGGGUGAUGAUGAGAUGCUACCCCACAUGCAAGGAAAAAAAUAUCGGUAAUAUCGGAAAUAUCGGUAGUCUGAAAACACGGAAAUAUCGAUGGAAAUAUUGGGAUAAUAUCGACAUCGAUAAAAAUUACAUGGAAACCACGGAAAUUGUAAGAAAAACUUGGAAAUUUUUAUUGAAACUUUGUAGGAUAUUUAUUUAGUCAAUUAUCUAUUAGUUUAUCACAAAAAAUUGGAAGGAAAUGCAUUGCAUGAUGGAUUUAACUGAUUUAAGUUGAUUAUAUAGCGAGCUGACAAACAUUGUGAGUGUAGAAAAUAUGUAGUAAUUAAUGAAAGAAGUUUAAACACACCAUAAUCAUUUAUAUAUAAUGAAUUAGUACAAUAUUUUACACUUUAUACAUUGCAUGGUAAGAUACAUGAGUGACUUGGUACCACAUAGAAUUCUUAUGAGGUUCAAAAUUUUCACUAUGUUGAAGGAGUAAAUGGGAGGGGUUCGAAUCCCCUUGGUGUUUUUUUUAAAUAUAGAAAUUUAUCCUAGAUAAUAAAUAUUAGCUUGCAAGUCUUGCAGACAUCUUAACGACCAUAUAAAUAUUACAGGCUGAAUAUGUAAUCACAAACACAUAUGUAAUCACAACUUAUUUAUAGUGUACUCAUUCUUUAUAUAAAAAUAAAAAAUAAAUAAAAAUAAGAAAAUUACCAUUUUGUUAUAUAUAUUUUCCAGAUCCGUAUACGUCAAAUGUGCGCAGAUCAAAUCAUAUCAGAUUAGAUAUUUUGCACACCCCAAGACGUCCACGUACAAGUCAGUAAAAAACCUAAAUCACCCACAUGGUGACACUAACAUUACUCGCACCUCUCAGCCCUCUAAUUUACGAAAGACCUCGUGUCUUCCCUUCGUUUCACAUAAUAUUUUCCCCUCCGAGCCUCCACCUCUCUCUCUCUCUCUCUCUAGUCAUUUUCCUUCCAACCAAACAGUCCAAAAUUUUUCCAAAAAAUUCAAAAAAAUGGACUCGACGCCAAUUAACUGGGAAGCCCUAGACGCUAUCGUCAUCGAUUUCAUCAAAUCGGAGAAGCUAAUCGAAGACGACGACUCCGCCUUUACGACGUCGCCUUCCCCUUCCUCUUCCUCUUCCCCCUCCUCUAUCUCCUCGUCGUCGUACCACUCGAGAUUGAUCAUUCGUCAGAUCAGGCGAACGCAGGAACCCUCGUCUUUCUCCCUCUCCUUCUCGUCUCUGUAACUUGGCGAACACAGGAACCCUCCGACGAGUUCCUUCAAUUUCUCCGGUUAGGUAAGCUUCGGGUUUUUCUUUUUAUGUUCUAGAUCGAAGCUUAGAUGUGAAAUUGAAGUUCUAUCUCGUCUUUUUGCAAGGUUUUUGGGAUGAAAUCGACUCGGGAAUAGGCAUACCCAUCUCUGGCGAGGCCAUGGGUGUCGAUGAACUUUCCGAACACCUCCGGCCGUUUCACGGCAAACAGACGUUAUAAAAACGUUCCUCUCAUCUUCUAUUUCAUUUUCAUACCUAGAUCGGAGUCUAAGGGGUUGUUUUAUAGUCGACCGGAGCUGUAGAAGCUCCGACGUUCGUCUCCGACUUGUACAGUUCUGAAAUUUCGCGAAAUUUUGACGAAAACCCCUUGGAUACCACUUAAAAUAUCGGUUUGGGGAAAAACCGAUAAUAUCGGCGAUAUAUCGCCGAUAUUAUCGAUAUUUUCUUCCUUGCCCACGUGUAAGGCUAAGUGGUAGUCAUGUAUUGAUGUUAGCAAUAUAUUUUUUUAUCUCAAAUUUCUUUCUCUCUAAAAUUUUUUAGGGUUUGUUGAUGUCAGUUUGGAUAGACUUGAUUGGCAUUUUCUUCUCUCUACCCUCACAAUCUCUCUCUCUGAACCUUUUUCCUUCCCGAUGAAUAUUUAAAAAGUAAUUUGUAUGCUGCUUUUGCACUGUUGGUUUUCUGUUGAACUGCUUGCUUUUGCACUGCUUGUGUGCACACGCGCUUUGGGUUGAACAAGUUUUUGUAUUUUUUGUUUUUUAUCUCUUGUCCUUAUCAUUAAAUAAAAGUUAUUAGGUGACUUUUGGUUAAAACUCAAAGUUUUGAAGCCAUUUUCAUUAGUUUUCCUUUAAAUAAACGGGAGAAGGUGCUACCAUUAGGGUAAAAUCGGAAACUCAUUGUUUGAGCCAGUUUUGAUUGGGCUAAUUUAAUGUUGGUUUGUCCUAAUCAUUAAAUAAAGUUAGUAGGUGGUUUUUGGUUAAGAUUCAAAGUUGUGAAAACCUUUUCAUUAGUUUUCCUUAUAUUCAAAGCUACUUUAUCCAAUUUUUCGUCAACUGAAGUCAUUUGACAUACUUUAGAGUGUAAUAUCAUCAUUUUCUCGUCUAUAAGUACUUAACAUUUCAUACAGGUUAUGAAUUUAAUAUCUAAUUUACCCUCAAAAGUUAACUUACACUAUUUCUUUAUGAAAAACUACCAAUUUUUCCUCGAAAGUUAACUUCAUACACUAUUUCUUUAUGAAAAACUACCAAUCUACCCUGUAAUGUGUAUAACAUGCAAGUAACGUGACUUAUAUUGACGGAAAAUUGAAUAUAGUGGCUUCGAAUAUAACAUUAGGGAUGUAAUUGGCAAAUUUUUAUAAUUAGGGACUAUUUUUUCUGAAAAAAAUAGUUUAGGGACCUAAUUUUCACUAAGGUGAUAAUUCAGAGACUAAAUUGGCAAUUUUACCUUCAUGUUUUAAAUAGGAAUGCAUCUUAAUAAUCAAGCAGCAUAAAUAAAAUAAAAUAAAUCUUAUAGUUCGACUACAAAACAAAAAUGGCACAUGAAAUUAAAAUUACAUAGUAGCAAUAUCCCAUACAAGUCGUCUUGUUAUUUUUUUUUUAUGCAAAUCAAUUUGGAAAUCUUAUUAUUUUCAUUCUCAUCCUGUAAUGUUGCAUGAUGAUUUGAACUGUUUAUCUUUAGGUCGUCAUUUAAAAACCAUCUCUACAAAAAUCUAAAUGCAUUCAAAAGUUUUUGCUCAUGUAACGAUUAUUCAAUAAUUCUUUUAAACACUGAAAUUAUGACAAUAUUAUUCUAAAAUGGUUUGACGAUAUCUAGUUUGGUUCUUUGUUGCAAAGUUGCUCUUUAAAGAGUGACCUAGAUAAUAUACGGUUUUGAUCAUUGAAUAACAUUGCUUGAUCAUAAAAAAGAAAUGAGAAAGUAGAAAGAAAAAAAAUUUACAUUAAACUAACCAAAAUAAAUUAGUUCAAAUUUGUCUUUGACGAGAAUUGAAUCUAAGAUUUCUCACGUGAAAGCAGUAAUACUAGAAUGUGAAGUUUUUUGGUAAAAUAAAUAAAGGAAAUAAAAUAACUGGCAUUACAUCAUACUCACCUAUCACGAUGUAUAUGUUCCAUACAUGUGGGCAGUGGCAAAGCCAGAAUUUGUCGAGGGGAGGGGCGAAAUUCAAAAGAAUGCAAGGUUUCAAUCGAAGCGGUUGCUUUUAUAUUGGACAGUGCAAAGUUUUAAGUCAAUAUUCAUAGUAGAAAACAGUCUCUUCACCAUAACGGUUGUAAGCGGUAAUAUCAAAGCCAUGUAAGAAGCUUAAAUUGGUUAGGAUUAGAUUCUAAAAAAACAUUAGGCGCUAUGGAUUGAGACCUAGCAGCUAGGCGCCUAGACAAGAUUUAAGUAGGAGCCUAGAUAGAUUUAAAUAUAUUUUUUAUAUCGUGAAAUAAGUAUUAAACAAUAUUUACAUUAUUUUUUAAAAAUUAGUACAAUAUUUAUAGAUAAUAUGAAAGUUUAAGAUAAAUACGCUAUGGGUCUUAAAUAAAUAAUGUGAGAGUUAAACAUAACUUUGUUAACUUUUAAUAAGUUAACAAAUAAAUAAUAAAAAGUAAAUUAAAACCAGGGGUAGAAUCCCCUUGGUUCUUGCAAAACACAAAACAAGUGACCCCAAAUCAUAAUGAAAGAUCAAAUUCCAAAUUUCCAUCCCAAUUUUCCCUAGAAACAAACUAAAAAUUCUCUUUCCAAGAAGUAGAAGAAGCCGAAAAGAAAAGCAUCGCCGCUUGUGAGCGGUGGGUGAGGUGGUGUCUCUGCUUGAUUUCAAUGUUAGUUCGGGUCUUUCUUCACAAAGCUUCGAGCCACCAUUUCCAUGGCCGGUGACAAAAUCUAUCGCAUAUGGAUUCUUCUUGUCCGUCAAUGGCGAACCCGCCUGUAAGCAGAUGACGUCUUCAAUGUUUUUUCUUCGAACCCAGGUGCGCCCACAUCCUACCCCAUUUCCGUCAAACAAAUAAAGAAGGAGACAUGAAGGAGACACCACUUUCGGGACAGCAGCCCCGGAGCCAUAGUCAGUACUACUAUGUUGAUAACCAAACACCUCAUUUCUCCUACCACUACCCAUGCCAUGGCAAAUCUGCAAACUCGAAGUCGAAGCCCUUCAUCGAUCCCAUCGCAACCUACUCCCAAAAAAAAAUUGCAUAUCUGCUGCUGUGCGCAGCAGAACAGAUCACCCAACAACACAAACAGAGGAUGAACCAAUGGGUUUCCCGGCGAGGGGAGUGGCGGCUGCCACUCCUCGCCCUCACGUGGCUUCGCCCCUGUGUGGGGUCUUGGCCUUUCAUUUUAAGCUAAGUUAGGUUCGGGCAUUGUUAGCAUGUGGUACAUUACAUUUUCAUGGAAGCAUAAUCACACGAAGAGGAAAAAGGAAAUUAAAAGCUCCUCCAAUCAUCCAAUGGCUUAUGAGUUACAGCACAGUCACGAUUCACUUGUCGCUCUGUUCUAGCAAAUCAAUUCUUUAUACAAGUCACCUUGUUAUUUAAUUUAGUUUUUAAUCAAAACAGUCACUUUUAUUUUUUUAAAGGGUAAAAGACUGUUUACUACCUUCAAGUUUCAUGGUUUUCAACAUUUGGUACAUCAAGUUUUUUUCGUCCCAGAGUCAUACCUAAAGUGUUAAUUUUGGGACAGUCUCAUACAUCCGUUAGUCAAACUGUUAAGUCUGCCGUUAACUGAUGACGUGGCGCCAUGUGGACAAUGAUUGGGCGCCACGUGUCAUUAAAAAAAUUAAAAAUAUUAAACUAUUAAAAUAAUUAUUUAAAAAAGUAUUUAAAAAAAAAAAAACCGCACGUCUACAACCUCACCUCCCCUCCUCUCUGCACCGCCAAAUCACAGAAAAAAAGGGCCACCCUUCUUCUUUAUCCUGAGCUCUCAAAUGGUCUACAACCAAACCAUCAAAACCCCAAUUGAAGUCUGACUUCUAGUUCUCCAAUUUCUAAACUUUCUAAUUAUUUAUGUAGUUGAAUUUGAUUUGACUUUUAGGGUUUAAUUCAUGUCUUGUAAUUGGGUUCUAUUUUGAUUAGGGGAAGAUUGCAGCUUUCGUUUAAUUUUUGGAAGAAGACGACGAUGGUAGGGAUCGGGGAGUCGAAGAGGGAGGAGGUGGGUAGCAGGAUGAGCACGGCGAACGUGGCGACUCAUACACCAGUGCAAAUAGGUAGAUUUUCCAUUCAAAUCCAAACUAAAAACAUAAAAAUUGAAGUAUUUCCUUACCUAGAUCUACCCAACGACCAGCCCACCAACCAACCAAUUUACAAAAUCCCCAAUCUGAAACCCUAACAACCUAACCCCCGAACCCGUACAAAGUCCUACCUUGCCUCUUGAGUGCAUAGACGAUGUCCAUCGUCGUCACAGUCUUCCUCUUGGCGCUCAGUGUAAGUCACGGCGACGAGGUCUCCGGCGAAGGGAGAAAAGUGCUCGGACGAAGGUGGGGAUGGGUCUUCCUUUUCUCCAUGUUUGUGGGGUUAAGAAUGGAAUUUAUGAAAGAAAAUUGGAGAUGAGAUUGGGGUGGGGACGACAGAGAAGGGGAUGGGAGUGGAUCCACGAGGGAGGGGAUUGGUUGGAAAGCUGGUCGGAGGAGGGGGAAGGAUAGAUGUGCAGACGUUGGGGUAGGUGCAGUGGAGAGAAGGGAGGGGGUCGGGGUGGGGAAGACAAAUGGGUUCUGGGUUUUUUGUUUUGUUUUUCUUGUUUUUAAUAUUUUUUUUAAUUAAUUAUUUUAAUAGUUUAAUAUUUUUUAAUUUUUUUAAUGACACGUGGCGCCCAGUCAUUGUCCACAUGGGCGCCACGUUAUCAAUUAAUGGCAGACUUAACAGUUUGACUAACAGAUGUAUGAGAAAUUAACACUUUAGGUAUGACUCUGGGACGAAAAAAACUUGAUGUACCAAAUGUUGAAAACCACGAAACUUAAGGGUAGUAAACAGUCUUUUACCCUUUUUUAAAUUUACAACAAAUUCAUAUGAUUAUUGAAAAUUAUUUUGUAAAGUACUACGGAGUUAUAAUUAUUUAAACUUUCAUCUCACUCUAUCAAAUUAGCCAAAGUACUAAAGAUAAAUAAAUUUACUUACACUCGCCUAGGCUGUGCCUAGGCCCUAGUCUGUCACUCGAUAAGUGCCUAGCAUCUUUUAGAACCAUAAGAAAUAGUGUGUUUUUAUUCAAUUUCAUAAAUAGUAUAUCAUUUUGCAACAGUUCCAGCAAUAGUGUGCAUUAUUUUUUGUUCAAAUAUAGAAUUAGUGUGAGUUAUUUUGUAUUAGUUCCAGAAAUAGUGUUUAUUUUGUUAUUUUUCAUAAAUAGUGUGAGUUAUGUUAUUUUUCAUAAAUAGUGUGAGUUAUUUUACUUUCAAAAAUAGUACAAGUUAUUAUGCUGUAGUUCAAUAAAUAGUGUGGGUUAUUUUAGUUCACUUUCAAAAAUAGUGUAGGUUAUAAUGUUGUUUAAGAAAUAGUGAGGGUUAGUUUGGUUCACUUUCAGAAACAGCGUGAGUUAUUUUUGUUGUAGUUCAAGAAAUAGUGGUUCACUGUUAGAAAUAGUUCAAAAAUAAUGUUUAUUUUGCUCCCUUGCAUAAAUAGUAUGAGUUAUUUUGGUUCGGUUUCGUAAAUAGUGUGAGUUUUUCGUUGUAAUUCCAGAAAUAGUAUGAAUUAUUAUGGCUCACUUUCAUAAAUAGUGUUAAUUAUUUUGGUGUAAUUCCAAAAAUAAUAUGUAUUAUUUUGGUUUACUUUCAGAAAUAAUAUUAGUUAUUUUACUGUAAUUUCAAAAAUAAUGUUUAUUUUGUUACCUUCCAAAUACAGUGUGGAUUAUUUUGGUUCAUUUCAUAAAUAGCGUGGGUUUUUACUUGCGGUAGUUCCACAAAUAGUUGUUGUAGUUCAUAAAAUAGUGUCUUAACCAUUUUCAUUGUUGCAGAUGGGAAACGAAAAAUGUUAGGGUGAAGAGUUCCAUAAACAUGCGUGUUGAACUUCAGCUUGAACAAACUAUCAGAAGGUUUACUAGCUUGCUGAAAAUACAAGGAAUAAGAGGGGGGGGAGUCAACCGGUACUACUACAUAAAUCCUACACAUAGACCAUUUCCAGUCUAAUCUAGCAUAACCAAAUUUAAUAAUAAGAUCGUUUUCCAAAAAAAAAAAAAAAAAAAAAAAAAAAAAAAAUUAAUAAUAAGAUCCAAUCACAUUUCCCCAGAAUAAAAGAGUUUGAUUAGUAGACUUUAAUAAAUAAAAGAGUACUCUAAUCGAAUACCAUUCAAGGUUAUUGGUUAUAAGGCAUAAGUCAGCAUAUACUUUCAAUAGAAGACUUGAAAAACAAGUUUCAUUAGACAACUUAGAGCUUCCAUACAAGAAUCCGAUUAUAUGAAUGAAAUCUGGUAAAUCAUUCAAUUCAUAUGUGACAAAUUGAACUUCAUUGUCAAUUCAGCUCUGUGUGAAUGACUACCUACUCAUGAAAGCAUAGUGUACAUAGCCCUCCUAACUGAUUAAAGGAAAUAUCGACCACAAUAUUUUGCACAAGGCACUUUACAAGCUUGACCUACCACAAGAAGACCAAAUAGUAUUUACAUAGGAAAAUCAAAAGUUUUGUUAUCUACUAUAACUAGAAUCAAAAUAAUGGCUAAUGAAAUAGACACGCACGUAGCAAUUUCAUUCAAGGGAAAUGCAAGUUACACAACAUAAACUCAACACAAAAAUUUUACUAGACAUAGAUGGCAGCAUCAACAUUAAGCUGUAACUUAUACCUAUAUUCAAUCUAAUAAAGUGAAGAGGUAAAAGCUAAAAACCUCUGCCCAAAUCAACUGGACAUCUUUCACCAUAAACUCAGCAGCCAUAUUUUGAUAUUCUCUUUCAAGGACAGCACAGACGUCACCACCCAAUAUCUCCAUCCGGCAGAUAGGUCUUUACUCUUUAGAGGUAAGGUAAUUAAAUGAAUAUUGUCAUUUAUCAAUGAGGAUAUCCGGGGUAAAGUAGGAGUAGCCGAAAUUGAAGGAAAGAUGAGAGAAAAUCGGUUACGGUGGUUUGGACAUGUGCAAAGAAGGCCUACUGACGUUCCGAUUAGAAGAUGCGACUAUGGGACAGAGGUUCAGGGCCGAAGGGGUAGAGGAAGACCUAGGAAAACUUUGGAAGAGACUCUAAGAAAAGACUUAGAGUACUUGGAUCUAACGAAGGACAUGACACAGGAUCGAGCACAAUGGCGUUCUAAGAUUCAUAUAGCCGAUCCCACUCAGUGACUUGGAUUUUCCAAGUCUUCAACCAAGAAGUUUUCCUCACUCAGGAAAUUAAGGGAACACUACCCCAACCUACAUGCUCCACUCAGAAAGCUUCAACAUACAAGCUUCAACAAAAGAAAAUUCAAAGAACUUAGCGAAGAAGGCUUUGGUGUAUUUAACACAAAUACGUUGAAAUGAAGGAAAGCUUAUUUAUUGAUAUCCCCGAUAAGCUACAAAUAUGUACAUAUACAUGAGUCAAAAUAAGCACACAAGAGGGAGACUUCACAAAGGUUGCUUAGGAGAAGUCUCAGCAGUCGGUAGAGCCCCAGAAAGAGAAGGCACCGGAGGGGGAUCAUUUGGAGCCUCAGUACUGGACAGAACCCUAGAAGGAGGAGGCAUCAGAGGUUGAUCAUUUGGAGCUUCAUUACGCGGUACAGCCCCAAAAGACGAAGGCAAUAAAUGCCUUUGGAACAAACCCACAAAUCUCUGAUGAUCAAGUAAAACCUGACCAUCAGUUUCCUUCAUCUGGUCAAGCUUCCUCUUCAUGUUUGUAGCAUAGUCAUGUGGCGAGCCGGUGCAACUGUUUAUUCUCAUGCUUGAGCCCUCUAAUCUCCUGUUUGAGACUCAUCACUUCAGCCGCCAAUGAUUCAACUUGGCGGGUUCGAGCAAAUAGGCGUUGGGCCAUAUUAGACACAGAACCUGCACACUGAACACUGAGAGCCAGCGAAUCCUUAACAGCUAACUCAUCAGACCGUUUGGAAAGUAGUUUGUUAUCUUUGGGAGUGAGAAGGUUCCUGGCCACCACCGCAGCGGUCAUAUCAUUCUUCAUCACGGAAUCCCCAACGGUAAGAGGACCAGUAGGGGAGACGAAAGAUGGGCGCCAUAUGUUGUCUGGAGAAGGCGGGGCUGCCUCUUCAACAAGGUUCAAGUCAAAACGACGGUCGGAGGGGCCAGACAUUUUCAAAGGUGUUGAAGAGAGAAGAGGUCGGACAAAUCAAGAUCUUAGAAGUGCAAGAAUGAAGCUUCUACUGGUGGAGAUCCAAGUGUGCUUUGGAACUUAAUGCCAGCCCCUAUAAAAAUCUGCACUCGACGGAGCUUCAAAAAUCGAAGAGGCGCCUGCUCAGAAAUCGAAGAGGCGUUUGCUUUCUCAAAAGCUGGGCUGCUUAGAGAUCACGAGGGUUGAUCUCAGAAAUCGAAGAGGCAUUUGCUUUCUCAAAAGUUGGGCUGCUCAAAGACCACGAAGGCUGAUCUCAGAAAUCGAAGAGGCGCUCGGCCUCAAAGCUUGAGACCACGCACGAAGAGAGGCCAUCAGAUCAUUCAGCAACCUGCACUGUUUGCGGAACAGGCAUUUGUAAAGACCAGCCUUACACAACAAAAAGUUUAAAAAAUUUCUUGAACACAGCUGAACGCUCUUCUAAAAAGAAGCAAAACUUUGAGGCUUCCCCCAAGGGGAAAGAAAAGAACCACUGAAAAACCAGUUCUGGCCAACCAUUCCCAAGAAUUGAAAAAACGAAGAAGUCCCAUUCACAAAACUUUCACAUGAAAGAGUAAAAGCAAAAAAUGGGUAGACCCCACAAGGACAUACUCAGUCCCAUGCGGGAAUUAUGGAUAAUUGGCAAAAAGUUCCAUGGUGAAGUAGAAAGGCUUUUAAUUUAUUUUGCUUCCCACUACCACUUUAGGUCUGUGGUUUGGAAAGUGCACAAAGCAAAACGGGUACUCAGAAAACACACGCACCGUCAUUUCUUCCAACAAUGUUGAAAUAGACCCAGAGCCGAAAGACAAUCAAGAACUCUUAAAGCAAGACCCAACCCACUGGGUAGAACAGUGUCAACCACUUAAUUCGCAAGAAACAAAGUAUCCCCAUGCCAGACUUGUGCUUUGUGGCAAAAAACAUAAACAAGAGCGUCCAUCAAAAAGCGAGAAAAAAGGUACUCCCAGUAAGAUUGGGUCUUGAGAGACCAGAAUCGAGACACGUCCCGAGUUUGCCUCAAAAACCUGAAGAACUCUGGACACCUACUUUUCUAGAAACACGCAGUCAUACCACAACCUUUGUCAAAGAGCCAACACUGUACUCAAACUCGCUCUGAAAAGAAGGCAAAGUCAGCUUCUCCGAAGACUUUCUGAGCAGUACCACUGUGGGGAUUAAUUGGAAGUCCACAGAAUCUAGCAAACAUCUCCAUUUCAAUCACAUUCGAGAAAAACACUCCGCCACUCACAAUUUGAGAACUACCCUUAAAGAGAGGGGUAAAGGAACAGUACCUUGCUGGAUAAUUGGAAAGUCCCUGUGUGUCAACCUCUGUGCUUCGUGGCAAGGUAGACUAGCAAACAUGCCCAACCUUUACUCACAUUCGAGAAAACACUUUGCUUGCUCCAAAAUCGAAGAGGCACCGCCCUCCCGAAUCUCGAGAGCCAGACUCCCAACAUGAUUACUUUCUCAAAAAUCGAAGAGACACUGCUCCACGAAUCUCGAGAGCCAGACCCCCAGCAUGAUUGCUUUCUCAAAAAUUGAUGAGGCAUCGUUCUCCGAAUCAAUCGAAGAGGCGCUCGCUUUCUCAAAAGCUGGGCUGCUCAGAGACCACGAGGGCCGAUCUCAGAAAUCGAAGAGGCACCUACUUUUCUAGCCUUGUCAGCACCUGUCACACGCACACUCAGCUUUGCAGAAAUUAUGGGCAUUCUGUCGAAGACUUCUGGUGAAGUAGAAAGCACAUGAAUCUUACUAUUCAAUCACCCACUUCCCACACGUAACAAUAGCUCAUGGGUACCACAAAUAACUUUGCCAAAGUUCUCUGCCAAAGUUGAGCACGUGAAGCUUACAGCUCCCACUACAUCGCUCUGACCAAGAAAGGUAAAAGAAUAGCAAAGAAACAGCACUAACAAAAGUUUAGACACACAUAAAUUUUGAAGGUCUAGCUACCAUAUUAUUACCCACAAGGGUAAAGGAACAGUACCACUGCUGGAUAAUUGGAAAGUCCCUGUGUGUCAACCUCUGUGCUUCGUGGCAAGGUAGACUAGCAAGCAUGCCCAACCUUUACUCACAUUCGAGAAAACACUCCCAAUAAGAUUGCUUGCUCCAAAAUCGAAGAGGCACCGUCCUCCGAAUCUCGAGAGCCAGACUCCCCCAACAUGACUACUUUCUCAAAAUCGAAGAGAGGGUAAAGGAACAGUACCAUUGCUGGAUAAUUGGAAAGUCCCCUGUGUGUCAACCUUUGUGCUUCGUGGCAAGGUAAACUAGCAAACAUGCCCAACCUUUACUCACAUUCGAGACAACACUCCCAACAAGAUUGCUUGCUCCAAAAUCGAAGAGGCACCCGCCUUCCGAAUCUCGAGAGCCAGACUCCCAACAUGAUUACUUCCUCAAAAAUCGAAGAGACACUGCUCUCCGAAUCUCGAGAGUCAUACCCCCAGCAUGAUUGCUUUCUCAAAAAUCGAAGAGGCAUCGUUCUCCGAAUCUCGAGAGCCAGAUACACACAGACCACUUUUUCAAAGUGCUCUGACAGAGUUAAAACAUGUGAAACUGGCAGCUCCCACUACCGUGCUAUGACCAAGCAGGGUAAAGGAAUAGCAUUACUACUUGUUGUUAGGGAGACUCCUAUAUAUGUCGACCUCCAUCCCCAACGGACAGGCAGACCUGCAAAAAUGCUCAACCCUUCAUCAUCAUAUCUGAGAGGGCACUCCCAACGAAGCCUUUCGAAAUAUUCAGCUUUCUUUCCCCCCGAUAAUACCUCUGCAAACAAGCUAUACUAGAGCAAGAAUAUCUCAUAUCAUCAGGGUUAAAAAGCAAGAGUAUCCCAUAUCAUGCUUUUUCCCUGUCUUUUUCUUUUGGCCUUGUUUUACCUGCAAGACAAGGAGAAAGAGAGCAAUCAGUCAGCACUUGGAAUCAAGCUUCCAGCCAGGAACUGACUGCCUGGAACCCCUUACCUGAUUACUUACCUGACAUUGCUCUCGAGUACUCAUCUUCAACAUCUUAUGUUUCCAGGGAAGAGUCCGCAUCUGCUUGAGGAACAGAUAGGGCAAGUGCGAAGGAUACAAGGAAGCAUGUGGAGACAAGCGUAACAGCACACGUGCCGAUACAUUCAUUACUCUGUCAAAAGCAAAAGUAUCCCAUAUCAGCAGGGUGGAACGUACUCUAGAUUUGAUGGACUUGUUUUGACCAUCAAAUUCUUCAGUCGGCCUUAUACUCUGGAGGAAACCAGAAAACCCUCCAGCUCAGUUCAAGAAUAAGCCUGUGGAAAGUUACUUCUUCAAAAGCAAAAGUAUCUCAUAUCAUCUAUUCUCAUUUUUCUUCUCUUUAUCCUUCAUGCUGCUGCAAGAUGGGGAGAAGGUGAACAAUCAGUCGGAGCUCUGAUUGCUUACCUUGUCUGUCACCUCUUUCAGCAGACCCCCUAGCUCGGCGACUUGGGGGACUCCUACUACAUGGUUUGUAUCGCGCUUGACCAAGCCUGAAACUACAAGUAAGCUUCAAGUGAAAUUGAUACAUUACCUUGUGCAUCUCCACCAAUUAAAGAUACCACCCUUGGAUGGAGGAAGAGUACUUCCAGAGAAGAUGCCACAUCUACCUAUGAGACAGAUAAGGCAAGUCAAGACGACACCACACUCCGAUACUUAGAAGUUUCGUGAUUACGAGAUCAUUCUCCCACAAUAUUUCCUAAUGUCAUUUGUACUAAAUCAUUCACUUGUACUCACUAAAUGAGAGCUUGAACCUAUGUACUUGUGUAAACCCUUCACAAUUAAUGAGAACUCUUCUAUUCCGUGGACGUAGCCAAUCUGGGUGAACCACGUACAUCUUGUGUUUGCUUUCCUAUCUCUAUCCAUUUACAUACUUAUCCACACUAAUGACCGGAGCAAUCUAGCGAAGAUCACAAAAAGCGAUCGUUUUCGCUACCUAGGAUCUAUCUUGCAAGAGAACGGAGAAUUAGAUGGAGAUCUCAACCAUAGAAUACGAGCUGGAUGGAAAGAGUGCAUCCGGCGUGUUGUGUGACCGUCGUAGGCCACUGAAGCUCAAGGGAAAAUUUUAUAGGACGGCAAUAAGGCCAACGAUGUUGUAUGGCACAGAAUGUUGGGUGGUGAAGCAUCAACACGUACACAAAAUGGGUGUAGCGGAGAUGAGGAUGCUUCGUGGGAUGUGUGGGCACACGAGAAAGGAUAAGAUUGGGAAUGAGGAUAUCCGAGGUAAAGUAGGAGUAGCCGAAAUUGUAGGAAAGAUGAGGGAAAAUCGGCUCCGGUGAUUUUGGACAUGUGCAAAGAAGGCCGACUGACGCUCCGGUUCGAAGAUGUGACUACGGGACAGAGGUUCAGGGCCGAAGGGGUAGAGGAAGACCUAGGACAACUUUGGAAGAGACUCUAAGAAAAGACUUAGAGUACUUGGAUCUAACGGAGGACAUGACACAAAACCGAGCGCAAUGGCGUUCUAGGAUUCAUAUAGCCGACCCCACUUAGUGGGAAAAGGCUUUGUUGUUGUUGUUGUUGUUGUUGUUGUUGAAAGGUCAAUAGAAACUGAUAAAUCGCAGCAAGGAAAGUUUCAGCUCCAGAAAACAAAUUAACCUAAACUAACAAUUUAUAUGCAGAAUUCAAGCUCACCAAAAUAAAUUUCCAUGCCCAAUUCACAAACUAUACACACAAAUAUAUCAGAAAUUGGUUGUUUUGUAGCUCAAUAUGCACAUCAAUUUGAAUAAAAAAAAGUCGAAGACAAAGAUUUAUACCUCUGUUUUCUGAUAUUUGUGCUCGGACCCAUGUCGAUAUAAGAUGAAACAAAGAAAAGAGCUGCACAGAGAGAAACAACAUACAGAGUAACAACUUCAAACUGAACGAUCGAGACGGAGAAUUUCAGAUCGGAGUUGUAGUCCUAGUCAGAAGAUCCAUUAUCAUUGGUCCCUUAAUUCUUCAAAACGUGCAGCUAUGGUCCUUUUCGUUAACUCCGUCAAAAUGAGUUAUGUUGGAAUGACCAUUGCUACAAUUGAUAUAAAGAUGAAGGACCAUUGCUCUAAUUGAGUUAAAGUUGAGGGACCAUUUCUUUAGUUGGGUUAAGUUGAGAAAUCAUUGCUACAAUUUUUCUCAUUUGGUUUUCCAUAAUUGCCCCUGAUUCAGCCUCAUGGCACAUGACUCAUUUUGACGGAAGUUCUAACGGAGUUGAAGAAAAUGACCAUAGCCGCACGUUUUGAGAAGUUAAGGGAUCAAUGGUCUUAGAUUUUUAGUUUAGGGACCAUUACUCCAAUUGAGUUAAAGUUGAUAGACCAUUGCUACAAUUUCCUCUUAUUUAGACAUAAAUCAAUUAAUAGCAUCUUACAUUAGACGUCUGAAUUGGUCAGACUCAUUGUGUAAGGACUUACAUGCGCCCCUUCAGAUGCCACAUUGCCGUUCCAAACCAAUAACACAAUGUCAUGUAUAAGUGACAUUGUUACUUUGAGUUUGAUCUAUGUAAUUGGUGAAUUUUUUUGGGUCCAAACUAUGCUACCAAAAGAGAAUGACAGAGAAUUAGGAAUAGAAGCUCCUACAGUCAUUUGUGUAAUGGGGUAAAAAUUUCAAGAUUCACUUACGAAAGCUCGAAUCACCAUAUUUUGAUCCUCAGCUGGUCGCACUUUUUCAAGGGGUUUGCUUCUGAAAAACCUAAGCAGGUUCAUAAAGGCCUAACAUAUGCCCAUCAAAUACAUCGCAUGGCAGCAACCAGUAACACGAAACUCUUACUAAAAUCUCUGCACCCAGUGUAGCAAUGAUAUACGAACAAAUGAUCACAACGGUUUUGUUUAGAAAUUUAGUCAUCACCUUGCCAUGGACUUCAUAUUUGAUAGGGCCAUCAAGUUUCAGCUCCUUAUGCCAUCAACUUGGUCACUGUUUGAUUAAUGUCUGGCACUGUGAAGGACAAAAGUGAAGAGUUUCCAUUCUACAAUGCAUGAUCCCUGUCAAAAUUAGUCAUUAGCAGAUGCCAAUUUCAUUCAAAACAUAAAGCUUAAAUCCAAUUACUGCUCAAAUAACACCACAUUACCAAAAAAUACCAAGAAUUAUAACAUCGAAAAAACCCAAGAAAUUCUAAGUUUUACUCUUUCAAUCGACACAAACUUCACUUGGGUCUCUUUCAAUUAUACUGUUUUUACGAAAAACACGAGAAAACAGUACAAUUUGUGGGAAAGGAUGUGUAAAAAACUGGUUUAUACAAAUCAUCAAACACCUGGUGUGCACCGAGCACAGAGUCUCAGAGAAUGGAGAGGGAGAGUUCACUUGGGGUAUUGCAUAAGGUAAAGCUUGAAUGGGCUGGACUGUAGAUCCGUCUAUCGAAGAGUGCAGACAUUGACGGUGAAGUCCAACCCUUCGGCGUAGAACCAGGCGGCUUUUGGCACGUCCUUGUGCAGCUGCAGUAGCCACCUAAACAACGCCUCUGGCAUUUUUCCCUCGCUUUCUAAGUUACGUGCUGCUGACUGAAGGAUACUGACUCAUCGGUUGUCGUUUCAAGUGUGAGUCGUGACUCAUAUAAGACGACACGUCGUUUUGAAAGUUUCAAAGUUAAAUUGGAGAUUAGCAUAUGAUGACUGCGUGCCCAGAUAGUAGUCGCCUACCUCUUGUGUAAAAGUCUCACCUCUAAACUAUGGUGAUAAUCCUUGUUAAACUAUGGUGAUAAUCCUUGUUAUACAAAGAAUUUUUAUUCUAACGUUAAUGUUCGAAUUUUAUUUGAGGUCACUCAAUCGACUUGUUACAUAUUAUGAUGAAAGUUGUGCCUUUGCUUCACUCGACUCCUAAUUUCAUCAUUUUUUUCCUUUUUCAAUUUUGACAUAAUCCUAGACAUGAGGGCUUCUUUUAGGGUAUUAAGAGAUUCUACAAGCUUGGGGAUAUAUUUGAACUCUCAAGGGAAAUUUGGAAAGAUAGUCUAAAUUUGGAUCAUGUAUAGAAUUUAACCAAUUAUUAUAAGAGUGCUACUAGACCCACCCCAGUGUCCUAUUUUCCCACCCACAUGAUAAUCUCACCCACCAUAAAAAAUUAAAAAAGUAAAAUGUUAUUUCCCCACCCACCAUUAUUCCCAAAAUAACCAUAAUAUUUUUUUUAAAUAACUCUAAUAUAUCUUUAAAUAAUAUUAUAAUUAAAUAAAUAAAAAUAGAAAAAAAUGAAAGAAAAUGCAAGACCUAAGACCUAGACAUUUAUCAUAUCAUUCACACCUAUCGCCGCCCUACAGAGACCCCGGACCCCCAAACCACUCUUCUUCCUCAUUUUUUGUCAAAACCGCAGAUCUCACACUCAAUUCUCUUUUUUCUCCAUUGAAGUUUAUCGCCUUCGUCCAGUAUACGCUCAUUCCUUCCACCAACCUUUCCGUCGAUUCUAACCCUUUCCAAACCUCUUUUCCCCAAAGAUAUCACACCCCACCCACCAUUAUUUAUUUAUUAUUUUAAAUUAUUUUUUGUCUUUUCAAAAUUUUAGUAUUGAAUGAAAUAGAGGUUUAAGAGUCUUCUUUUAAAAGGAUAAAUAUGUUAUUAACAUUUUCAUUAAAUGGUGGGUGAGGAAAUAAGACACCGGGGUGGAAAUAUCACCACUCUUAUUAUAAUUUUCUGAAGUUUUAAUCAAAACAUGACAUGAAAAUACCACAAUGCCCCUUAUAUAUAUCAUUCUAUUGUUAAUUACACUCUGGCUUGCUUUCUUUCAAAGUCCAACAAGAAUUCACAUGUAGAGCUGCUUUAGAUCUCUGUGUGGAUGGUCAAUAAUUGAAGGGAAUCCGAGGGAAGUGGUAAGUCAUUUCCAAUCAAUGAUAGUAAUUGUACGGUAUUGUCCCUAUCCCAGCAAAUAUAGCUUUUCUAGUCAAGCGGGUCAUGAUUUAAGUCCAAUAGGUAAACUUCUGAUAAUACAACUAUAUCACUGUGAUUGCUUUCUCUCAUUAUCCGAAAAUCACAUGCUCCACCACUUGUGUGGACUUCGUCAAUUUUGUUGAGUUUCAUUAUUCUCACAAAGAAGAUUCAAACAGAAUCUUCAUUCUUUGCAAAUGUACUUUUUAAGCGAGCUACUUAACGCGUUAUUAAAUUUAAGAGUAAUAUUAAGAAGACUAAAUUUAUAGAUUAAAUGUAAACUAAAUGAUAUGUAAGUUGAUGAUUGAAAUAUUAUUUAAACGUUAAUAAACAUCCUUAUUUUUAUUAGUAACACAUUAUUUAGUUUAUAAUUUUAGUUUAACGUUAUUCUAAAUUUAAACUCAAAGUUUUUCUUCGAUUAAAAAAAUCCAUUGCUAAUAGAAGUGCAGAUUUCGGUUGGAGGAGUAAAAGUACGUGGGAACACAAGGAAGUUAUUGAUUAGGUAAAAGUUGCCGAACCCCAUAUAACGCGUUGCAUUUUCCAACUUUAAGUUUUUGGCAUCAAAGCAAUAGUCACUGAAACAUCCCAUGUGAAAAAAGUUGAGGGAUAUCUCAGAACUAGUACUCUUGUAGCAAAGCAAAACUAGUUCAUCCCCACAAUCCAAACUAUUUCUUCCUUUCUAUUUCUUUUCUGAUUUGCUGACUUCUUUCUUAAGGGUUUUGCUAUCCCUCACAUCUUUUUACUUUUCACAAACUACUCUUAAUUUUUAUUAUUGAAUCAAAUGAAUUAAAUAUAAUAAAAUUACAUAAAUUAACAAAGAGGUGUAUGAAAAAUAAAAUAAUAUGUGUCGAUAGUGCCACUCUUUUAAAAAACAAUAAUCAUAUAUGAACUAGGUUUACUAGGGAUUCGGAUUUCCCCCAUCCUCUUUCCAUCUCAUUCCAUUCUAUUCUCUCACAUUCUUUAUUUUAUCUUUCUCUUUCUAUAAAAAAUUAAUAUAAGAUGUCAAGGCUUAACCGUGACCAUUUAAAUAGAAGGGGAGGGAAUGUGAGAAAAAAAGAGGGGAGAGAAUCCUAUAGAACCCCAAAAAGAAGCCUAACGGUUGAAUUAUGUUUCCCUCAAAGACUUAAUUGCUUAGCUAAAUCAUAAAGACCAAACCACACUACAGUCAUGGAUCACAACAGAUUUUUCAGUGUAACCGUCACACGAGACGGGACACCACAUGUCCCUAUAUAAAUGGUGGGAUAUAUGUGUUAAAAGGUUAAUAAUUUAAAAAUUAAAAUUUUCCACCACUUACAUAAAAAUAUGCCGUGUACCAUCAAUGUUCCCGUCACAACAAAAAAAUUCUCAUGGAUCACAUUUUCCCUCCCUCGUGGCUCGAUUUCAAGGGUGUGGUUGAUCCUAGAGAACACAACAGAGUCACUGGCGACAAUGAGGAGGUAGGCUGGAUCGAUGUGGGAUAUUUUGUUUUUGCAAGGAGUGGUACGUUCUUGAGAAAAAAAGGGUAAAGUUGAAAUUGUUGGGGAAAAUUUUGAUGGUGGGGUGAUUUAACAAAUUAUGGGGUGUGAACAGAAUUUUAAUAUAAUAUAAAGAGAAAUUUUAUUUGAACUCAUAUAAUAUUACUUUACACUCAACUUAAAUCUUAAAUGUAAAUUAUUUUUUUACCUUAUUGCAUAAUUAUCAUCAGUACAAGAUAAACUCAUAAUACAAUUAAAAUUUAUCAAUAAAUACAAAAUCCAUUAAACAAACCCUUAGCAUCACACAAUCUUUAAUUAAUGCUCUAUUAUGGCUAAAGCCCUAAGACGAUCUCAUAGAGAAAAACAAGUUUUACGACCGAUAGAUGGUGAUUUUAAAAUUUUGGACCUUCCAAGUAAGAUAUGAAUUGAUUUAUGCAAAAAUAAAUUUUUUUUUUAAGGUUUUGGAGUGUAUUUGUGGAUGCAAAUUUCUUCCUCCUUGUUCUUGGACAAAAUUGCACCUACAAAACAAAUAACACCUUAGGUCAAGGCCAAGAGCCUCACGCUCCCAUGAUGAAUAGGGGGCUUUGGCCGAAAAACCUCUGAUGUGAAAGUUAGAAUUUUGAGGGAAAAGUGUUUGGAGAAUUUAGAGAAUUUAGCAAGAGCAUUGGAAUUGAGUUUUGGAGAGAAUGAUGAGGUUUUUAUAGGGGUGUGGCCGGCCCCUUUGGGAUAGAAAGGAUCGGCCACUUGGUUCAUUUUGUGGGCUAGGUUCUUGAUUUGUGUUUAAUUAGGAAUAAUUGAAUAAUAAAUCAAUUAAUUAGCUAAUUAAUAGAAUAAUUUCCUAAUUAAUUAUCUAAUUAAUAUAAUAAAAGGGGAAUGAUUUGGGAGUUACCUUGUGGAGAGGAUUAUGAGGAUGGAUGAAAUAGGUUUUGAAUUAUUACCUAGUUUGGGCAUUUUUGACUUGGUUGAAGGUUGAUUGCCCAUUGCUCGCGAGUAGGAAUCUUGGUAUGCCUUGAGGAUAAUUUUGUCAUUUUAACCCAAAAAUCCACGUUUCGCCUUAUGAUUAUUUUUUGCUCCACAAAUGCCCCCACACUUGCUGUGCUGCUCGCAGGAAAGUGCAACAGGUGUAGAGAUCUCAAACUUUGAUGUAGAUUCCCUUUUGGACUUGGAAUUAGAUUCUUCUAGGAAAGGGAAAUAAAUCGCCUCUAAAGCCUAUUUAAGCCUACCUUAAAUAGGAGAUUAAAUCAACUUCGGAGGGCAAUUAUUUAUCCCUACAAGAAAGAGAGAAAGCUAGAGGAUAUUUGUUCCCCCUCCCGUAGCACUCUUCUUUGCUUGCCUGUGCAAAGAACCGUCUUCCGUUGAUUUAUUUGUCAUCUUCACACUGCACGAUGUAAGAAAAACUUAAUUCUCCUUGUCUUCUUCUUGGGAGGUGCUGCCACAGGGUAGCCAUCGGGGUGGUGCGGCAUGUUAGCUGGCAAAGGCCAGGAGUCGGCUUGGCAUGGGCUAAGAAGGUGGUGUGGUAGGGGCCAUUGCUUGUGCUAUUUGGCAUGAUUAAAGCCAAGGAUUGGCUCGGCAUGGGCUGAGUGUCACAGCCCAUCCCGACAUAUUUAGUUUCAAUGGUGUGAAAUGUCUAAAUUGCCCUUGAACAUUGAGUUUGUUAUGUGGUGUUGUGGUUUAAGUUGGGUUUAAACUAAUUUUGUUAGUUCCUAAGUUUUUGGAACUUAAAGUUAGUAAAUUUUUUUGUGGUGAUUAAUGAACCAAAAUUGGACCACACACUCACACACACACACACACACACACACCUCCCGUUGACCUUCUUUCUCCUCCCUCUCGGAUCUUCUUCCAUUUCUAUACAACUUGUACGGACAACCUUCAAACCUUCACUUCUAGUCGCAGAUCGAAGCUGGGGAAGUGAUCUUUGUGUUCCUUGCAAGUCCAGGAGCUUAUCCAUACCAUUUUUGGUAAGUGAAACCCUCGAAAACCCGAGAAUUCAGAAUCUCAGUUUUGAUGCACUGUUCAUGUGGUCGUAAUUAUGGAUGUUUUAGGUGAUUUGAAGCUUUUAGGAAGUUGUAAAACAUCCCUACGAAGCUCGAAGAAGAAAAACCAAGUAAAUUGGACGUCGGGAAUGUGAGAUUAGCGAGUUUUAAGUUUGGCUUGAUUAUUGUGGAUUUUUCUGGCAAGAUCCUGUGAGUUUUACGUCUUAAAACUGGUAAGGAUUUGUUCUACUUGUCUUAAGCUUCAUUUUGGUAUAUAAUUCGUGAAUUUUAGUUGAAAAAUGAAGAAGUUACAAGGUUGUAAAGUUUUUCCAGUUUCCGGCGAAGGCGACGGUCGCCGGAGUUCGAAGGUAGGGGAUGACGGAAUAUUCUGUCAACUUUGACGGAAUAUUCCUAACAGCGUUGGUUAGUUUUAACGGUUUCUGUUACUUUUUAACGGAAUAUUCCUAACGGGGUUAAGGGAUUCUGUUAGGGUCCCUGCGCGUGGCCCUUGUUGACGUGUGACGGGGCGUGAGGGCUCCAAAAAUUAUUUUAAAAAUUUGGGGAUGUUUAUGGAGUUGUGUAGGUCACGAUGGUAUCUUUAUAUACCUCAAUUGAGCAAUGUAUGAGAAUUUAUUAGCUAGUAUUGGUUAUGUGCUUUAAAUUAAUGUUUUUAUAGUUGUUUCGCAUAUAGAGGAGACUUAUCCCGAGGACGAGCGCAGUCAAGGGCAAUUAGGGGGUUAUAACCCUUCGACAUACCAGUGAGUGGGCUUUUGGUUUUAAGUAUAUAUGUAUAUGCUUGGUAUCUUUCCCAAAAAAUGCAUUUAAAUGAGUUAUGACUUAAAUUGCCAUGCCAAAUGUUUUACAUUUAGAAUAUGCAUAUGAUGUUUGCAUAUAUAUAUAUAUAUAUAUAUAUAAUUGUGGUGUUAUGGACGCUCAGGUAAGUCCCAGGUGAGUUUAUGAAUUGUGAAUGUGAAUAAAGGUUGUGAUUAAUUGAGGAACAUUAAGCUCGUAAACCUGCACCGGUGUUUGUGAGUUAGUUAGAGAUAUGACACAUGCCUGCAUAUAUAUAAUGUCACCUCCGCACCAUAUGCUCACAUCGGAUCCAAUUUAGGUGCACAGUCUUGUUGUACAGACCAUCAUAGUUGGUUCCGACUCGUAGGUGACUAGCGAUUUAUCACACAACUAUCAUGAGAGAGUAGCACUGAGCAUAACUAUAUUACACCCAAUCCUGUUGUACAGACCAUUACAGUGGUUUCGACUCGUGUGCAGUGUAGUGCCGUAUAGGUCAUUUGCAGUGACUUCAGCUAGAUUGACUAAUGAGCUAUGAAUUCAGCCGUAUAGACUUCUGCAGGGGUUUCGGCUAAAUGUUAUUUUCCAUGAAUUUAUUUUCACAUGAGUUACUUAUUCUGUUUAUAUCUUGGCAUGACAUAUUUAUGAUUAUGGUGAUGUGAAGCAUGAUUUGAAUAUAUAUAUAUAUGUAUAUAUAUUUAUAUUUUAUUUAUGGGAAAAAUUAUACAUGUUUUACGGCGAGGGGUUAAAACAUUUGAAAGUUAAAUGUGUUUUCAAAACCUUUGUUUUUGCCCACUCACGUUUUCUGUUUUACGCCAAUCCAGGUUUUAGGUAGACUUACUGUUGGUGGCAUUUGAGGAUUCGACGGUUCUGACAAAAUAUAAUAUCCGUAUGACCUCUUCUGGUACUGUUUAACUAGUACUUGUCCACUGGACUGCACCUAGACUUUCUAUGCUCUGAUUAGGUGUAUUUAUACUUGUAUCUCAUUCCUAGCACUUUCUGCUUAUUAGUGCACAUUAGUAGCUUUCGAUUUUUAUUUAUUCGUAUAUUUCUUAUCUUUAUCGUUUUCGCAUUGUGCACAUGGCUAUGUCACCCUCACGUGAUGGCCAACACGCCUUGACUUUGGUCGGGGUGUGUCACCGAGGAAGUCGCGUGGCAUGGGUAACGGUUUGGGCUACCGCGUCUGAGUUGCUUGCCAAAAAUGAGGAAACUGCUUGAGUUUGAUUUCUCAGCUGCCGUAGAUGGAGCAAUCAAGGAUAAAGCUGCCAAGAUCAGAGUUACUAAAGAUGAAGUGUCGGAUGAGCGAAUUGUUAAGUGUAAAAGUGGCUGCUGCCCCCUGACCAUUUGCUGCCUAGUUGAUCUUUAAGCAUUCGAUCUUUUAAGCUAUGUGGCCUUCUCGUACUUGAGAGCUUACCUAGAUAGGUGUCAAGGAAUUAGUUUACCCUCUCUCAUUGGAGAGCAAUUAGUUUAUCCUUUUACAUUGGAGAGCAAACCCAUAUGGGUGUCUAGGAAUUGGUUUACCCUCUCGCACUGGAAAACAAUUUGUCCUAUCGCAUUGGAAAGCAUACCCAUAUGGGUGUUUGGGAAUUGGUUUACCAUUUCUCACUGGAGAGCAAUUAGUUUAUCCUCUUGCACUGGUAAACAUGCUCAUAUGGGUGUCGGGGAAUUAGUUUACCCUCUCGCACUAGAGAGCAAUUGGUUUAUCCUCUCGCAUUGGAGAGCAGACCCAUAUGGGUGUUGGGGAAUUAGUUUACCCUCUUUCACUGGAGAGCAAUUAGUUUAUCCUCUCGCACUGAAGAGCAGACACAUGUGGGUGUUAGGGAAUUGGUUUACCCUUUCACACUGGAGAGAACUUAGUUUAUCCUCUUGCACUGGAUACGGGUGUCGGGGAAUUGGUUUACCCUCUCACACUGGAGAGCAAUUAGUUUAUCCUCUCGCACUGGAGAGCAGACUCAUGUGGGUGUCAGGGAAUUGGUUUACCCUAUCGCACUAGAGAGCAAUUAGUUUAUCCUCUCGCGCUAGAGAGCAAACCUAUAUAGGUGUUAGGGAAUUAGUUUACCCUCUCGCACUGGAGAGCAUGAAAGUCAUUGUCGUGAGUGCAGUUGAGGAAAGAUAGACUGCUGGACAAUCAAAAUAAUCCUUAGCCUGCGAGGUCAUGUUUGGCUAUCUGCUUGAGACUUCGAACUGCUUGUGGAAUCCGCGUAAGGGUGUAAGCGUAGUGAGCUGCUCCCAGAAUUAUUGUGCCAUCAUUAAGUGUUUAGUCGUGUGCCCUUUUGAGGUUUGGUUAGCGCAAGCCAUAUGGCAAGAUCGGUAUGGCUAGGAGCUAUGGUGCAAGAUUGGCACAGUUAUGAGCCAUGGUGAUAGAUCAAUGGUUGUUAGGAGCCAUGAAGUAGGCAUGCACGGUUGUGUCCUUCUGGUACUCGUCUGCCCCCGGCGUGCCAUUAGGCUGAGUUACUGCGUUUGUUAAAGCAAAAGUAGUCUUUAUAUCCGGUAAUCUAUAUGGGGUAGUCCCAUUUGCUCGAUCUUGUCAUUGAAAGAUGACUCGCUUAUGUUGGUCAUCUCUCAUCAGAGCGUAUUGUCAAUAGCUUCGUUGCAUGGGAAAUCGUGCAAUCGCUCGGUCACGAGUUUUUCUACUUCUUCAUGAAUUUUCUUUUGUUGGGGGUGGCAAAGCUUUCGGCUACCCCCGGUUAUGACCUACUGGUCUAGGCUGCUCUUCAAUGUGUUCAGCUCGUCUAUGCCGUGACUACGGUGGGUAUGGUAUGUUCCUAGCAGGUGAGCAGGUAACUCGCAAGCUGCUGGUUGAACUUGAGUUGGAUUGAGUGACUGAUUCUCUCCGUCCGCUGUAUUGCCUACUUGGAUAUGAGGCGAAUGAUGCUUCUUGUGGGCCUUGCCGUGGAUGAACACUUCGCCUGAAAGGUUGCUCAUGUUGAUUAUUGGAGUGUGGCCCCAACCAUGAGUGUAUGCUUAUCUGUGGGCCUAACUGAGAGUGCACGUUCUUCCACACACUAAGACUGGUCAAGUGGCUGCUUACCAGGAUGCUGGUGGAGAGGUUCGUCUGCCCUUGUCCUUCUUCGAGACACCUCGUCCGGGGCACGUUGGAUCUCGGUGCAUUGCAAAAGUUGAUUCACCAAGGUUAUUUGUUGUGUAAGGGCGCUUGUUAGCUCUAUGACUUGUCGAGACAAGUAUUAUUCGCCAUUUGGAUUGGAAGAGUUUAGAAGGAAUAUGUUUCCUUGAGUAGUGAAAGUGUGGUAGGCUCCAGGCACGAGAUUUGAAUUGGGAAAUGUCAAAUCCGCGGAGAAACGUUUAUAGGAGCAUAUUUAUGCGACUUAGUUAGCUUGUUUUCUUGCAUUUACAUAGUUAGUUUAUGCUUAUUAUAGUGAUUUAAGCUAUUUUCGUGUGUUUGUAGGUCCAAAUGACAAAGUUGGCAAGAAAGUGCAUUUUGGAGCAUUUUAGAGCAGUUUUAGGCUGGAAUGGAUAACUUACAUAUGGAGCACAAGGAAUGGAUGAAUUUGAAGUCAAGAUAGGCUAAGAAUGUGCUGAAAAGAUGAAGAAAAUAAAUCCAAGACAAAGAAGAUAAGGAAUCAGCUAAAAGGAAGGAAUAUUAUCCAAAACCUUAUCCAAUCUUAUCUUAUCCAAAUAUCCUUAUCUUAUCUUAUCCUAACCUUAUCCUAAUAUAUCUUAUUUCCAUCUGCAAGGGGGAAUUAUUUUCAGUUUACGACACCUAAAUGCAUAUUUCUAGAAGCCUUAACAUAAUCCUACAAAUCAGCCGCACCUAGCCUUUCUAGAAGCCAUGUUUCCUGCCACUAAACGUAUUCCUAAUUAUUCCUGGUUUCUGCUAUUUAGUUAACCUUUUUCCUUGGGGAUUUGGAGUGUCAAUCCUUCUCCAAAGCUACCUAGGCCGUGCCUUUUUCUCCCUAUAAAUACAAGUGGUGCCGCACAAUUAAAAACACCACGCCCCACAUAAUUCGACAGCACUAUCUACCAUACAAUUCACUCCAAAACACAGAAAUUUAUCAAGUAACGCAGCAAGGAAGGAAGGGAGAAAGUUAGAGCCGUGACUUGCCAUUCAAUCUUUGGAGUGUUGGAGAGUUUCUGGGUUCUUUCUAUAUUUAGUUUUAGUUCAAUGUUUGUUUUAAUUUGGUUUUAUGUUUUCAAAGACGUGAGGAACUAAUUUCUUUUUAGUUAGAGGUGAAUUCGAAGCCAUGAUUAUAUGUUUUAUAUGAAUUGAUUACAUCCAAUUAUUGUUUCUAGAGUCUUGAAUGUGAUUUGCUUAUCUGAGUUAUUAAAACUUGUUUAUGUAUGUAGACUGAGGGUCGACACUUAAUUUGCAUGCAUGAAUUUGAUGCUAAAGUAUAAGGGAGUUUUACCUAAUCGUUAUGAACUUAUAUUCACAAGUAGUGGAAGUCACUAGUCAUGAUUGUGUUAAGUAAAUUCUUGGCAGGAGUAUCAUGCUUUUCAUAGUUACGAAUGCCUCGUCAAUGCUUAUGGUUUUCAAAGAACUUAAUGACCUUUGAUAUGUCUUUCUAUCAUGCUUUUCAUAGUUAGGGAACUUGAUAAGGAUACUUUGGUUGCGAUGCGUAUUCCAUCCAAUUCAAUGAAUUAAGGAAAAUCUAAUGGUUAAUUUGUGCUAUCGCGGUUAACUUGGGGUGUUGUCAUUCAUGGUUUAAAGAAACAAUACUGGAAAUCAAUUUAUGUGCAUGUGUUUCAUGUGUGGAGAAGGACCCUCUAACUAGCUUUUCACCCUUGAAUUCACCUUAAUUUCAUUUUAACUUACUUGGUUUGCUGCAAUUUACUUAGUUUUGUCAAAUUCGUUCAAAAACCCCCUCAGUUUUUAUUUGGUGUCUUAGUUUAGUUAAUUUCGUUCAAAUCUGUCCCCAUUUAGUAUUUUGAGUCAAGUUAGUUUAGAAUUCGUCCAAAUCACUCUUUAGUAUUUGUUUUGAGUCUUUUUAACUUAGUUUUGCUGUUUUGAGUCAAUUUGGUUAGUUUUGAGUCAUAAGAGUCUAGUUUAGUGUUUUCAAGCCUAGUUAAGUCUUUUUGAGUUAAAUUUGAGUAGAUUAGCAUCCCUUAUAAUCCCCAGCCUAAAACGAUCUCUACUUACAUAAACUACAACCAUAGGGUUUUAAUUUGAGUGUUAGUUAAUUUCACAUCAAACGUGGUGAAAAUGCCUUGGUUUGAUAGUUGGUCUGGAUGGUUGAGAUAGUCUUGGGCUGAUUUGGGCUGCUUGGAAUGUCGCGGGAGCAGGCUGGGCCACGAGAGAAGGCUGCUCAGCGAAAGCAAGCUGGGCUAUGGGAGUGGGCUACUCGGUGUAUGAUGCACGAGGGUGAGAGGCUUGGGCUCGGCUUGGCAAUGUGUUGGGGUCGCGUUGGGCGUGGAGCGACAUGGCUUGGGUUGUGACUUUAGUGCCGUGAGCUGCCUUGGAUGGCACGGCUCGGGCCGUGGUGGUGACACCAUGGACCUCACCGCAGGUGGCUACCGUGGUAGCCACCGCGGUGGUGGUGCCGCUUCACCUAUUGUCACAUUUAGCCUAGUGGAUCGCUGUGGUCCCAUCUCUUGAAUGUUGAAAUUUUCAUUUGUUGAAUUUUCUUAAUUUCUAGCCAUUGUACUUCUCUUUUACGUUUUAUCAAAGAAUUUUUGCAAAUAAAAAAUUCUAAUAAUAAGAACGUACGAUAAAUCUACAAAUGGACAAGAAAAUAGAAAGCCUUGGAUGCGAGAGUCUUCUACGAGUGUGGGACUCAACUCUCAAUGAAAUCACCAAUUUGUGGAUUCAAAUUUCUUCCUCCAUGUUCUUGGACAAAAUUGCACCUGCAAAACAAAUAACACCUUAGGUCAAGGCCAAGAGCCUCAUGUGCCCAUGAUGAAUAGGGGGCUUUGGCCGAAGAACCUCCGAUGCCAAAGUUAGAAUUUUGAGGGAAAAAUAUUUGGAGAAUUUAGAGAACUUAGCAAGAGCAUUGAAAUUGAGUUUUGGAAAGAAUGAUGAAGUUUUUAUAGGGGUGUGGCCCGCCCCUUUGGGAUAGAAACGAUCGGCCACUUGGUUCUUUUUGUGGGUUAGGUUCUUGAUUUUUGUUUAAUUAGGAAUAAUUGAAUAAUAAAUCAAUUAAUUAGCUAAUUAAUAGAAUAAUUUCCUAAUUAAUUAAUAUAAGAAAAGGGGAAUGAUUUGGGAGUUACCUUGUGGAGAGGAUUUGAUGAGGAUGGAUGAAAUAGGUUUUGAAUUAUUACCUAUUUUGACCACUUUUGACUUGGUUGAGGGUUGAUUGCCCACUGCUCGCGUGUAGGAAUCCUGGUAUGCCUCGAGGGUAAUUUUGUCCUUUUAACCCAAAAAUCCACGUGUUGCCUUAUAAUUAUUUUUGGCUCCACAAUAUUGUCUGCAUAAAAAGACUUUGUUAGCCCAAGUUUGUCAGUGCAAAACAAGAGAGAAAAAAAGAUUUAGACCCUAGCUUUUAAUGUGAAAAAAAUGAGGAGUUGUAAAGGAAAAAUGGCCUUUGAUUGGUAGAAUCAUGUUGAAAUUAACGUUGCAGCCAUGAGAUUUUCCAUGGAUUGUGCAUGCUUAAUUCUGCAAUAAUCAAACCCUUACAAUGACACAAUUUUUAACCAACAUUCUAUUCUGGCUAAAACCUUAAGACGUUCUCCUAGAGAAAAACAAGCUCUUUUGACCAAUGGAUAAUGAUUUUAAAGUUUUGGAUCCUCCAACUAAGGUAUGAAUUGAUUUAUACAAGUUUUUUAUUUUUUUAUUUUUUGUUUAAUUUCAAGGGUUUUAAGGUUUAGGUGUGUAUUGCCUAGAAAAAAAGGACAUUGUUAGUCCAAGUCUGUGUGUGCGAAACAAAAGAAAGAAAGAAAAUGAAGAAUUUAUGCCCUAGUUUUAAUUGUGAGGUAGAGGGGGAGUUGUAAAGGAAAAGGAUCUUUGAUUGGUGGAAUUUAUGCUGAAACUAAGGUUUAGCCAUGCGACUUUCCAUGGACUCUGCAGUCUCCAAUCCAUGGUUGCAGUUGUGCGUUUUUGUUUUGUAAUGCUUGCGAAACUGUUUGAUCAGCAACUACCAAAUAAAUUAGAACGACUUUGAUUUUCAUUUUUUAAAUGGUUGUAAAGAUAAAUUUAUAUAUUGAAUUGAGUUUGUGAUGGUAGUUUAGGUAGUAAGUUUGGGUUUAAAGAGAUAUUGAUAAUUGAAUUAAAAAUAACAUGGGUGUAGAGAGUAAGUAAGGUGUAGAGUGCAGUUAUAUGGAUCCAAAUAAAACUUUUCUAAUGUCAUGCGUAAGUCUUCUUUCACAUGGCAAAACGUUACUUGGUUAUGAUGCGAUGUAAAUAAAUCUUUGAGGAAGAUGAAACUUAGACGGAAGUCACGAAAUUUGUUCCCACCAUCUAUACUGGAUCUUAGCCAAGGUAUAAAAUAUCGAUAAUAUCGGAAAUAUCGGUAGUUCAAAAAUACGGAAAUUUCGACGGAAAUAUCGGGAUAUUAUCGAUAUCGAUAAAAAUUGAAUAAAAACCACGGAAAUUGUAAGCAAAACUUGGAAAUUUUUAUUGAAACUUUGCAGGAUGUUUAUUUAGUCAAUUAUCUAUUAGUUUAUCACAAAAAAUUGGAAGGAAAUGCAUUGCAUGAUGUAUUUAACUGAUUUAAGUUGAUUAUAUAGCAAGCUGGCAAACAUUGUGAGUGUAGAAAAUAUGUAGUAAUUAAUAAAAGAAGUUUAAACACACCAUAAUCAUUUAUAUAUAAUGAAUUAGUACAAUAUUUUACACUUUUAUACAUUGCAUGAUAAGAUACAUGAAUGACUUAGUACCACACAGAGUUCCUAUGAGAUUCAAAUUUUUCACUAUCUUCAUCAUCUCUAUGUGUAGAGUAAAUGUAUUGUGAAGAGUAGUCAUCAAAUGAUAAAUCUCCAAAAUAGUUUUGCAUGUAAUUGUUAACAUGCCACCCAUAUGGAUCCGAGAUUGGUUGACGUUGUCCAUAAGCAAAAUCAUUUGAAGAUUGAGUCUCAGAUUCUUUCCAUGAGUCACUCGAUUCCAUUCCAACAAGAAUGAGAUAUGAAGGGCAGGGAAAUGGUUGGUUAUGAGUAUAACCACAGUUACUACUUCCCACUCCAACAGAGUCCGAAGUUAUAGAUAACGAGUCAUCUUCUUGACUUGACAAAAUCCUCUUGUCUCUUUCUCUACGAGUAUAGUCCUUUCCUAUGGCACAAAUUCCUGGUCCUGCCCGCCUACUGCCAUGAUCCUCAUCCUGUGUUGCAUGAGUGAAGUUUGCCUCACCAGUGAAGGGGCUCAUAAAUCCGGGAGGUGGUCAAACAUAGUUUCCAUAUCCACCACUACCUCCAGCUCCACUAUAUCCUUCAUCAUUCCCACCUCUGGUGGUAGGUGAGUUUCCUGAUCUUGUACUAGAGCUAUCAUUAGUAUCAGCAUGAUCUUGUGGUUGUGUACGAUUGGAAGAAGGUGGAAUUCCAGUGUUUCUUGGUCUUGGACGCAAAAGUUCUUCCAAAGAGUCAGCGCUGCUAGAUCCCACCUCCUCCUCUAAUACUCUUUCUACAUUUAUCCCUUCAUUACGUGCUUCUUCAGCAACUCUCGGAGCUGGGUUGCCUUCAUCAUCAUCUAAUUGAAGAGGUCUAAUCCAUUGAUAAAGUUGGUUACCCACUGUAUCAUCAUCUUCAGCAACAAUAUCAAACACAUCUAGUGGGUCACCAGGGUCGACAUGAUCUAUUUCUGCUUCCUUAUCUCGAAUUUGAAGCUUCAUGUUGUAGUAGCAAUAAACUAAUUUUUCCAACCUGCUAUGAGCCAACCUAUUUCUUUGCUUUGUGUGUAUGAGUGCAGAUGUACUCCAAUUUCUUUCACAAGUAGAUGAGGAAGCUGUUUGUGAUAAUACUUUGAUUGCUAACUUUCUCACAGUUGGUGCAUCAAUCUCAUACAUGAUCCACCAUUCAGCUAUAAUGAAAAACAAUGUUGAUAAGCCUAAUAACUCCAACAAAUUCUAUUAUAAACUUAUAGUGAAAUAUGUUUACACUAAUUAGGAGACAUUUUUGUUCAAGUAGCAACUGAUGUUGGUUCUCCAAAAGUUAUUUUUGCAUCUUAAAACCAUGUUAGCUGAAUUCAAUAAAUCGUGUUAGUUUAAUCCAACAAUGUAAUUAUUAUAAUUUAAGUAAUUGUGUACCUCAUUUCCAAAUUGGCCAACUGCUGGUGAUGCAGGGUCCAAUUUAGAGUAUACAUUAUGUACAACACGUAUAAGGGUACCAUCAUCUCCAACACCGAGUCUGUAUUGGUAUCCAGGAUUCAAAUAAUAUGUUGUUCAAAGAAACACAUACUCUAAUAAGAGAAAUAACACUUAUGCAACUAAAGAAAUGAAUUGCAAAUUAUGACAUAAUUUAUACCUGCUGCAUGCAAAUCGUGGUAUAAUGUUUUAUACCAUCGGUCAUCAAUUAUCUUUAUGACCCACCUUGCACCAUGUUUACUUUCCAAGUCAUCCUUCACUACACGCAUCAACUCAUAUAUUGCCCUCAUAGUAGGAUACACUUCUGAGUCAACGAUCCGUAAAACUUUGUAAAGAAGUUCAAACACUUGGCACACAUGUUCUGAUUGAGUCCAAAAAGCAUGAUCAAACAUUAUACUUUCCACCAUAUGACUUGCAUUUGAGUGGCUGAAAUUGUGGUUGGCCCAAUCAUCACUAGUGAAUAGUUGCUUCAACCUUACUUUCUUCUUAAGUAGGCUGUCUAAUGCAAUAUAGUUGGUGGCGAAUCAAGUGGUAGCUGGACGAAUAAUUUCUCCUUUGCAAAAUUCACGCAUUUUUGCCAACAACCAACCGUGAUUAUUUAUAUAAUUUGUGAUCGUUCUAGCUCUUUUUACGACGGUAGCAAUAUUCUCUCUCUUCCCCAUUGCCUCAAAUAUGAGAUCAAUACAAUGUGCUGCACAUGAUGUCCAAAACACAUUAUGAUGCUUCAUUAACUUUUUUCCAGCUUUGACAAAUGCAAAACCGUUGUCGGCCACAACCUGGACAACAUUAUGCUCUCCCACCUCCAUGAUUACAUCCCUCAAUAAUUUGUAAAUAUACUUGUAGUUUUUUAUAUGGUCUGAAGCAUCAAUGGACUUAAAAAAAAAUUGUCUUUCCCUUGGAGUAUACCAUUUUAUGAUAGACAAUUUGGUCGGGCCAGUCCAUCUGUCACACAUGAUUGUGCAACCAUUAGUUUUCCACUUUGACCUCAACUUGUUAACAUACUUGCCAAUGUCUUUAUACUCCAUUUUCAAAUAUUUGUUUCUUACCUCAUAGGGAGUGGGAGGUUGUACUCCAACAUCGGCCUGUUAACAUCCCAAUACCAUAUUUUUGAAAUGAUGUGAAGAUGUCUUCUUAGCAGGGACAUUUUCAUAGAUAAAGAACUUGCUAAUUAGAUGCCCCAUUCCCUCCUUCACAUUACCUCCAGUGAAAUAACUCCAAACACUCUUUUGACGUGCUUUGGAUGACUUAUAUAACCUUGGGGCUUUUGGUGGUGUUGGUUGUGAUUCUCUAACACUUGCUCCCCGUCUCAUUUGUGCACCACCACUUGUCCAGGAACCUUAUGCUCUAUUAGGAAUUUUAUGAAGGUGUUCUCUUUCCCAUGCUGACUGUUUGGAGGCACGUAAUGCUUGUUUGAAAUUGCGUUGUUCUUCAGGUCCCAUGUCAUCAUCACAUUUGUCCUCAUCGUCAUCAUCAUCACUGUCAACCGCUUGGCCAAUGACUUCUCCUCGUAGCCCAGCUCGAAUAUUUUCCAUUCCAUGUGUUUUCUUUUCCUUCUGGUGUUUUUUAUUUUUUUAAUAAUGUGAUGAUAAAUGCCUUCACUUCUGGGGGGACAUUAUCGCAUGGUUGGACAUUAUUUCCUGGAUCUAAUCCACUAAGAUCAUACUUAAGUCGUGUCACUCCACCACUCUUCAUUACCCGACCACAAUAUUUGCAAAUUGUGCCAUGUUUGUUUCCAUCUAUUGGGUCUCCAUGUUCCCAAGCUGGAUCACGUUUAGUAACUCCACUAUACAUCUUAAACGUACAUAUAUUUAUUUUUCAUGGAAAUUAGGCAAUUAUUUUUUGGCCAAAAAAUAUAGUAGUGACGGUUAUAUAAGAGAACCUAAAUAAUAAAGUUAUUCUACAGAGGAAUUAAAUAGGAAGUAAAGAAAAUGAUUGUAAGAAUUUAAGUAAUUAUAAAAAUAAUAUGGAAUAAUAAAACCUAAUAUUAAUGAAUAAUAAUCCAAUUUGAUAAUAAAAUAAUAUAACAUUAAACACAUUAAAAUUAUCCUAGGGACUAAUUAUACAACAUUACUUAAUUACUUCAAAAAAUUAACAUGGAAGUAUUAUUUGGUUCUUAGAUCACAUGCACGGGUCCACACAAUUUUUUUUUGUUGUAUAAAUUAAAAUAAUAUAAAUAUAAGUUUGUAAACUUACCUUAAAUAUGGAACCCUUUGUGUAAAGGCCAAAUAGAAUUUGCGUGGACCAACAAUAAAAUAAUAAUUACACAAAUGUAACAAAUCUGGAACUUUCGAUGUCGUACGUAGCAGCAGAACCUCGACGAUCCUUUGCAGCUUGCCGUCUGUGAAUAAAUGACAGAGAAAGAAGGUAUUUAACAUUUAAUUUGAAGUGGCACGAGCUGCAGAUCCAUUUAUUCAGUUUGAAGGUCUGAAAGGGCUCUGGAAAGGUUCUGAAAGGGCUAAGGGAAGAAGAAGAAACGAAAAGGUGUAAUAGAGGUUUUUCAAUUUUCGAAGGGUCAAAGUCGUCAAAAGUUUGAGAUUUAUACAUACAUACAUAUAUAUAUAUAUAUAUAUAUAUAUAUAUAUAUAUAUAUAUAUACCGUUUAGAUUUAUAUAUAGAGUUUAGGGGAUUAAAGAUAUUUCAAAGGCAUCACGUGGGGACAAAAUCAAAAGCAACAAUUCUUUUGGUUCAACUCUUACAUGCACAAGGGCUUCACGUGGAUAAGAAAUAAAGAUAGCAGAUUUUUUGGUUCAUUUUGAUGUGAAAAAAGGGCUUCACGUGGAUAAGAAGAUAAAGAUAGCAGAUUUUUUGGUUCUUUUGAGCAAAGUCAAGUCGACAUAAUGUUUGAAGAUAAAGAUAGCAGAUUUUUUGCUUUUAAAAUUGUUUUUUAGUCUUAAUAGGUGUGCCACGAGGCCCACCUUUGUUUGUUGUUCCUCGGGUGGUCUAAGCCUAACUCGUCUCUCUCUCUCUCUCUCUCUUCUCUUUCCCUCCUUCACACUCUCUUCCUUUUCCUCUUCUUCCCUGAGCCUCUGUGUUCUCUCAUCUUCCCGUCGAACACACACACACACCCAGUCACCGCACACCCUUCGUAGUACUCCGUCAACGGCAUAUCAUCACCAUCUAAACCUCGUCUUUCUCUCCUUUUCUCUCAGUGUAGCUAUGACAGUGGAACCCAAGAACUCUCCGGCGAGUUCUGUUGAUCCUUCUCUGGUUAGGUAAGCCUCGGUUAUCUCAAUUCAUCUUGGAUGUUGUGUGGUUGAGAUAUACUAAGUUUUAUCGUUUUUUUAACAAGGUUUUAGAACAAGAUCAACCCGGUGGAAGGCACACCCAGCUCCGGCAAGGCCGUGAGUGUCGAGGAACUUUCCGAACACCACCGUUUCACGGCAAACAGAAGUUAUAAAAACAUUCCUCUCGUCUUGUGUUUCAUUUUGAUACCUAGAUCAGAGUCUAGGGUGCUCUUCUCCAAUUCGUACCAGGCCUAAAAUAUUGCGAUAUUAUUGAUAUUAUCGCGAUAUUAUCGAUAAUAUCAAUAAUAUCGCGAUAUUUUUACAAUAAUUCAGUGGAUAAGUGUGAAAAUAUCGCUCUCCCACAAAAAUGAUAUUAUAACCGAAAUACGCUGAUAAUAUCGACAUUUCAGACCAUGACCUUAGCCAAAAGGCUAAGUUUCGGUGCAUCGCACCGCACCUAAUCAGCGCCCAUAUGGGCCUUUGUUUUGGGUCCUUUUUUUUUCCAGCUCGUUUGUUGCUGCUGGGCUUGCAGCCCCUUGGCCUGAUCAGCCUGUACUCUUUUUUCCAGCCCAGAUUUUAGGCCUGGGCCGCACGACCGUAAUUACUUAGCCCACCCGUGGGCUUUGGUCCACUGUUUUGGGCCCCAAGUUUUAAUUACCUAUUUUUUUUCGGCACUUUUGAGUUUUAUAAUUUUUCACCCACACUUUAAUUUUGGCCCAAAAUCUAAAUAAUUAAUUCAGUUAUAAUUCUAGACCCAAAGAUCUAUUUGCAUAUUUCUUGUUGCAUAUUAUAUAUAUAUAUAUAUAUAUAUAUAUAUAUAAUAUAUUUGUGUUUAUCUGCAGGAACAUAUGAACUUGAAGUUCAUAAUUUUUUCGAAACCUGAAAUUUCUAGAAAACAUGCCUUAUUUGAAAACCUGAAGUUUUCCUUAAAACAUCACCCAUGAAAACCCGAAAUUUUUUUCAUGUAACUUUAAACCAUUGUCUAUUGAUUUUCUCCAUUACACUAACAACAUUCUUGUCCAUUUAUUUUGUGAUAAAGACAUGUCAAAUUUGAACAAACUCAACUUCACCGCUUUAGAGGUCUUUGGAAAAAAACUACCUCAAGUGGGUCCAAAUGUGAAGCUCCACCUCAUCGCAAAGAAUUUGCGCCCAGUCAUUGAAGAUGAGACAGACAACCCGGUUGGCAAAACUGAGAAAGCCACUGCCAUAAUCUUUAUCCGAAGACACAUUCAUGAUGCACUGCAAACCGAGUAGCUUGCUAAGGAAGAUCCACGAGCAUUUUGGGUUGCUUUGGCUGAUCGCUUUGAUCACCAAAAUGACAUCUUCUUAGCUAAAGCAAGACAUGAUUGGUAGCAUCUACACUUCUAAGACUUUAAGUCUACAAAUGAAUAUAAUUCUGAAGUUUGUCGAAUCCGAUCACUUCUCAAGUUUUGUAACGAGAACUGGACUGAAGAGGAUCUCCUGGAGAAGAUAUAUUCGACCUUCUCUGCUGCCAAUAUUGUCCUGCAGCAACAAUAUAGGGCUCAGAAGUUCACUAAGUUUUAGGAUUUGAUCUCUGUUUUACUUCUCGCUAAAAAGCAGAAUAAGUUGUUGAUGAAGAAUCAUCAAGCUCGACCUACUAGGGCAACUGCUAUGCUUGAAACACAUUAUAGCACAAACAAUUUCCCAAAACGCCAACAUAGGGGUGGUAAAGGCGGUCAGAAGCCACCCCAUCAAGGUCAACAGAGCCAAAGCCUAUCUAAGGGAGGAAACCGAGCCCAUAAGCAUUCUAACCUCGCUCCCAAGGCCCUGAACUUCAUGAAUAAGGGCAAAGCACUGACACCAUGGAUGCGAACAUGUGCUAUCGUUGUGGUUCAAAUGACCAUUGGCCGUCGUGCUCCCUCGACAGUUUGUAGCUGAAUAUCAUUCUUGUCGUAAGAAGUUUGAAUCGAACUUUAUGCAAGUGGAUGAACUAGAGAGUACCAAAAUGGAGGUUUCUGAUUUUCAAGAGGCUAUUACCUCUAUGGAAGAUUAGAAUCUUAUACAUAAAUUAUUUUUAGUUGAGUUUAGAACCUUGGGGGGCCGAAUUUCACCUAGUGGCCAAACCCUCCUUGUUUUUUGUUCAAGUUUGAAUAAUUUUCCUUUAUGUUUGGAUUAUUUGUUGGUGAUUUUUUUUUUUUUGGAUAUUAAGUCUUUUUAAUUACCAUCCUUGAAUACUUAAAUUAUUUUGAAUGGAUAUUUAUCUUUUAGAACUUUUAUGCAUGUGACAUAUUGAAAUUAAUUUUUAUUCCUAGGUAUGACUAAUGAGAAAGUUAGUUGUUUGGCAGAUAGUGCAACCAUACACACUGUUUUGCUUAUCGUACCUAAGAAUGCACUUCUGACAACCUUCUUAGGCUCAUCCAACCUAAUCGAAGGAUACGGUAAGAAACGAAUAAUGUUGUCUAGAUGAGGCACUUUAUUUUUCACGUUCCGAAAGAACGUUGUUGAGUUUCAAGGACAUUCGAGACAAUAAUUACCACACUUAAACCUAUGUAGAAAAUGGAGUUGAAUUUAUAUGCAUCACUUCCUACGAAUAUGACCAGAAGCGUAUUCUAGAGAAGAUGCAGCGUAUCUCAAGUGGUCUGUAUACUACAACCAUACGUUCUAUAGAAAGCCACUAUGUGGUCGGUCCUACCUCUGAGACUGCACACCAAAUUACACUUUGGCAUGAUCGUUUAGGACACCAUGGACGAACAGCGAUGCGUUGUAUCUUCAAAUAUUCACACGGACAUCCACUAUCCCGAAGUUUAGGUUGAUUCAAGGAAUCGCAUGUCAAACCUGCUCAAUGGGAAAACUUAUCAUUAAGCAUUCUUAUAACAAGAUUCGUUCGAAUCCUCCUACUUUUCUACAAAUGAUUCAGGGGGACAUUUGUGGAGCGAUUCAUCCUCUCUGCUGACCAUUUAGAUAUUUUAUGGUAUUGGUUGACGCCCCCACACAUUGGUCACAUGUGUGCUUGUUGUCCAAAAAAAUGUUGCAUUCUCUAAACUGUUGGCUCAAGUUAUCAAGCUCAGGGCUCACCACCCUGAUUAUCCGAUUAAAUCUAUUCGAUUGGAUAAUGUUGGAGAAUUCACAUCUAAAACUUUUGAUGGCUAUUGCAUAUCAGUUGGGGUUGAAGUUGAACAUCCAGUACCCUAUGUUCACACUCACAACGGCUUGGUAGAGGCGUUCAUUAAGUGCUUACAAAUGAUUGCUAGAUCGUUCGUCAUAUGUACCAAGUCCUGAUCGCUACUUGAGGCCAUGUAAUAUUUCACGCAACCAUGUUGGUCUGCCUGAGGCCUAUUGUGACCCAACCAUAUAGCGCACUUCAGUUGGUUACCGGAUACGAACCCAACAUAUCACAUAUACGAGAUUUUGGUUUUUAGGUUGUGAGAUCUAUGUGCUGAUCUCGCAGCCAUUAUGAACAAAAAUGGGGCCUCCGCGAAGGAUGGAUAUCUAUGUCGGAUAUGGUUAUCCUUCAAUUAUUUGUUACUUAAAACCUUGUACAAGCGAUAUUUUUACUGCUCAUUUCAUGGAUUGUCACUUCUAUGAGACAAUCUUCUCGUUGUUAAAGGGAGAUAAAAACGUCACCGUUCCUGAAGAAUAACACGAAUUAUCUUAGAUGACUCCCACUUUGUCUCAUUUAGCCCCAUACCGCUCAGUCUGAAACUGAAGUGCAACGUAUAUUAGGUCUUCAUAGAGUAGCUCAGAGCAUGCCAGAUGCUUUAACAAAUUUGGCAUGAGUGACAAGAUCACAUAUUCCCGAUGUAAAUGUGCUUGCAAAAAUGAAUGUACCAAAUGUACGAUGGACUUCCCUCCUGGAGGCCUCGGACGCCACUUUGACCGAUCCAUGUACAUUAGCGGUUAGCCAAUUCGCUACCCCUACACAAAAGCGUGGAAGACCUCUUGGUUCAAAAGAUUCACAACCACAGAAGAGGAAACCCACAACAUAGGCUGUUGAGCUUACUGUGAACUGUUACUUACUCAUUCUAUCCAACUCAUGAGGAAAUUCUAGAUUACGGAAGUAUCCUUGAAGAGAAGAAUCCAUCUCCUGAGAAUCGAGAGAUUUCGGUCUAUUGUGCUAGCUUGGAUGAUGUUUGAUGUAGAAAUGAGAUGAUUAUCGAUGAUGCAUUAACAUUUGCAGUAGCUAUUAAGAUCAUGUUGAACGAUGACAUUGAACCCCAUUCUGUUGAUUAAUGUUGACGUAGAACUGAUUAGUCAAAUUGGAAACAAGCAAUCUAAGUCGAACUCAAUUCGCUUGCGAAACGUAAGAUGUUUGGACCUGUAACUCUUACUCCUCCACAUGUGAAGCCCGUUAGCUACAAGUGGGUUUUCGUUAGAAAGUGUAAUGAAAAGAACAAAAUUGUGCAUUACAAAGCUCGUCUUGUUGCGCAAGGCUUCUCACAAUGCCCCGAGAUUGACUAUGGGAAACUUAUUUACCGGUUAUGGAUGUUAUUACUUUUCGAUACCUUAUCAGUUCUGUAGUUUCUGAAAAAAUUGAGUAUGCAGCUGAUGGACGUAGUAAUUGCGCAUCUCUAUGGAGAUCUUAAGGAAAUUUAUAUGAAAGUUCCCGAAGGACUUACAUUGAUUAGAUUAAAUAUUUUCAAAACCCAGAACGCGCUCUCAAUUUGACUGAGGCGUUCACUAUAUAGUUUGAAACAAUCCGGAAGAAUGUGGUAUAACCGUCUAAGUGAGUAUUUGACUAGUCAGGGAUAUAUGAGCAACGAACUCUGCCCUUGCGUGUUUAUUAAGAAGCCACAUUCUGGUUUUACAAUUGUUGCAGUUUAUGUUGACGACAAGAACCUUAUAGGAACUCUUGAAGAGCUCAAGAGAACUGCCGCGCACCUGAAGUCAGAAUUUGAGAUGAAGACUAGGAAAUACUCGAUAUUAUCUCAAUCUCGAGAUAGAGCAUUGUUCGAAUGGAAUCUUAGUACAUCAAUCGAACUACACCCAGAAGAUGUUGCGUCGCUUUAACGAGGAUAAAGUGAAGCCUUCGAGUACUCCUAUGGUUAUAUGACCGCUAGGUGAAAAAUGAGAUCCCUUUCGUCCGAAAGAGGAUGAUGAAGAGAUUUUGAAACUCGAAGUUCCUAAUCUAAGUUCCUAAUCUAAGUAUGAUAGGCAUUUUAUUGUACUUAGCUCAAAGCACUAGACCCGACCUUUCAUUUGUUGUUAAUAUUUUAGCAAGAUACAGUAAUGCAUCGACACACAGACACUGGAUUGGUGUUAAAGACAUCUUCCGCUACCUUAAGGGUACUACGGAUAUGGGCCUAUUCUAUCCCUACGGAUCCUCAAGUGAUGCCGCACCCUUAUCUCGAGUUGAUUAUCUCAUUGUUAGUUAUGCCGACGUAGGUUACUUAUCUGACCCGUAGAAAGCGCGUUUUCAAACGAGUUAUGUCUUUACCGUAGGAAGCACUGCAAUAUCUUGAAGGUCAACUAAAGAGACCUUAGUUGCCACUUCGUCUAACCAUGCUGAUAUACUCGCCUUACAAAAAGCUACUCAGGAAUGCUUUUGGUUGAGAGCAAUUGUGGGCUAUAUUCGAAGCUCUUGCAAUCUUUACAUAGUCGUUGACGUCUCAACAAUGAUCUAUGAAUAUAACGCAACAUGCAUGGAACAACUCAAGAAGGGUUAUACCAAAUAAGACAACACCAAGCACAUUGCGCUGAAAUUCUUCUUUUCACAUCAACAACAAGAACAUCAGAAGAUUGAAGUCAAGCAAAUCCAUUCACAAAACAAUCUGGUCGACCUUUUCACCAAAUCACUACCAAAGGCGACGUUUCAGAAGCUUGUUCAAGGAAUAAGUAUGCGUAAACUUUCUGAGUUGUAACAUUGUUAGUUCUCUUUGGAAUUAUGUCGAACUCAGGGGGAGUAUCUUGAAGUAUACUUGCUUGAUCUUAAUGUACUCUUUUUCCUUACGAUUAGGAGCAUUUUUCCCUUUGGGUUUUUGCUACCUAACGAGGUUUUGACAAGGCACCUACCUUGGGUUGAGCAUAUCCCUAAUGAUGUCAUGUAGACAUUUCAUUUGACUUUGCAUUUUGUCACAUACUUUUCCUUAGACUAUGAGUUUUGUUCCUACUUGGGUUUUACCAUAGUCAUUGGGUUUUUUGUGAGACUUAGUUCCAUGUGCAAGUUCCUACUUUGUUUAAGACUAGUGUUGUUCCCAUAAUCCAUGCCGAAGAGUCGACUUCCUCAACUCUGCAUGAUGCCGAAUCUACUUGAGUAUUUACACACUCAAGGGAGAGUAUUAUAAACAUUGAAUUUAAAUGUGAUUGCGUAAAUCCUAUAUUAGAUUUGAUACUAGCUAUUAUUUCUUAUUAGGACUUGUAUUCCUUGGAGGAGAAAGAUUAUUCCCUCCCUUAUUAUUAUAAAUAAAGGCAUUGUGUAGGGAGAAUAAAACAUCCUCUAUACAACCCUACAAACACAUAUCUCUCCCUACUCUCUCUCUUUGGCGUGCCCCCUCUCUCCCUUGUUAGAUGAAAAUAAGCCACAACAUCAACCCCAUUUUUCAAUCAAGGAUAAUAAUUCUAUUGUCCCUCACGCAGCAAAUAAAGCUUUUUUGGUCCAAGAUCGGACAAUGACACAGUAAUCAAGCGGGGCAUGAACAUUUAAUAAUGGGGUAUGGUAUCCACACACUCUUAUCAAUUUUCGACCAUUGAAUCAAAUAAAUUGAAAAAUAUCAAAUGACAGAAAUUAUUACGAGGUGCGAAUUUGAACCUUUAUGUGUUGGUAGGCUUUCAAGUCAACAAACUAAAAAAAGAUUUGUGAAUAGCACAACCCCUUAAAAAUUCUUCUAGACGAAGUUUCUUAUUAGAUUACAUUUCAAGUAUAACGAAAUGAACCCAUUGCAACUCGAUCAAUCUAAUACUAAUGUUGGUAUGAUAUGAUGCAUUCGAUUUCGGCAUUUUGUACAUUUGAGUUUCACCGUGAAAAUGGUCUAUAUUUUUCUGUCUUGAUCAUCUAUCCGAAUUAAACCACAUGCUCCACUGCUUGUGCAGACUGCAUCAAUUCAUUUGAACUUUUUUCUUGCAAACAUACUUCCAAGGCAGGAACUUAACAGGUCACUAAACUUAAACUCGAAGUUUUUCUUUGAUUAAAAAGAAACCCAAUGCUAUUGGAAUUUCGAAGUGCAGAUUUCAGUUGGUGGAGUAAAAGUAGGUGGGAACACGCGGAAGAUAUUGAUUAGGUAAAGGUUUAGUCCAAAAAAAAAAAAUUAUGUAAAAAUUUAAAAUCUCCAAAGUGGCGAAUCCCAUAAAACGUGUUGCAUUUUCAAUUUUAAUAUUUUAGAAUCAAAGCAAAACCCGUUGAAACAUUCCAAGUGAAAAAAGUUGAUGGAGACCUAAGCAUACACGAAAAAAUUAUUAGUGUAUAGAAUACAGUUGAAGAUGGGUGGAAAACACUGGAAGGUAACGGAGCCCAUAAAACGCGUAGUCUGGAAUACAUUUUUCGUCUAUUGAAAAAUUGCAACAUCUUUGCCAUGAUUUUGUCUGGAAAAAAACAUUUUUCUUUUGUUGAGAUACAAAAUUAAUUUAAACUUUUUAAUGUUAAGCAUGUCCCUAAGAAAAUGACAAAAGAAAAAACACUCUAAACUGGUCUUUGUUUUUUGGGUCAACACACUCGGAACUAGUCUUAGUAGCAAAAUCGAAGUAAAAACUCAUCCCCGAAAUCCACUCUUUCUUCAUCUUUCAGUUUCCUAUCCAACCAAGACACAGUUGUGAGCAUGGCUGAGUUGGUGGGCGGAGCUUUUCUCUCUUCUUUUCUCUCUGUUUUGUUCGACCGGAUGGCUUCCCGUCCCGUCGUCGACUUCAUAUCUGGAAAGAAAAACAACAACGAGCUGCUCAUGAGGGAGUUGAAGAUCAAGCUGCUCACUGCUAACAAGCUGGUCGAUGAUGCCGAGGAGAAGCAGAUGACAAGCCCGACCGUGAGGAAGUGGCUCGACGAUCUCAAAGAUGCUAUCUACUGCGUAGGAGAGUUGCUGGACGAGAUCAACACUGAAGCUCUUCGACGUCGGCUGGAAGGUGACGAUAACCAUUCUCCUGCAGCUAGCAGCAGCGCAAGCCGGAUCAUGAGAUCAGUAUUCAAGUCUUCUUCUCCGUCCGAUGAAUUUCACAACUCUCUCGAAUCGAAGAUAUCAAACAUUCUGCGCGUGUUAGACCUCAUUCUCAAUGAAAAAGAUGUUCUUGGUCUGAAAGAAGGUUCUCCAGAUAGACCCCAAGAAAGAACUCGUCAAACUACUUCUCGAUUCGAUGAGUCUGGCGUCUUCGGAAGGGAAAAGGACAGAGAAACGAUCCUUGAAGCGUUACGUUCGGAUCAUCCGACUGGCCCUAGGAUAGGAGUCCUUCCCAUUGUGGGCAUGGGAGGGAUCGGAAAGUCCACCCUUGCUCAACUGGUGUACAAAGAUGUAAAGGUUGACUUUGGCGUCCAAGCAUGGGUUUGGGUCGGACAAGAAUUUGAUAUUCUUCAAAUAGCACAAACAAUAUAUGGGAAGAUCACGGAUCAAACUUGCGGGAUCACAGAUCUGGAUCUGCUUUCUGAAAAAUUGGAGGCGAUUUUGACAGGAAAGAAGUUCCUCUUCGUUCUUGAUGAUGUCUGGAGUGAGGAUUAUCUUCGUUGGAAUGACAUGAUGGCUCACUUCAAUCGCUGCGGGGUACAUGGAAGUAGGAUCAUUGUUACAACACGCCUCCGACGUGUUGCAUCUAUCACCGGCACUCUUUCAGCACAUUAUCUGAUGGAGAUAUCCGAGGACGAUUCUUGGUUGUUAUUUGCAAAGCAUGCCUUCACGGAUGCCAGUGUUAUUACUGCACAUCCGUAUCUUGAAGUCAUUGGAAGGCAAAUUGUGAAGAAGUGUCAAGGCCUUCCUUUAGCUAUAAAAUCAUUGGGGGGCCUCUUACACUCUGUUUUGAAUCCAAAGCAAUGGGAAAACAUAUUGAAGAGUGACUUAUGGGAGUUGUCAAACGACAAGGUUUUGCCAGCUCUAUGGUUAAGUUACCAUUAUCUGCCUCCGCAUCUCAAGCGUUGUUUUGCUUACUGUGGAAUAUAUCCUAAAGGUUAUGAAUUUCAAUCUUCAAAGUUAUUCUUGUUGUGGAUGGCUGAAGACCUCUUACAACCCCAUGAGAAGGAGGUAUUGGAAGAUGUUGGAAGUCACUACUGCGAUAUUCUAUUAUCAAGGUCUUUCUUUCAACAUUCAGUAAACGAGUAUGGUCAGUCAUGUUUCACCAUGCAUGACCUUAUCAAUGAUUUAGCAAAGUUUGUAUCUGGAGAGUUUUGUUUGAGAUUGGGGGACGACCAUCGGACAGUCAAUAGAAAUAUAUGCAGAACUCGCCAUGUUUCUUUCAUGGGGUUUGGCAAUCAAAGCAUUCAGAACUUUGAGAAGCUAUAUGAGGCUAAGCAUUUGCACACCUUUCUACAACUACGUUCAGCAAGUCCCUCAGUAGGUUUUAAUGCCAGCCAUAAGUUGAUGCUGAGAAACAAACUUGUAGAUCUAUUGCCAGUUCUACGAUGUGUAAGAGUGCUCAACUUAUCAACAAGCAGUAUUGUUGAGUUGCCUAGCUCAGUUGGCAACUUAAAACAAUUAAGGUAUUUGGACGUGUCUUACACUUCACUAAGAGAAUUACCUGAGACGGUGUGCACCUUGUACAAUUUACAGACCUUAUUGUUGUCCUGUUGUUUUCAACUUACUCAACUACCAACUGAACUGGGGAGACUAAUCAACUUGCGCCAUCUUAGCAUCAGAAACACAAAUAUCAAAAAGAUGCCUGCAGGGAUGUGUAAUUUGAAAAAUCUCCAAACAUUAAGCGAUUUUGUGGUGGACAAACAAACAGGUCAAAGGACUGGAGAGUUAAAAGAGCUUCAGCAUUUGCGCAAAAGACUUGCGAUCUCAGGAGUUGGUAACAUUCACCAUGAGGGAAAUGGUUUGGAAGCAGAUAUCAUGAGCAACAAGGAGUAUCUGGACGAACUUGUUUUGAGAUGGGGAAGAGGUGAUGCAUACUUUUUGAGAUGGGGAAGAGGUGAUGAUGAUGAUACCAGUGAUCAUGGUCCAGAAAAUGACAGAGAAGUGCUCAACAACCUCCGACCGCAUACAAACCUCAAACAACUUGAGAUUAAAUCUUAUGGGGGUUUAAGAUUUCCAGGUUGGUUAGGAGAUCCAUAUUUCUCUAAACUAUUUUGUAUUCGACUUACAGAUUGCAAACAUUGCUGCUUAUUGCCAGCACUUGGGCAAUUACCUUCCCUCAAGAAGCUUUGUGUUGAAGGGCUGAAGAACGUGGUGGAGAUUGGUAGUGAGUUUUACGGUAAUGACACUUGUGGGAUUACUCCAUUUAGAUCUCUAGAACAAUUGGCCUUCAGAAAUAUGUUGGAGUGCGAAAAGUGGUCAUAUUAUGAUGGAAGCAUAGGCAACACCUCAAUAAUGUUUCCUAAUCUUCGUCGGCUUGAACUGAAACUUUGUCCCAAGCUGACCGAGAUGUUACCGUUGGAGAAGCUGCCAAGGCUUGAAAGGGUAGGGUUGUGGGCGCUGAAAUCGUUCAGUGGUUCACUUUCACAUGUGGAAUCGAUAUGCCCUACAUUCCUCUCCCUCACUGACUUGCACAUUGGAGGAUGUCCAAAUUUUGUAUGUUUUCCAGCUGGAGGGAUGGAUGCGCCCAAAUUGGAGUAUCUGCAUAUCAAUGGAUGCGAGAAAUUGAGGUCAUUGCCAGAACAAAUGCAUACCCUUCUACCGUCUCUUCAGAAUUUGAUGGUAAUUGGGUGUCCAGAAGUGGAAUCAUUUCCUCAAGGAGGGUUGGCGUCAAAUAUACAAGACCUUUCUUUUCAGUGUUGUAGAAAACUCGCUGCAAAUCGCUCACUGUGGGGUUUAACAAGACUCAACUCUCUUAGACAUUUGAAAAUCAGAUUCAGUGAACAAGGUGGAGAAGAAAUGGGGUGUUCGUUUCCGGAAGAGGGUUUACUGCCCGCCACUCUCACUCGUCUCUCCAUCUACAAUCUUCCGAAUCUUACAACCAUCCAAGGCCAGGUUUUGAGACAACUCACCUCUCUUGAAGUUUUCACGAUACACCAAUGCCCUGAGCUCCAGGGCUUUCCAGAAGAAGCGCCCAAAUCUCUGAAAAGCUUGACUAUUUGGGAGUGCCGUAAUCUCGGGAGCUUGCCAGGAGAAUGGCUUCCCAAAUCUCUUUCUGGACUGAAAAUCCAGCGGUGUCCGCUGCUAGAAGAACGAUUCCGAAGAGAGACAGGGGAAGAUUGGCCCAAGAUUGCUCACAUCGCCAACAUAGAUAUAGAAUGUUCUUGAAGUUGUUACUCGCCGAAUUCUCUCUCAGGUGUAUAUAUGUAUUUACAUAUCAUCAGAAUGGCCAAAAACACGUUAGUUGGGUACUUUUCUGAUGGGGUUUUUUAUUUAUUUUUUGUAUGUUUGGUUAGUGCUCCUACUCCAGGCUCCAGCAGCACAUGCUCAUUAUCAUUGUAUGUAUCAAGCUGUCUCGAUCCAUCCGAUUUGUGCCGUCAGUUUAAUCAAAAGCUAUUUAUUUAGACUUGAAUCAAUUGAUAGCAUCUUACAUUUGACAUCUCAGUUGGUCGACUCAUUGUGUAAGGACUUACAUGCACCCUUUCAGAUGCCACAUUGGCGUUCCACACCAAUAACACAAUGUUAUGUGUAAGUGACAUUGUUACUUUGAGUUCGAUCUAUGUAAUUAGUGAAUUUUUUUAGGGCCAAGCCAAACUAUGCUACCAAAAGAGAAUGACGGAGAAUUAGGAAUAGAAGCUCCUGCAGUCAUUUGUGUAAGGACUUACAUGCACCACGUCGGACGCCACGGUGGCAUUUCAGACCAGAUUACACAAUGUCAGGUGUAAGUAUCUCCAAAUGGAAUUACGUUAUUAGUCUAGGACAUCAUGGUUGUGGCAAGUAAGUCCUUAUAAGAAGGUAAACUCCGAACACAAAAUGAAUACAUUGCCCACUAUAGUAUCACUAUUUGGUUACACUGUUUGCUUUCUUUCCAAGUCCAACAAUAAUUCACAAACUAUGCCCACAGCUAAAAUAGAUCUCUGGAUGAUCAAACGAAACCAAUCAUUGAAGGAAAUUCGAGAGAAUUGGUAAUUUUCUCCAAUCUAAUGGGGGUAAAAAUUUCAUGAUCACUUAUGAAAGCUCGAAGCACCGUAUUUUGAUCCUGAGCUAGUCGCACUUUUUCGAGGGGUUUGCUUCUGAAACUCCUAAGCAGGUUCAUAAAGGCCUAACAUAUGCCCAACAAAUACAUCGCAUGGCAGCAACCUGUACCACGAAACUCUUACUAAAAUCUCUGCACCCAGUGUAGCAAUGAUAUAUGAACAAAUGAUCACAAUGGUUUUGUUUAGAAAUUUAGUCAUCACCUUGCCAUGGACUUCAUAUUUGACAGGGCCAUCAAGUUUCAGCUCCUUAUGCCAUCAACUUGGUCACUGUUUGAUUAAUGGCUGGCAUUGUGAAGGACAAAAGUGAAGAAUUUACGUUCGGCAUCGCAUGAUCCCUGUCAAACUUUAACCAUCAGCAGAUGCCAAUUUCAUUGAAAACGCAAAGCUUAAAUCCAUUUACAGCUCAACUAAAACCACCUUACCAAACACUAGCAAGAAUCAUAAAUCCGAAAAAAACCCAAGAAAUUCGAAGUUUUACGCUUACAAUCCACACAAACUUCACUUGGGCUUACAGAAAACACGAGCAUACAGUAUAAUUUGUGGCAAAGUAUGUGUAAAAAUCUGGUUUAGACAAAUCAUCAAACACCUGGUGGCAUCGACCCAGUCUCAGCGAAUGAAGAGAGAGUCAACUUGGGGGAUUGCAUGAAGGAAAGCUUGAGUGGGGGAGCUCCGCCCGUUAAAGAGUGCAGACAUUGACAGUAAAGUCCAACCCGUCGGCGUAAGAACCGAGCGGCUUUUGGCACGUCCUUGUGCAGCUGCGGUAGCCACCUAAACGACGCCAUGCCAAUUUUUUUUUCGACGCUUUGUAGGCCAUGUGUUCCUAAGAAAACUGACUCAUUGGUUGUUGCUUUAGCUGUGAGUCAGACGACACGUCGUUUUUAGUGUCUGAAAGUUAAAAUUGGGGAUUAGCAUACGAUGGAUGGGUCCGGAUGAUAAUUUUUGAUAUAUUAGUGUCUGAAAGUUAAAUUGGGGAUUAGCAUAUGAUGAAUGGGUCCGGAUGAUAAUUUUUGAUAUACAAAUAAUUUUCUUAUCCGGACGCUGAUGUUUGAAAUUCAUCCAACUUCCCUGACCGAUCAAUUGGCUUGUUACAUUUUAGGAUAAAAGUUAUGCUUUAGUGCUCGUUUGGAUGUGCUACUCUGUAAAAUGCUUUUAUUCACUAAUGCUUUUUGCUCGUAGUACUUUUACAAAGAAGCAACUUGCUGUUUGGCGGGCAACCAAGUGUUUUGUAUUGUAUAGAAGCGCUUUUGAAAUUAAAGAGUGUUUGAUUGUUAAAUGAAAAAGCGAUUUCACUAAUAUUAAAUUAAUGACUGCUUAUACAAACCAUCACUAGCAGUCCAAAUAAGUAAUCUAAGGUGAUAAUUUGGAGCUAUGAAUUCAGAGGAGUAUGGAGUGGGAGGAGGGAGUGGCAGCCGAAGUGACAUACAUUCUAACCAUUCUAUAUACAAUAAUAAGGGCUGGACUCAAGGAACUGACUCUCUCCUUCCGUGAGAGACCUUCUCUCCUUCUGUGAGAGUUUCUUUCCCCCUUUUUGGUGAGGAUCUUACUCUUGCCCAUCUUCUCUAGCGCCGACUCUGGCUUCAGCUGGAGUCGAUCGCCACUUUUUCCUUCCUCCUUUUGUUUUCUCCUUUUUUUUCCUGCCUUCUUUCUUCUUCUCUUUUUGUUUCACUCGCUGCUUCUUCCUUUUUUCCCCUGCUCUCCUUUCCGAUUUGAUCAUUUCUUCCUACCCCCAGCGGUGUUCCCAUUUGCUCAUCUCUGCUCUGAUCUGCAACCACUUCCAAACCGCGAAUUGUUGCGGUAUUUUGAGCUGCUUCUUAAUUUUUUCCCCUGCUCUCCUUUCCGAUUUGACACUUCCAAACCGCGAAUUGUUGUGGUAUUUUGAGAUGGUGUGUAGAGUUCCGAUGUUCCUACCGGCUCGGGUGUUCACCACCACCACCUUCUCACUGUCUCUGCCUUUACGGGUAGUGUUGUUCAUGGGUUGCCACGAACUUCAUCCUCAUCGUUGGCUUCUUCUGCUCCGUUGCUGGCUUUCCUUUCUUGGUGGCUGUGCUAGGGAAGGAAAUCGAGGUGAGAUGCUGCACUUGAUUUGGCACUGCUUGGCUGUGGAUGGGGAAUUGGUCGGAUCGAGACCGGCGGCGUAUGUUGUAGAAUUUUCUGGUGACUGUCACCUCUUUUGUGCGUUUUGGGCUUCAAGUACUGGUUGGCCCUUUGUAGUUUGUCCUUUUCGGCCCGUGUUUUGUUUGUUUCUGUGUACUGUUUAGGCCUUGGCUUUGUAUCUGUGUAUCUUUUAAUUUGUUUAAUAGUAGAAGUCUUUUUCCAAAAAAAAAAAUAAUAAUAAUAAGGGCUUGACUCACAAUACUCACUCGUUUGCUCAAGCCUAUUUCUCAAAGAUCUUGCAUGAAACUUGUCCUGUAUUAUGAAAAAAAAAAAAUUCAAAUAAUUAACAUACUUGCCAAAAUAGUUGCGUCGUGAACAGCUUAUAUAAUAUACUAAUGGAAAUCAAACAAAGAAUUAUAUUCCUAUCGAGAAGAUCAGUCGGUAUCACUCAAAAGCCGGUAGAAGAUUACUGUCAUUAGUGCAAUGUAACCUCAAACUCCAAGGACAAUGCCAUUAGUAAAGAUCUCCUCAGUUUUCAGUUGUCUGGCUGUGCAAAAAGAUAAGGACUUAAAACUGAGCCUUGGUGUAACCCUACGAUUAUAUGUAAAAGUUUUCGGUUUGUCCUUCAUGAGUUCUUACUACAGUCAUUGUUCCUUCGUACAUAUCUUUUAUUGCUUAGAUAUAUGCUACUCAUCUUCUUUUCUUCUCUAGAAUCCUUCAAAAAAAUUUCUCUUAGGAUCCUAUUAUACGCUUUUGCUAAAUCUAUAAAGUCCAUGUUCAAUUUCUUUUCAUAUCUCUAUAUCAUUCUAGCAAUCUUCAUAAGAGAUAGAUUGUCUCCAUGGUUGAGUGCCCUGGUAUGACCCGAAUUGUUUGUUUGGGACCUAUGUCUCUUGCUCAGUCUAUGCUCAAUUACUCUCUCCCAAAACUUCAUUGUAUGACUCAUUAACUUAAUACCUUUAUAGUUCAUGCAAAUUUGUGUGUCGCACUUAUUUUGUAUAUUGUCACAAAAAUGCUUCUUUUCAACUCAUUUGGUACCUACUUCUUCUUCAAAAUCUUAUGGUAAAUCACCUCACAAACUCAUGCUUCAUCUUUUGAAUAUGGAAUUGUUAGCACUCAAACAAUCUCAUUUUACACACCUCAUAAGUAUAUUUCCAUUCUAAUUAUAUGAAGUUUGGAGUGCAUAAUAAGAUUUUUAGAGUGCCAAUAACAAUUUUCUUUGAAUAUUGUAAUGUCAUACAUCAAUAUACAAAUUCGUUGCAAUGUCAUAACUCUAUCUCAAUUUCUAUUAAUUUCUCCUGUAUUUGCCUAUGUGAACAUUGCGGGCCCCACAUAUUUGUGCCAUGUGGAUAGUAAUAAUUUUUUUUAUAAAUAAAAUCCCAUUUUAUAUAUAAAAAAAGUGUGGAUAAUAAUAAAAAAAAAAAAAUUUAAAAGCUCCUUUCUUCUCCAUUCCAGACUUCCAGUCACACGUUUGCAAAGUUCGUAUUCACCUCCUCAGACGACCUCUUCUUCUUCUUCAACCCUUCGCUCGGUUUCUUCCCAAGGAGCGGUGUCAGCACCAUUUUCUUCCCUUUACUUGCACCUUAUUGAGAAUGAAUCCCAUAUUGAUGGGAGAAGGGACCGUAUAUGAGCUUAUAAGCAAGUUGAAUUAUUCCUCAUAUUGCCAAUUAGUUGUACGAUGGAAUAUCAACUUUCUUCGUGGUAUCAGAGGAUGUUAUCCCCAAUAUGAAGCCCAACGACCAAAUGUGCUUCACGUCACCCGAUUUGUGUUGUCCAUGUGUUCAGCUUGAAAAUUUGACACAUAUUAGGGGGCGUAUUAAGAAUAAAUCCGACAUUGAUGAAACAAGAAAUCUUGCAUAAGAUUAUAAGAGGUUGGGCUACUACUUCAAUUGCCAAUUGGUUUUACAGUAGAACCUCAACUUUCUUCAUGGUAUUAAAACAAGUUGUCCCACGUGUGAAGCCGAACGACCACACGCGCUCAACAUCACCCUGAUGUGUUGUCCACAUGUUAGGCUUGAAAAUACGACACAUAUGAAGGGGCGUGUUGAUAAUGAAUCUCACAUUGAUGAGAGAAGAGAUUUUGCUUGGGCAUAUAAGUAAAUUGGACUACUCUCCAAUUAGUUUUAUAGUAGAACAUUAAUUUUGCGGGCUUAUUUACAUGUCAUCUGAAUGGCCGAAAACACUUUAGUUGGGUACUUUUCUGAUGGGUUUUAUUUUUUUAUUUUUUUAUUUUUUUUUAAUUUUUUAGUAUGUUUGGUUAGUGCUCCUACUCCAGGCUCCAGCAGCACAUGCUCAUUAUCAUUGUAUAUAUCAAACUGUCUCGAUCCAUCCAAUUUGUACUGUCAGUUUAAUCAAAAGCUAUUUAUUUAGACUUGAAUCAAUUGAUAGCAUCUUACAUUUGACAUCAUAAUUGAUCAGACUCGUUGUGUAAGGACUUGGCGUUCCACACCAAUAACACAAUGUCAUGUGUAAGUGACAUUGUUACUUUGAGUUCAAUCUAUGAAAUUAGUGAAUUUUUUUAGGGCCAAGCCAAACUAUGCUACCAAAAGAGAAUGACAGAAAAUUAGGAAUAGAAGCUCCUGCAGUCAUUUGUGUAAGGACUUACGUGCACCACGUCGGAUGCCACGGUGGCAUUUUAGACUAGAUAACACAAUGUCAGGUGUAAGUGUUUCCAAAUGGCAUUACAUUAUUAGUCCAGGAUAGCAUGUUAGUGGCAAACCCGAUGCAAACACAAAAUGAAUCCAUUGCCCACUAUAGUAUAUCACUCUUUGGUUACACAGUUUGCUUUCUUUCCAAGUCAAACAAUAAUUCACACACUAUGCCCACAGCUGAAAUAGAUCUCUGGAUGAUCAAACAAAACCAAUCAUUGAAGGAAAUUCGAGAGGAUUGGUAAUUUUCUCCAAUCUAAUGUGGUAAAAUUUCACCUCUCCCAGACCCUGCGUAAAGCGGGAGCCUUGUGCACUGGGUACGACCUUUUUUUUUUUUUAAUGUGGUAAAAUUUCAUGAUUCACUUACAAAAGCUCGUAGCACCAUAUUUUGAUCCUCAGCUAGUGGCACUUUUUCAAGGGGUUUGCUUCUGAAACUCCUAAGCAGGUUCAUAAAGGCCUAACAUAUGGCCAUCAAAUACAUCGCAUGGCAGCAACCUGUAACACGAAACUCCUAUUAAAAUCUCUGCACCCAGUGUAGCAAUGAACUUGCAGCAGCCAAGUCUUGUUCCUAAACGACGGCGUGCCAUUUUGUUUUUCAACGCUUUGUAGGCUAAGUGAUGCUGACUGGAGGAAACUGACUCAUUGGUUGUUAUUUUAACUGUGAGUCCGACGACACGUCGUUUUUAGUGUCUGAAGGUAAAUUGGGGAUUAGCUUAUGAUGAAUGGGUCCGGAUUUACAUGCUCAGCUGAUAGUGGUCUCACCUCUAAACUGUGUUGAUUAUUGUUGAUAUACAAAUAAUUUUCUUAUCUGGACGUUGAUGUUUGAAAGUACAACACCGCCAUCAUUUGCUCAGGCCUAUUUCUUGGACAAGGAUUGUCUACCCUCCAUUUCUGGUGCACUUUCCGUGCCCUUCUGUUUGUGUGGUCACGGUUAAGUCACGUCAACAUUUUAUAUUACUAUUUAUUUUUGUCUUAUUAUAUCUAUAAAAAAACAAUGUAAAAUGUUGACGUGGCUUAACCGUGACCAUACAAAACAGAAGGGCACAGAAAAAGCACCGAAAGUGAAGGGCAGACAAUCAUUAUCCCUAUUUCUCAAAGAUCUCGCAUGAAACUUGUCCUGCAUUAUGAAAAAAAAUAAAUCGAAUAAAUAACAUACUUGCCAAAAUAGUUGUGUCAUGAACAGCUUAUAUACUAAACAAACAACAACAACAACAACAAAGCCUUUUCCCACUAAGUGGGGUCGGCUAUAUGAAUCCUAGAACGCCAUUGCGCUCGGUUUUGUGUCAUGUCCUCCGUUAGAUCCAAGUACUCUAAGUCUUUUCUUAGAGUCUCUUCCAAAGUUUUCCUAGGUCUUCCUCUACCCCUUCGGCCCUGAACCUCUGUCCCGUAGUCACAUCUUCGAACCGGAGCGUCAGUCGGCCUUCUUUGCACAUGUCCAAAUCACCGGAGCCGAUUUUCUCUCAUCUUUCCUACAAUUUCGGCUACUCCUACUUUACCUCGGAUAUCUUCAUUCCCAAUCUUAUCCUUUCUCGUGUGCCCACACAUCCCACAAAGCAUCCUCAUCUCCGCUACACCCAUUUUGUGUACGUGUUGAUGCUUCACCGCCCAACAUUCUGUGCCAUACAACAUCGCUGGCCUUAUUGCCGUCCUAUAAAAUUUUCCCUUGAGCUUCAGUGGCCUACGACGGUCACACAACACGCCGGAUGCACUCUUACACUUCAUCCAUCCAGCUCGUAUUCUAUGGUUGAGAUCUCCAUCUCAUUCUCCGUUCUCUUGCAAGAUAGAUCCUAGGUAGCGAAAACGGUCGCUUUUUGUGAUCUUCGCUAGAUUGCUCCGGUCAUUAGUGUGGAUAAGUAUAUAAAUGGAUAGAGAUAGGAAAGCAAACACAAGAUGUACGUGGUUCACCCAGAUUGGCUACGUCCACGGAAUAGAAGAGUUCUCAUUAAUUGUGAAGGGUUUACACAAGUACAUAGGUUCAAGCUCUCCUUUAGUGAGUACAAGUGAAUGAUUUAGUACAAAUGACAUUAGGAAAUAUUGUGGGCGAAUGAUCUCGUAAUCACGAAACUUCUAAGUAUCGGAGUGUGGUGUCGUCUUGACUUGCCUUAUCUGUCUCAUAGGUAGAUGUGGCAUCUUCUCUGGAAGUACUCUUCCUCCAUCCAGGGGUGGUAUCUUUAACUGGUGGAGAUGCACAAGGUAAUGUAUCAAUUUCACUUGAAGCUUACUUGUAGUUUCAAGCUUGGUCAAGCGCGAUACAAACCAUGUAGUAGGAGUCCCCCAAGUCGCCGAGCUAGGGGGUCUGCUGAAAGAGGUGACAGACAAGGUAAGCAAUCAGAGCUUCGACCGAUUGUUCACCUUCUCCCCAUCUUGCAGCAGCAUGAAGGAUAAAGAGAAGAAAAAUGAGAAGAGAUGAUAUGAGAUACUUUUGCUUUUGAAGAAGUAACUUUCCACAGGCUUAUUCUUGAACUGAGCUGGAGGGUUUUCUGGUUUCCUCCAGAGUAUAAGGCCGACUGAAGAAUUUGAGGGUCAAAACAAGUCCAUCAAAUCUAGAGUACGUUUCACCCUGCUGAUAUGGGAUACUUUUGCUUUUGACAGAGUAAUGGAUGUAUCGGCACGUGUGCUGUUACGCUUGUCUCCACAUGCUUCCUUGUAUCCUUCGCACUUGCCCUAUCUGUUCCUCAAGCAGAUGCGGAAUCUUCCCUGGAAACAUAAGAUGUUGAAGAUGAGUACUCGAGAGCAAUGCCAGGUAAGUAAUCAGGUACGGGUUCCAGGCAGUCAGUUCCUGGCUGGAAGCUUGAUUCCAAGUGCUGACUGAUUGCUCUCUUUCUCCUUGUCUUGCAGGUAAAAACAAGGCCAAAGGAAAAGACAGGGAAAAAGCAUGAUAUGGGAUACUCUUGCUUUUAACCCUGAUGAUAUGAGAUAUUCUUGCUCUAGUAUAGCUUGUUUGCAGAGGUAUUAUCGGGGGGAAAGAAAGCUGAAUAUUUCGAAAGGCUUCGUUGGGAGUGCCCUCUCAGAUAUGAUGAAGGGUUGAGCAUUUUUGCAGGUCUGCCUGUCCGUUGGGGAUGGAGGUCGACAUAUAUAGGAGUCUCCCUAACAACAAGUAGUAAUGCUAUUCAUUUACCCUGCUUGGUCAUAGCACGGUAGUGGGAGCUGCCAGUUUCACAUGUUUUAACUCUGUCAGAGCACUUUGAAAAAGUGGUCUGUGGUAUCUGGCUCUCGAGAUUCGGAGAGCGAUGCCUCUUCGAUUUUUGAGAAAGCAAUCAUGCUGGGGGUCUGGCUCUCGAGAUUCGGAGAGCAGUGUCUCUUCGAUUUUUGAGGAAGUAAUCAUGUUGGGAGUCUGGCUCUCGAGAUUCGGAGGGCGGUGCCUCUUCGAUUUUGGAGCAAGCAAUCCUGUUGGGAGUGUUGUCUCGAAUGUGAGUAAAGGUUGGGCAUGUUUGCUAGUCUACCUUGCCCCGAAGCACAAAGGUUGACACACAGGAACUUUGCAAUUAUCUAGCAAUGGUACUGUUCCUUUACCCUCUCUUCGCUUUUGAGAAAGUAGUCAUGUUGGGAGUCUGGCUCUCAAGAUUCGGAGGACGGUGCCUCUUCGAUUUUGGAGCAAGCAAUUUUGUUGGGAGUGUUUUCUCGAAUGUGAGUAAAGGUUGGGCAUGUUUGCUAGUCUACCUUGCCACGAAGCACAGAGGUUGACACACAGGAACUUUCCAAUUAUCCAGCAAUGGUACUGUUCCUUUACCCUUGUGGGUAAUAAUAUGGUAGCUAGACCUUCAAAAUUUAUGUGUCUAAACUUUGUUAGUGCUGUUUCUUUGCUAUUCUUUUACCUUUCUUGGUCAGAGCGAUAUAGUGGGAGCUGCAAGCUUCACGUGCUCAACUUUGGCAGAGAACUUUGGCAAAGUUAUCUGUGGUACCCAUGAGCUAUUGUUGCGUGUGGAAAGUGGGUGAUUGAACAGUAAGAUUCAUGUGCUUUCUACUUCACCAGAAGUCUUCGACAGAAUGCCCAUAAUUUCUGCAAAGCUGAGUGUGCGUGUGACAGGUGCUGACAAGGCUAGAAUAGUAGGUGCCUCUUCGAUUUCUGAGAUUGGCCCUCGUGGUCUCUGAGCAGCCCAGCUUUUGAGAAAGCGAGCGCCUCUUCGAUUGAUUUGGAGAACGAUGCCUUAUCAAUUUUUGAGAAAGCAAUCAUGCUGGGGCUCUGGCUCUCGAAGAUUCGGGGAGCAGUGUCUCUUCGAUUUUUGAGAAAGUAAUCAUGUUGGGAGUCUGGCUCUCGAGAUUCGGAGGGCGGUGCCUCUUCGAUUUUGGAGCAAGCAAUCUUGUUGGGAGUGUUUUCUCGAAUGUGAGUAAAGGUUGGGCAUGUUUGCUAGUCUACCUUGCCACGAAGCACAGAGGUUGACACACAGGGACUUUCCAAUUAUCCAGCAAUGGUACUGUUCCUUUACCCUCUCUUCGAUUUUUAAGAAAGUAGUCAUGUUGGGAGUCUGGCUCUCGAGAUUCGGAGGACGGUGCCUCUUCGAUUUUGGAGCAAGCAAUCUUAUUAGGAGUGUUUUCUCGAAUGUGAGUAAAGGUUGGGCAUGUUUGCUAGUCUACCUUGCCACGAAGCACAGAGGUUGACACACAGGGACUUUCCAAUUAUCCAGCAGUGGUACUGUUCCUUUACCCUUGUGGGUAAUAAUAUGGUAGCUAGACCUUCAAAAUUUAUGGGUCUAAACUUUGUUAGUGCUGUUUCUUUGCUAUUCUUUUACCCUUCUUGGUCAGAGCGAUGUAGUGGGAGCUGCAAGCUUCACGUGCUCAUCUUUGGCAGAGAACUUUGGCAAAGUUAUCUGUGGUACCCAUGAGCUAUUGUUGCGUGUGGGAAGAGGGUGAUUGAACAGUAAGAUUCAUGAGUUUUCUACUUCCCCAGAAGUCUUCGACAGAAUGCCCAUAAUUUCCGCAAAGCUGAGUGUGCGUGUGACAGGUGCUGACAAGGCUGGAAAAGUAGGUGCUUCUUCGAUUUCUGAGAUCGGCCCUCGUGGUCUCUGGGGAGCCCAGCUUUUGAGAAAGCGAGCGCCUCUUCGAUUUUUGAGAUCGACCUUCGUGGUCUUAGAGCAGCCCAACUUUUGAGAAAGCAAACGCCUCUUCGAUUUCUGAGCAGGCGCCUCUUCGAUUUCUGAAGCUCCGUCGAGUGCAGAUUUUUAUAGGGGCUGGCAUUAAGUUCCAAAGCACACUUGAAUCUCCACCAGUAGAAGCUUCAUUCUUGCACUUCUACGAUCUUGAUUUGUCCGACCUCUUCUCUCUUCAACACCUUUGAAAAUGUCUGGCCCUUCCGACCGUCGUUUUGACUUGAACCUUGUUGAAGAGGCAGCCCCGCCUUCUCCAGACAACAUAUGGCGCCCAUCCUUCGUCUCCCCUACUGGUCCUCUUACCGUUGGGGAUUCCGUGAUGAAGAAUGAUAUGACCGCUGCGGUGGUGGCCAGGAACCUUCUCACCCCCAAAGAUAACAGACUACUUUCCAAACGGUCUGAUGAGUUAGCUGUUAAGGAUUCGCUGGCUCUCAGUGUUCAGUGUGCAGGUUCUGUGUCUAAUAUGGCCCAACGCCUAUUUGCUCGAACCCGCCAAGUUGAAUCAUUGGCGGCUGAAGUGAUGAGUCUCAAACAGGAGAUUUGAGGGCUCAAGCAUGAGAAUAAACAGUUGCACCGGCUCGCACAUGACUAUGCUACAAACAUGAAGAGGAAGCUUGACCAGAUGAAGGAAACUGAUGGUCAGGUUUUACUUGAUCAUCAGAGAUUUGUGGGUUUGUUCCAAAGGCAUUUAUUGCCUUCGUCUUCUGGGGCUGUACCGCGUAAUGAAGCUCCGAAUGAUCAACCUCUGAUGCCUCCUCCUUCUAGGGUUCUGUCCAGUACUGAGGCUCCAAAUGAUCCCCCUCCGGUGCCUUCUCUUUCUGGGGCUCUACCGACUGCUGAGACUUCUCCUAAGCAACCUUUGUGAAGGCUCCCUCUUGUGUGUUUAUUUUGACUCAUGUAUAUGUACAUAUUUGUAGCUUAUCGGGGAUAUCAAUAAAUAAGCUUUCCUUCAUUUCAACUUAUUGUGUUAAAUACACCAAAGCCUUCUUCGCUAAGUUCUUUGAAUUUUCUUUUGUUGAAGCUUGUAUGUUGAAGCUUUCUUAGUGGAGCAUGUAGGUUGGGGUAGUGUUCCCUUAAUUUCCCGAGUGAGGAAAACUUCUCGGUUGGAGACUUGGAAAAUCCAAGUCACUGAGUGGGAUCGGCUAUAUGAAUCUUAGAACGCCAUUGUGCUCGAUCCUGAGUCAUGUCAUUCGUUAGAUCCAAGUACUCUAAGUCUUUUCUUAGAGUCUCUUCCAAAGUUUUCCUAGGUCUUCCUCUACCCCUUCGGCCUUGAACCUCUGUCCCAUAGUCGCAUCUUUUAAUCGGAGCGUCAGUAGGCCGUCUUUGCACAUGUCCAAACCACCGUAACCGAUUUUCUCUCAUCUUUCCUUCAAUUUCGGCUACUCCUACUUUACCCCGGAUAUCCUCAUUCCUAAUCUUAUCCUUUCUCGUGUGUGCCCACACAUCCAACGAAGCAUCCUCAUCUCCGCUACACCCAUUUUGUGUACGUGUUGAUGUUUCACCGCCCAACAUUCUGUGCCAUACAGCAUCGCCGGCCUUAUUGCCGUCCUAUAAAAAUUUUCCCUUGAGCUUCAGUGGCAUACGGCGGUCACACAACACGCCGGAUGCACUCUUCCACUUCAUCCAUCCAGCUUGUAUUCUGUGGUUGAGAUCUCCAUCUAAUUCUCCGUUCUUUUGCAAGAUAGAUCCUAGGUAACGAAAACGGUCGCUCUUUGGUAUUUCUUGAUCUCCGAUCCUCACCCCUAACUCGUUUUGGCCUCCAUUUGCACUGAACUUGCACUCCAUAUAUUCUGUCUUUGAUCGGCUUAGGCGAAGACCUUUAGAUUCCAACACUUCUCUCCAAAGGUUAAGCUUUGCAUUUACCCCUUCCUGAGUUUCAUCUAUCAACACUAUAUCGUCUGCGAAAAGCAUACACCAAGGAAUAUCAUCUUGAAUAUGUCCUGUUAACUCAUCCAUUACCAACGCAAAAAGGUAAGGACUUAAAGAUGAGCCUUGAUGUAAUCCUACAGUUAUGGGAAAGCUUUCGGUUUGUCCUUCAUGAGUUCUUACGGCAGUCUUUGCUCCUUCAUACAUAUCCUUUAUAGCUUGGAUAUAUGCUACUCGUACUCCUUUCUUCUCUAAAAUCCUCCAAAGAAUGUCUCUUGGGACCCUAUCAUACGCUUUUUCCAAAUCUAUAAAGACCAUGUGUAAAUCCUUUUUCCCAUCUCUCUAUAUCUUUCCAUCAAUCUUCGUAAGAGAUAGAUUGCCUCCAUGGUUGAGCGCCCUGGCAUGAACCCGAAUUGGUUGUCCGAAACCCGUGUCUCUUGCCUCAAUCUAUGCUCAAUGACUCUCUCCCAGAGCUUCAUUGUAUGACUCAUUAGCUUAAUACCCCUAUAGUUCAUGCAAUUUUGUACGUCGCCCUUAUUCUUGUAGAUAGGCACCAAAGUGCUCGUUCGCCACUCAUUUGGCAUCUUCUUCGUUUUCAAAAUCCUAUUGAAAAGGUCAGUGAGCCAUGUUAUACCUGUCUCUCCCAAAAGUUUCCACACUUCGAUUGGUAUAUUGUCUGGGCCUAUUGCUUUUUUAUGCUUCAUCUUCUUCAAAGCUACCAUCACUUCUUCCUUCCGGAUUCGACGAUAAAAAGAGUAGUUUCUACACUCUUCUGAGUUACUCAACUCCCCUAAAGAAGCACUCAUUUCAUGUCCUUCAUUGAAAAGAUUAUGAAAAUAACCUCUCCAUCUGUCUUUAACCGCGUUCUCUGUAGCAAGAACCUUUCCAUCCUCAUCCUUGAUGCACCUCACUUGGUUUAGGUCCCUUGUCUUCUUUUCCCUUGCUCUAGAUAGUUUAUAGAUAUCCAACUCUCCUUCUUUGGUAUCUAGUCGUUUAUACAUAUCGUCGUAAGCCGCUAACUUAGCUUCUCUGACAGCUUUCUUCGCCUCUUGCUUCGCUUUUCUAUACCUUUCACCAUUUUCAUCGGUCCUCUCCUUGUAUAAGGCUUUACAACAUUCCUUCUUAGCCUUCACCUUUGUUUGUACCUCCUCAUUCCACCACCAAGAUUCCUUUUGGUGUGGGGCAAAGCCCUUGGACUCUCCUAAUACCUCUUUUGCUACUUUUCGGAUACAACUAGCCAUGGAAUCCCACAUUUGGCUAGCUUCCCCCUCUCUAUCCCACACACAUUGGGUGAUUACCUUCUCUUUGAAAAUGACUUGUUUUUCUUCUUUUAGAUUCCACCAUCUAGUCCUUGGGCACUUCCAAGUCUUGUUCUUUUGUCUUACUCUUUUGAUAUGUACAUCCAUCACCAACAAGCGAUGUUGAUUAGCCACGCUCUCUCCUGGUAUAACUUUGCAAUCCUUACAAGUUAUACGAUCCCCUUUCCUCAUUAGAAGAAAAUCUAUUUGUGUUUUUGACGACCCACUUUUGUAGGUGAUCACAUGUUCUUCUCUCUUCUUAAAGAAGGUGUUGGCUAAGAAGAGAUCAUAUGCCAUUGCAAAAUCCAAGAUAGCUUCCCCAUCCUCGUUUCUCUCCCCAAAACCAUGGCCACCAUGAAAACCUCCAUAGUUGCCUGUCUCCCUGCCCACGUGUCCAUUUAAAUCUCCUCCUAUAAAUAACUUCUCCGUCUGAGCAAUUCCUUGCACCAAGUCUCCAAGAUCUUCCCAAAAUUUCUCCUUCGAACUCGUAUCCAACCCUACUUGAGGUGCGUACGCACUAAUCACAUUGAUAAGUUCUUGUCCUAUUACAAUCUUGAUUGCCAUGAUUCUAUCUCCUACCCUCUUGACAUCUACAACAUCUUGUACCAAGGUCUUGUCCACGAUGAUGCCAACACCGUUUCUCGUUCUAUUUGUGCCCGAAUACCAAAGUUUAAACCCUGAGUUUUCUAGAUCCUUUGCCUUACUACCAACCCACUUAGUUUCUUGUAGGCACAUAAUAUUUAUCCUUCUCCUCACCAUAACUUCUACUACUUCCAUAGAUUUUCCCGUUAAGGUUCCUAUAUUCCAUGUUCCUAAACGCAUUUUGCUCUCUUGAACUCUACCCUUCUGUCCUAGCUUCUUCACCCUCCCCCGUCUAAUAGGAUCAAAGUACUUCUUUUGUGUGUCCCGGGUAAAGUUGAUAGGAGCAUAUGCUCCCAAACAACUUUGAGUGGAGUCGUUCGAAAAGAAGUUUCUAUGGCCCCCUUGCUCAUUUAACACUGCAUCCGGGUGCCGAUGGAGAUACAGCGACCCUUGCUCACUUAUCACUGUGCUCGGGCCACACAGCGCGCCACUUACGGGUGACGCCCUAGCUUUAGCGCGAUUUUGUUCUGGAUUCAUUUUCAUAAGGAUUCGACGUGAUCAUGGAGUGCCGGCUGUCGACUACCUGACGCCCUCCCCCUCCUCCUUUAUCCGGGCUUGGGACCGGCCAUGUAAGACAUAGGCGGAGUUAACAGCUUAUAUACUAAUGGAAAAUAAAUAAAGAACUGUAUUCCUAUCGAGAAGAUCAGUAUCCCUCAUAAGCCGGAAGAAGACUACUGUCAUUAGAGCAAUGUAACCUCUAACUCCAAGGACAAAGCCAUUAGUAAAGAUCUCCCCGGUUUUCAGUUAUCUGGCUAUGCAAAAAGAUAAGGACUUAAAGUUGAGCUUUGGUAUAACCCUACGAUUAUAUGGAAAAGUUUUCGGUUUGUCCUUCAUGAAUUCUUACUACAAUCAUUGCUCCUUCGUAUAUAUCUUUUAUGGCUUAGAUAUAUGCUACUCUUCUUCUUUUCUUCUCUAGAAUCCUCCAAAAAAAUCUUAUGGGACCAUAUUAUAUGCUUUUGCUAAAUCUAUAAAGUCCAUGUUCAAUUUCUUUUCAUUUCUCUAUAUCGUUCUAGUGAUCUUCAUAAGAGAUAGAUUGCCUCCAUGGUUGAACGCCCUGGUAUGAACCUGAAUUGAUUGUUUGGGACCCAUGUCUCUUGCUUCAGUCUAUACUCAAUUACUCUCUCCCAAAGCUUCAUUGUAUGACUCAUUAACUUAAUACCUCUAUAGUUCAUGCAAAUUUGUGUGUCGCACUUAAUUUGUAUAUUGUCACAAAAAUGCUUCUUUUCCACUCAUUUGGUACAUUCUUCUUUUUCAAAAUCUUAUGGUAAAUCACCUCACAAUCUCAUGCUUCAUCUUUUGAAUAUGGAAUUGUUAGCGCUCGAAAAAUCUCAUUUUACACUUCUCAUAAGUAUAUUUUCCGUUCUAAUUAUAUGAAGUUUGAAGUGCAUAUGAGAUUUUUGGAUUGCUAAUAACAAUUCUCUUUGAAUAUUGUAAUGUCAUACAUCAAUAUACGAAUUCGUUGCAAUGUCAUACCUCUGUCUCAAUUUCUAUUAAUUUCUCCGGUAUUUGCCUACGUGAACAUUACGGGCCCCACAUAUUUGUUCCACAUGGAUAGUAAUAAUUUUUCUUUUAUAAAAAAUCUCAUUUUUAUAUUAAAAAAAAGUGUGGAUAAUAAUAAAAAUAAAUUUAAAAGCUCCCUUCAUCUCCAUCCACCUUCUUCUCCAUUCCAGACUUCCAGUCACAUCUUUGCAAAGAUCGUAUUAACCUCCUCAGAUGGCCUAUUCUUCUUCUUCAACCCUUCGUUUGAUUUCUUCCCAACCAGCGGUGUCAUCACCAUUUUCUUCCCUUUACUGGCACCCUGUUGUCUGUUGAGAAUGAAUUUCACAUUGAUGGGAGGAGAGACCUUAUAUGUGCUUAUAAGCAAAUUGGGCUAUUCUCCAUAUUGCCAAUUAGUUUUAUGGUGGAACAUCAACUUUCUUCGUGGUAUCAGAGCAGGUUGUUCCUAGUGUGAAGCCUAACGACCACAUGUGCUCCACGUCUCCGAUUUGUAUUGUCUAUGUGUUAGGCUUGAAGAUUAAGACUUGCGUACCAUAAUGUCCUUGAAACAGAAUUUCGUUUCGACUCUGUGCUUGUAGUUCGAUGAACGUUUGCUUCACUAGGAUUCAACGAUCUAAGUCGAGAUUCCAGCACUAUAAAACUAGACUUCUGGCAAAUAUCUUUGUGGUACUCUCUGUAUGUUUUGUAUGUAUGGAUUGAUGAUUUUCAAUGUGUUAAAUGAUAUGCAGAUGCAUGUAUUUAUAGUGGUCAUGCCUAUUCGCAACAUACUUGUUUUUGGGAGGCGGCUGUUCAACACAAAUAGUGUGUUGCGCCAUCUUUCUCCUAGACUGUUUUAUACGCUCUCAGACUUCAUCCAAAUAUAUGAGUAUGUUGAAAAAUAAAAAUAUUAAUUUAAUUCGAAAUUAAUUUAAUAAACCCCAUCUUUUGAUAAUUAAUUAGCACACCCCAAUCAUUUUCUAUAAAUGACAAAAAGUGAGAGAACUUUUUUAUGAUAACCAAUGUAGGACAAUAAAAUAUUUACUCAAAAUUUCCAACAUAUUAAACAGUUCAUGCAAUCCUAUUGAUUGUUAAUUUUUUUUGUAUUUAUGUUUUUUGAUCCUACUGCGGCAUAUGCAUAAAUAGUGUUGAACGAGUGAUAUUAAAGGAUGUAGAAAUUGAACUCUGAAUAUCAGGUGCAAGAGUGAACGACUUUAAGCAAUUGAGUUACAGUAUGUGUAAACUAUUUUGAAAGUACAUAUACCUAGCUAUGAGGUAAAAUUUGGGCAUUUAUCUAACAAUUUUGGGCCUUGUUACAGCUUGCUUUGUAUAUUUUGGGAUUUCAACAAAGAAACAAGUAAAAGAGCCCACGUGAUGCCGUGGGUUUUAAAACUUUGUUAAAUGUGUUAUGUGUGGGACUUGUAAAAAUUUAUUUACAUCCAUAUCAAAAUCUAUUGACAUCCUAUGUUCUAUAAAGAACAAAUCAUACAUAAAAAUUAUCUUAUUUACAUCCACACAGUUAUAAUACACAAAAAAAUAUCUUGUUUUCUAUGUCCCAACUUUUCACAUUGUUGUUCAGUACUUCACUCUUCUUUUUUCUUUGCUGCUAAAGAAAUGUUUUUCUUGUACCACGCAUAGGAUUUUAAGAAAUGGAUCAAAACUAACAUGUGAUGAAGAACUUCUGUUUUUCAGUUGCUUAUUGAUUGGCCUACAAUCUCAGCAUGAGAAAAGCAUUACAUGAUCUGAAAAAGAAAAAAAAUUUAAGAAACAAAAAAAGCUCAUUGUUUUGCUUUCUUUACUGAUUGUGAAUUUACUCAGAAUACCAAUUGGAUGAAAAGGUAUUAAUUCACGAAUUGUAGGAAAGGAGACAACGAAUGCAAAGGUUUUUUUUUUUUUUUUUUUUUUUUUUUUUUUUUUGGAAACAAUGCAAAGGUUAUUUUGUAUAUAUAUUAUACGAAACACAGAAAAAGGGAUUGAAGUUCCUCCUAUUCUGCAAGUACAUAAAGAUUAGAACUCACCACUUGAAAUGUCUCUAGCAAGUUCCCGAGUUUUUCCCGUGUAGGUGUGCACGCUGCUUUUCAUGAGUCACUCCAUCAAACAUUAUGUAUUCAAUGAAGAUUUUUUGUUGACUGCAGAAUCAGAUAAAAGGGCUAUAGUGAGAUUCUCUAGGAGUGUAAAACGAUAGUAAAAGUUUCAAUGCAAACAAAUGAAAGCUAAAAAAACACAUGAGGUCUAAUAAAACUUUAUGUGUUCUCUUAGUAGUCUUGCAAUGUAUCCGUAAGCUUUACUAAAGGAAAAGCCCGAGCUGCAGGCAUUAUCUGACAACAGAUUUCGUGGACAGAUGCAUAUAGUGAAACCGCUAAUCCAUAGCUAGAAGAUCACUAUGGAGCUUUUUGAUAGCAUGAAUAAUGCCGACCUACAGAAGAUUAGAUGCACAACUGACAGAGUAGCAAGCCAAAUGUUUUUAGCAAUUGCGAACUACAUCAUUACUUAUGCAACUAUGAAUCACCCACAUUCAAUGAAAGAAGCAAAUGUACUUCGUACUCCCUAAUUUACUAAGAUCCACAAAAUCUAAAAACUACAAAAUUUUGAUUAUAGAAUCAAAAUAUACAGCUUAUUAGCAUUUCCUUGAUUGUAUACUCUUUGACUGUCAAGGAUUUCCAUGGCAUUGAUAUAAUAGCUUGACUACCACAUUGAGAUACCGUAGAUGGUUGGAACAUAGUUAUGUACCUAUAAUUUGACAGAACAGUUAUUAUAAGAAAUGGCAGUUUACGUAGAGGUGAAAUAGUGAUCCAGUCAUAACAUGAAUUGCUUCAACUAAGGAACCAGACUUAUUCAAAGGUUCUCCCAUUCCUUCAAAAAACACACAAAAUCAAAGUAUUCAACAUUUCAAUGGUUCCCAUAUUUCUUCCAUAUGCAUACCAUUCAAUAAUAACCACAAAUGUGAGAAUUUGGAAAAGGAUCGAAGGAUCAGGGUCACCUUGGGCACAGCUCCAGUUUGAACUUUAUUGAUAGCAUUGCAGAGGAUUAUCCCACUUCUCAAUCCAAGCUUAACUCUCCCUCCAUAUGAUCCGCCAGCAUAUCUAUAGCAACAACAACAACAAUCAUCUUUCAGAGUCCUCCGACCGACUCAUUUCUCCUUGUUGCUACAGAACAAAAGAUUAGCUCAAUUAGCACAACAAUCAACCGAAACCCAAAAUUUAAUUUGUAGCCCAAAAACAAGAGGAACAGUAAUCAUGACAUCUGAUGAGUGCAUAUAUGAAAAAUGUACCUGAAGAUUGAAACUUUCAUCAAAUAAAUCACAAAAAAGCAGAAAAUUAGAGAAACCCAAUAUUAUAGAUUGCAUAAAAUUAGAUUAUCCAUUUCAGUCAUGCGUAAAUACACCAUCACACAUAACAAAUUUGCCUAUAUGACGGUGAUACACAAUGUAAUUGUUCAAAUUCAAACCACACACACAACAUUUGUAGCUCCCAAGUAUACUUGUAUCACAUUUUGAUGUUUGCUUGUUGACUUUGCUCCUGGAGUCCUGACUAAGGUGAUCUCCUUAAGUGGUGCAUGAGCUUUUUUCUCCAAUCACCUUAAACAUCCGUCUUUCCUAAAAAAAAACCAAAAGAUAUCAUAUAAAGCAUCAAUGCUAUUAAUACUUAUUAAAGAAAUUGGUCACAACAGGUUUCACAUACAUCAGUUCUAAACCUAAAAGGCUUCGAAUUUGUAGGCUUCGGUUUCCUAUACUUCUCCCCAUGAGCAUUGCUGGCAACAGAUGUGGAGUUUUCUUUUUGAAUCUUAUCUGCUUAAUUGACCUGCAUCAUUGUUCAAGUGUUAACAGGCAUAAAAAAAUCGUAAGGGAGAAAUGAACAAACAUGAACACUAUGAAGAUAUGUUAUUCUCAUCUUUUGUAGCCUUCUUCAAGGCCUGGAAUUAUACAACUAUUUUUUCCACUAAUAGCUCUUAUUUACAUCUUUACUAGAUUGCAUCACUUCUUUUAUAUUAAUAAAAUUAGAGGAUUGCACAUGCUUCUUUUUGGAAGCCAAAACAUUUUUUUUUCAAUUAUUCUUGUUCCUUGUGGUUGAAUGGGAUUCUAAGCUUCAGAUUUCGAAAACAAAAAGUUUUGAAAAGCCUUAGAGCCAGCACCAAUGAGCUUAAACAGAACAGAUAAGAGCUAAAGAGAUAGAGCUAAGCUACUUCACCUGUUUCAUAAGUCUACGUCUCCACCCAAGCCUAGACAUCCCAACAUUGCCCAGAUAGGUGUCCCAUCUUUACCUGCAAGACAGAGGAGAGCGAGAGAGUGAGAGAGUGAGAGAGAGUAGAAGAUGAAAUUGAAAGGUAAUGGGGCUUAACGGUUAUGUAGAGAAAGUAGAAGAUGAAACCAAACCUCUCAAUAUCUUCUUCUCAUCCUGACUCCGCCCUUGGAUCUCAUCGACAAACAAUAAAAAUAAAAAAGAAGAAAAGAAAAAAGAAAUUUCAAAUGAAAAUCCAUUUCUAAAUCCAAAAUCACAAAAAGGAAAUUUCAACAUAAAACCCAUUCCUAAAUCCAAAAUCACAUAACCCUUAAAUCUUUAUAUAUAAAGCCAAGGGCCCAAUGAACAGUGCUUUUUGGUGUCGCAAGCUUCACCAAAAAAGAAUUGGACAAAAUGCCCUUCAAACAAAAAACUUCAAAAGCAACUCAAAAUAAUGCAUCAAAUGUGGCAGGGGUAUUUUCGUCAUUUUAACAGUAUUUUUUUUGUACAAUUUUUUUUUAAUAAUUAAUACCUCACAAUAAGCUAGCAAUAAUGUGAUUCAAUCAAUUGUUUAUUUAAUAUUAUUUUCUUUAUUUUUAAACACGUUCAAAACAUCUUAAGAGGCGUGUAAUGCCGGUUAUAAAAAAAAAUAUUUAGCACGCAAAUAAUAAUGUGAUUAAAUUAGUUGUCAAGUGAUUGUUUUUUUUUUUUUUUUUGAACAAAUGAUAUUAUCUACGCUAAAUGUGAUUAAAUUAGUUGUCAAGUGAUUGUUUUUGUUUUUGUUGAACAAACGAUAUUAUCUACACUAAGGGAGAGAUGGUGGGCUUAGCCUCACAAUGGGCUAGCAAUAAUGUGAUUCCAUCAGUUGUUUAUUAAAUAUUAUUUGCUCUAUUCUUAAUAGAAAUUCAAUAGAGACCAAUUUUAUUGCGUGGAUUCAACUGCUUUAAUUGGUUUAUGAGGGGUUUCUUCUAGCAUGAUCUAGGAUUAUUCAUUUACUUCAAAUAGUUGACUUUCCUUUUGUCAAUUUACGCAUAUAAAUACAUUUAAAAUAUGUAAGUUAUAAGUAGCACGCCGUGAUUCAAAAAAUGUCUUCUGCACACGCUCACGCACGUGCAUGAAGACUAAUUUUAAUAAAGAGGACAAAAGAACUUAAAUUUUAAUGAAAAAGACCCAAUUUUAAUAUAAAAAGAAUUAAAAAAAAUCUUACGCGUAGGAUCCGUGUGUCCAUCACAAACAUUGUUUAUGAAACUUAACAAUAUUAUACUAUUUAUGAAACUUAACGGUACUAUAAUGUUUAUGAAAUUAACCGGUACUACACCAUUUAUGAAACUGAAUAGUAAUAUACUUUUAUGAAAGUGAAUGGUACUACACUAUUUAUUAGUCUAGAUUCAUAAAUAUUGCCUAGUUCUUGGUUCAUCUUCUAUUUAUAGUGUUUCAUUCUUAGGCCAGUUUCAUAAAUAGUGUCUCAAUCCUAAGCUAUGAUGUAUUUGAAACUUCACCUAACUAUUCAAACAUAUGUUAGAGAUUUUAAUAAUAUAUAAUAUAUUAUAUAUAUUUAUAUAUUAUUUAUAUAAUAUGUGUGUGUAUGAUAGAUAAAGGUGCGGCAACCUUUGCAAAAAGGUUGGCUUUCAUUCAACCUUUUACGGUUGUAUAUUUUAUUGAAUGGUUGCAAUUCUUGGUUCAAAGACAUGAUGCUUACUCAAAUUGUAUGAGUAUAAUUAAAAGAUGUAAUUAGUCAAUAUUUAUUUUCUGAUAAUUGUAAAUAAAAGACAUGUCUUUUGCACUAUUAAGAAGGGUUGUAUAUCUUCAACUAAAAUGAAAGACUCGAUGAACGGGUGCUUUAAUGUCUAUAAAUACCUAUUAUGGCAUAAUGUUUCACACACAAUUUUUAGAAAUUUGUUUCUACAUUCCUUGCUCUCUUCUCUCUCCAUCACAUUCGUACAAUUUCUUUCUAGUACUUACACAGUGCAUCAUCGAGAUGUGGCCUAGUCAGACUUAAUUUCUCUGACUUAUUCUCCAGGGAUGCAGAAGCAGAUCUUUUGAUACUUAACAGAGGUUACGACAUCCAACUUUAUCAGCCAAGGUCGCCCUAGAAUCCCAUUAUAAAGAGAUGAGUCGCUUACUAUCGUGAACGUUUGCUUUGAGACAACUGGUUGUGUUAUCACGUCAAGUGUAAUGUUGCCAAUGUCAGUCAAGGUGUGUCCGUUGAAUCCAGAAAGUACUUAUGCUCGGCGUAUGAUUGUGUUUUCUAGGCCCAUCUUCUGAAUACUGAGAGCUGAAGUAGGUUGACCGAACUUCCCUUGUCAACCAUCAUUAUGUCAACUAUAGCAUGGACUAGUUAGACAAAUAUCAAUAGUGUGUCAUCAUGUGAGAAGUUGACACCUUUGGCAUCUUGUUCGGUGAAGCCAAUGAUGGGUCCAGUUUGAGUGUUGACUGUCUGGACCUGUGAGACUAAUAGAGCCUAUUAGAUCUUCCUCUUCUUGGAGUUGUUGGUGGCCCACGAGUGCUCGGAUUUGGUGAAAAUGCCAUUGAUCAUAAUUGUCUUGGUUGGCAGCUCUUCGUCAGAGCUUACAUUCCUUCUAGGUUGCGCAACUAGCUUGUCCAAGUAUCUGUCGACCUUGUUUCUUUCACCAUCUUUUCUAGGUAAUUCCUCCAAGUGUAGCAGUCGUCGGUUGUGUGACCAGGACCUGGAUAAAAUGCGCAAUACUUGGUAUGAUCCAACUUGGAGGUGUCUCAUUUCGAUAACUUCGGCAGCUUAAACCGUGGUUUAUUCUUGAUGUUGUGGAGGAUUUGGUGGAUCGGGAUCGAGAAUUUAGUAUAGUUCUUGGGUGUCGAGCCUCCUGUGGUUGAGGAUCAGGCCCUGCGCUUGGCUUCCUACCUAUUUUUUAUGUUGUACUGCUUCACGUCCUCCUUCUUUUGAGCAAUCACCAAAUCUUUUGUAGGCUACUCAGGUGCCUUAUCUGUUACCCGAGCCUCGUCCAAAAGUGCAUGCUUAUCAGAUAGAGUGAAUAAGUCAGCCAUAGUCAGAUCUUCUCCCAUGAUCAAUUCUUCAAAUAACGGAUGGUCUGUUGGGAUUCCUUUUUGGAAGGCUGCACUAGCUAUCGAGUCGUUGCAUCUGACUAUCUUUGCCUUAUUUGCUUUGAACCUCUUCACAUAGUUGUGGAGCAACUCCAUUGAGUUCUUCUUGAUAUUGAGCAAGUGGUUGGACUUUUUCUUGAUCGAGGGAUAGGAUGAAUAUUCUUUGGUGAAAACCAAAGAAAUCUCAUCGAAACUCUUGAUGGACUGUGGCGUUAAAGUGUGGAACCAAUCUUAAGCCUCGCCUUCCAAAGUAGUUGUGAAUAUCUUGCACAUGAAGGCAUCGUUGUUUCGAUAAAGGAUCAUUGCGCUGCAGUAGUGCUUUAGGUGCCUCUCCAGGUCUCCAUCUCGUUUAAAAGAUGUGAAAUGUGGCAUGUUAAACUUGCGUGGAGGCUCUGCAUGCUCGAUCUCAUCCGUGAAAUGUGACCUGCUUAUGUUGGUCAUGUCUCGUCGUAGCGCCUCGUUAGUGGCUUCGUUGCACUAGAAGUCGCAUAAUUGUUCGGUCAGGAACUUCUCUACUUCUUCUUUGAAUUUACCUUUGCUAGGAUAGAGGAGCUUUCGGCUGCCCCUAGUCGUGAUCUAUUGAUCUAGGUUGCUUUUCCCUAUGCUCGGCUCAUCUAUUCCACGACUGCAGUGCAUAUGGUACGUUUCUAAUAGGCGAGCGUGUUACUCGCUAGUUGCUAGUUGAACUUGAGCCAGAUUGAGUGGCUACUUCUCUCUGUUCGUCGCGUUGGCUACUUCGAUGUGAAAUGGAUGAUGCUCUUAGUAGGCAUAGCCGCGAAUAAACAUUUAUCCUGGAAGGUUGUCCAUGUUGAUUAUCGGAGUGUGGCCCAAACCGUGAAUGUAUGUUCAUCCGUGGGCCUAAUCGAGAGUGCACGCUCAUUCGCACACUAAGAUGAAAGUAUACGCUAUCUCGGGGGCCCAUGCGGUAGUGUAGACGGUCAGAAUGCUCAGUUCGUAGCUGUUUGAGAGGUUGCUUGUCGGGACGUUGUUGGAGAAGUUCGUCAUCUGCCCUUGUCCUGCUUCGGAACACCUCGUCUGGGCACAUGACAUCUUGGUGGGUUGCAAAAGCUGAUUCACCAAGGUCGUCUGCUGCACAAGGGCGCUUGUCAACUCUAUGACUUGUCGGGAUAAGUAUUAUUCACCAUUUAGGGUAGAAGAGCUUAGACGGUACGCGUCUCUUUGAGUAGUGAAAGUGUAAUGGACUCCAGGCGCAAGAUUUGAGUUGGGAUAUGUCAAAUCUGCAGAAACAAAAUGGGUGAAAAUACCCUCGGUUCAAUCGUCGGUCCAUAAAUUUAAAGCUGGGAUGGUUGAAUCGGUAUUGGACCAGUUUGAGUUUCUAUGUGGGCCGCGGAAGCGGAUUAGACCGCGAAUUAGACUGCGUGAUUGAGUUAGGUUGCGGGAUCAGGUAGCUCUGCUGGCAUGGGCUAGGCUGAUGAAACACAUGUGCGCUGGCCAUCCUUUUAUCUCACGCGCGGCUUGGGCUUGCUGUUGCGCAGGGCAGACCUUGGCUUAGAGCUGUUCCGUGGCGUGGGUCUGGGCGUGCCAGGCUGCAAUUGUUGGUGUUUGGGCCUGGGUUUACUCCUGGGCCUGGGUUGCUGUAGUGGCAACAAGUUAGGCUGUUUCUUAGGCUUACGCCUCUUAAGCCGUGGCUUGAUGGUCCUCGUGGCCACCAUGGUGAUGGUACUCCAUGGUGGCAAAGUUGCUCAUUUUGCCAUCGUGUUGAGUCUCGUGGAUCGUCGUGGUAGGGUUUAUGUCUCGAUCUCCAUCACUUGGUACAAAUCCUUGAACGUAGGAAGUUUCGUUCGUUGUGGUUUCCGAAUUUUCCGCCAUUGUAUUUUUCUCUUAUGUCUAUUCAAAGAAUUAAAAAAAUCUAAGAAUAAGAAUGUACGGAAAAAAUUUACAAACAAACGAGAAAUGAGAAACUUUGAAUGCGAGAGUCUUCUUCGAGCGUAUGAAUCAAACUCUUAAUGAAAGCACCAAUUUAUGGAUGUCAAUUUCCGCCAUCUUCUCCUUUGAUGAAAAUGCACUUGCAAAAUAAUAACAUCUUCGAUUAAGGCCAAAAGCCUCACGCGCCUAUGAUGAAUGGGGGAGCCUUUGGUCUAAGAAUCUCUGGUGUCAAAGUUAGAAUUCUAAAAAGAAUGUAUUAGUGGGAUAAUAGGGGUAUUUAUAGGAGGGUGGUCAGCCCUAUUGGUGGAAAGUGGCCGGCCAUAUAUGGUGUAAUUGGGUGAUAAUUGUAAGAUAUUAUGUGAAAUAAUAUCAUGCAAUUAACAUGGCAAUUAGUUCUAAAUCAAAUAGGAAGUUUUGGGAGUUACCUUUUGAAUAAAAUCAAUAAGGGAUUGAUGAGGAGUGAUGAGAGUGAUUUGAAUAAAUAUCAUAUUGAUUACCUUUGACUCUUCUUUGAUUGAGCUGUUAUUGUCCAUUGCAUGCGGGUGAGAAUCAAUGUGUUCCUUGAGGGUAAUCUUUUUUGUUUUUACUCAAAAUCCACAAGUCACCUCUAUAAUUUUUUAAAUUAUUUUUAGCUCCAAAUCAUUCUUGCGGAGAUACAUCCAACGCGAGUACCUAACGCGUCACUAAAGUUCAACUUAAAGUUUUUCUUCGAUUAAAAAAAAAAUUGCAAAUUUUGGUUGUUGGAGGAAACAGAGGUGGGAACACUGGGAAAUAUAUUUGAUUAGAUAAACAUUUUGUCCAUAAAAAAAAAUUAAAUAAAAGUUAAAAAUCUCCAACUGGCGGAUCCUAUAAAACUCAUUGAAACAUCCCAAGUGAGAAAAAUUGACGGAGAUCUAGACGCAUACGCCAAGUGGAGGACCCCUUAAAACGUGUUGCAUUUUCCAACUUAAAUAUUUUAGCACCAAAACAAAACUCACUGAAACAUCCCAAGUGAGAAAAUUUGACAGAGAUCUAGACGCAUAUGCCAAGUGGCAGACCCCAUAAAACGCUUUGCAUUUUCCAACUUAAAUAUUUUAGCACCAAAACAAAACUCAUUGAAACAUCCCAAGUGAGAAAAAUUGACAGAGAUCUAGAUGCAUAUGCCAAGUGGCGGAACCCAUAAAACAAAACUCAUUGAAACAUCCUAAGUAAGAAAAUUUGACGGAGAUCUAAACGCAUACGCCAAGUGGCAGACCCCAUAAAAUGCGUUGCAUUUUCCAACUUAAAUAUUUUAGCUUCAAAACAAGACUUGUUGAAACGUCCCAAGUGAGAAAAGUUGACGGAGAUCUGAGCACAUACAAAAAAAACUAGUUAUUAGUUUAUAGAAUGCAAUUGAAGAAGGAAAGUGGGUGGAAAACACUAAGGGUGCGUUUGUUGCACCGGACUAUCUCGGACUGGACUAGCUUUAGGGACUAAGUUGGACUGGGUUAGACUAGACUAAGCUGGACUGUCUUAGUGAAGCGUUUGAUGCAGUGUCGGACUAAACAACAGGAUAACAACAAAUUCUAAUAUUAUAUUUUUUCAUUUAUAUUUUAUUAAUAUUUUAUAUUAUUUAAUACAUAUUUAGUAAUAUUUUAUUACUUCCACUGUCUAUUUGCUUUUUCAUUCUGAAACCACCCAUCUCCAUUUCUUCCUAAUUUUGCUCCGACCCUCUCCCUCUCUUCGUCUUUUUCUUUUCCUUUCCACUCUCUCCUCCCUCAAAACAGCAUCAUUCAUCACCCCCUUUUGUUCUUUUUUUUUUCCCUUUCCUUUUCUUUGCUGUUGUGAUUCCUCUAAAGACCGAGGCGAACGCUAAGCCGAGGGAGGAUGACGACGAGCCCGAAGAAGGAGAGAUCGUCGGCAACCAAGACUCGGCGUCGUCGAAGCCUUCGAAGGGAAUUGCGCCGCAGUCUCACGCCCUAGAGCACUCCUGGACCUUCUGGUUCAAUAGCCCUGCCGCAAAGUCCGCCAAGUCCAAGCAGGAGGAUUGGGGCAGCUCCAUCGGCCCGAUCUACACCUUCAUUACCGUCGAGGAGUUCUGGAGGUUAAUUUCUUUCAUUUCAUGUGGUUUUGGGUUUAAUUUUGUUUGGUUGGUAGGAAAACUGAGAAAAGAUUGAAUUUUUGCGUUUGUUAUGUGCUUGCUGUAGUUUGUGAUAGAACAAAUUUGGCCAUUUUUUGGUGGUGGAAGAACCCUCGCAGGGAGGAGGAAGAAGCCCAGAACUCACAGAAGGGCUCUCAGGGAGGAGGAAGAAGCCGAUCUUAGCAAGUCCCAUGGUUUGGGGAGUGCCUUGCUAAGAACCUUUAAGGAGGCCUCUAGUCCACACGAGUCCCCUUUAGUCCCACUUAACUUAGUCCCAUCACCUAUCAAACAUGGGACUGUAGUCCAGUCCAGUCCAGUCCCUCCUAAGGAGGUGAAACAAACGCCCCCUAAAAAGUAACAGAGCCCAUAAAACGCGUCUUCUAAACUAUAAUGAGCAGGGCAUGAGGGAGUUGAGGACAAGUUGCUCCUGCAGCUUGAUCGAUCUAGUACUAAUUUAUGAACGCUUAAGUAAUAAUUUAAUCAUCAAUUUUCAUGUCAUUUGAUGUACAAAAUUUUAUUUAUAAAUUUAACCCAAAAAAAAAUUCAAUACUAUUGGAGUAUGAAAGUGCAGAUUUUGGUUGUUAGAGGAAAAGUAGGUGGGCGCACUGGGAAGAUAUUGAUUGGGUAAAAGUAUCGUCCAAAAAACAAAGAUAAAAGUUGAGGGACCUCAUUAAACGCGUUGCAUUUUCUAACUUUAAUAUUUUAGAGGUUGCUGAAUAUUGUAGCAUCAAAGCAAAACUUAUUGAAACAUCCAUGUAAAAAAAAGUUGACGGGAUCUGACAACAACUCACAUGUAGAGCUGCAAGCAAAAGAUCACUGUCCCAGCAAAUAAAGCAUUUUUCAAUCAAGAAUAGUAGUUAUAUUGUCCCUUUCCCAGCAAAUAAAGUAAUUUUUGGAACCAAAUUCUCUCCGGAUCUUAUAAAACUGAGUCCACUAAUCAAUGCAUCCGGACUUUGAAAUUUGAUUCAACGACUACAAAAAUGGGAUCCCUCUAAAAGUUAUAAUAAUUGUAGUGUUUGAUCAAAUUUCAAUGGUCCAUAUUGAUUAAUGGGCUCAGAUUUAUAGAAUCUGGAGGGGUUCUUAUUCCCAUUUUUUGUCUAAGAUCGGACAACAAAAUAGUAGUUGUAUUGUCCCUACCCAGCAAAUGAAGCAUUUUUUACCCAAGAUCGGACAAUAACAUAGUAGUUGUACUGUCCCUACCUAGCAAAUAGAACAUUUUUGGUCAAGAUCGGACAAUAACAUAGUAGUUGUAGGGGUUCGCUAUCCACACAUCUCAUUUUACUUCUCACAUACCCCUUGAUAAUUUCUAUCCGUUGAUCUUCUUCAAUUUAUUUGAUCCGACGGCCGAAAAUUAAAAAGGUGUGAGAAGUAAAAUGGGGUGUGUGGACAUCACACCCCUAGUUGUAUUGUCCAAAUGAGAAUCCUCUCUGUAUCAUCUUUCUGAAGAUCCUAGAGAUCUUUAAAUUAUGUCUGUUAUCAUAUAUCAUGCGAUCAUAAAUUAUUUUAAAUUAAAUAUGAAUAAUAUCUGACGAAAACUAACCACAAAAUAUUAAGAUGAACAGACACGAUUUAAGAAUUCUUAUAAUCCUCAUAAAGAGGAUCCGAAAAGGAUCCUCCUGGGUAUUGUCCAAGAUCGGACAAUAACAUAGUAAUUGUACUGUCCCUACCUAGCAAAUAAACCAUUUUUGGCCCAAGUUAGGACAAGUACUGUCCCUACCCAGCAAAUAAACCAUUUUUGGUCCAACAUUGGACAAUACCAUAGUAGUUGUUUUGUCCUUAUCUGAUAAAACCCAGACUUCACGUCUUGCUCGAUGUAUUGAUACAGUGUAAUACUACAGUAUAAUUUUCAUUCAACAACCUUUUCAUCCUUCUUACAAUCUCUUAUAUAGUAACUAGGCCAACUUAGCUACUAAGAAACUGACUAACAACCGUAUCUCUUACUAUAACCAACUAACCAAUUUGAUAAUGCUGAUACAUCAUCCUAGUCAGCAUCUUAUCAAUACCCCCUUGAAAUGAGGCUUGUACAACAAGACUGAAAACAACACAAAAGACAGUACAUUGGAUCUGUAAACCAUAAAGUCUGCAAUACAAGUAAUCACAUUUGAGUAACUGAAGGAAAUCGAUUCUUCAAGUCUGCAUAAACCUCCCAUGUAGCUUCUUCAGCCGUGUGAUUUUGCCAUUGGACCAAAACCUCAGUGCUUGCUACAUUCCCCUUCUUAACCAGCCUUCUAUCCAAUAUUGCAAUUGGUACAUUCUGUAAAAUCCCAUCAUCUGUAAUUACUAGUAAGGGUAUCGUAGGUUGAAUAUUUGGUCCCCAAAUGUUUCUUCAAACAAGAAACAUGAAACAUGAAACACAGGGUGCAACUUGGAUGUGUUAGGAAGGCGUAACUUGUAAGCAACAUGACCAACUUUUGCCAUAAUUUCAAAUGGACCAUAAAAUCUAGGCUGCAACUGAUGGAAAUGAUGAGAAGCCAAGGAUAGAUGUUGAUAAGGAACCAACCGUAAGUAUACCAAAUCCCCCACCUGGAAAAUUCUUUCAGUCCUGUGUUUGUUUGCUUGUACUGUCAUUAUGUUCUGAGCAGCUGCCAAAUUUGAUUUUAACAAGGAUAACAUCCUAUUCCAGUCCAAUAAACUCCUGUCAACGCAGGAAUUAGUCUCACACGUUAUGGCGGAGCAGGUGGAGCCUGGUGGGCAGGCGAAGGGGAAGUCCUCGAGGAUGGAUGGAGAAUCAGUUUCUUCACCGAUUGAAUUUGGAGCUAAUGGUGUUGAUUCAUCCAGAUCUGGUAAGAGAAGUCGUGGAAUUAAUGGACCGAAUUUGGAUGCUGAACGUGAUACGGCUGCUCUGCACCUGGAGCCUAAUGUGAGUUUCAAAGACAAGCUUAUGAAAUCAUCUCGGCGACUUGUCUCGGUUGCUAUAUCUGAUUUUGAUUUUGAUCCUGAUCUCGUUGACGGGGACGUGUCAUUCUCUCGUGAGGUGAAAGGGCCUAUCGUUACAUUCUCUGAAAAAGCUGUGACGAAAUUUGGUAAGGAUUGGCAUGAUGCUCUGGUCAUCAAACUUCUUGGGCGAUCGCACACUUAUAAUUUUUUGUUGAACAGGCUGAGGCAAAAAUGGCAAUUAAAAGGAGGUAUGCAGCUUAUUGACAUUGAUCAUGAUUUUUAUAUUGUUAAAUUUGAUUUGGAAGAGGAUAAGGAGUUUGUUUUAACUGGUGGACCUUGGAUAAUUGCGGGUCAGUAUUUGACAAUUCAAAAAUGGAGACCAGGAUUUGUACCUGCAACUGAGGUUAUGACUCGUAUGGCUGUAUGGGUCAGGAUAAUGGGUGUUCCAAUUGAGUAUUUUAAUGUUUGGGCUAUGAGGAAGAUAGGUAGUGUGCUGGGAAAACUGUUGAAGAUUGAUGUAAACACUAAUUCUCAAUACAGGGGAAAAUUUGCUAGAAUUUGUGUUGAGAUUGAUGUGACUAAGCCUCUUGAAGCGUUUAUUCAAAUUAAUGAUAGAUGGUACAAUUUGGAGUAUGAGGGUAUGCCAGAAAUUUGUUUUGGAUGUGGUCGUUAUGGGCAUAAGAGGGAGAGCUGUACUUGGAGCGUUGAUCCUAUGGCGGAAAAGGUUGAUGGUGGUGAAAAUGAGAGUAAUAUGAUGAAUAUGGAUGAGCCUAUAGUAAAGGCUGCUCAAAGUAGCGAUGAUGUUUCUUCUAUUCAUGGUAAUUGGAUGCAAGUUAACCCUAGAGGUAGACCUCGGAAAAUAAAUAAUGGACAGAGAGGUGUUGAUGGUGCUUUUAAUGGGCAGGGGUCAAGGUUCAGUGUGCUCAAUGGGGAAGAUAAAAGUCUGAAUGAGGGAAAUGUGGGAAGUGGCACAAAUGGUGAGAAGGGUGAAGGUUCUAUUGAAAGGAAAAUUUGGGGGGUUAGGAAGAAGAAGGAAGCUAGUGAUCGGGAUGCACUUGCUGAUAUAUCUAACUGUGGUGGAAAGCCAUCUACGCAUAAUUUGGGGCAACUAAGACAACCUUUAGUGAGAAGGUCAAGUUCUAGUUCGAUUAGUAAUGUUGAGGAUCAGCCGUUCAAAUUUAAUGUUAAUGCCUUCAAGACUGAUAUGUACUAUGGUUCAAAUAUGUCGAAGGGAACCUAUAUUUUUGGUCACCAACCAUCUAAUGCUAGUGGUAGCGAUGUUGAGUUAGCUGCGUGUGAUCUGGAUCCAGGUGAAGAGAUGAUGAAUACUGAUCAUACUAUUCCAGGUUCAAUUAUUCAACGAUCUCGUUCAACCGAGGAUUAUUGUUUAGCUAAGUCUGCUGAGAGGUGUGCCUCCCAUGUGGAGGAAACCCUUAUGGGUUGCUAGGCUGUAUGCCUUGGUUUUAUCUUUCUCAUCCAUCUUUAUGAUGAAUAUUGUAGUAUGGAACUCUAGAGGUGCUGGUUGCACCAAGUUUAAAGAUAAUGUUGCAGAAUUAAUUAACAUUCACCAAAUGGAGAUUUUGGUUAUUUGUGAGCCCAGGAUUAGUGGUCAGAAAGCUAUUUCAGUUGUGAAAUCUCUUGGUUUUCCGUGCUUUGAGAUUGUGGAUGCUGUUGGCUUCUCUGGUGGUUUGUGGAUGUUGUGGAAGGAUUCUAGAUUAAAGGUGGAAGUUAUCGGUACCACUGACCAAGCUAUUUCUGUUGUUGUGGAUGGUGUUGGUCAGAACCAUUGGAUUUUCACCGCUGUCUAUGCUAGCCCUUGUGUUACUAAAAGAGAAAGAUUGUGGGAUUAUUUAGAUUUUGUAGCUGAUUGUCAUCAAUUGCCUUGGUUAAUUGCUGGGGAUUUCAAUGACAUGUUGUGUGUGGAUGAUAAACUUGGUGGUGCUCCAUUAUGCAGAUUAAAAGGCUUCAAAUCCUGGGUGGAUAGGAAUUAUAUGAUUGAUUUGGGUUUUAUUGGUCCUAAAUUUACUUGGACUAAUAAAAAAGUGUUAGAAAGAAUUGAUCGUGGGAUUUGUAAUAUGAGUUGGAGGAGCCUUUUCCCUGAAGCUUAUGUUCACCAUCUCCCGCGAACCAAGUCAGAUCACUGCCCUAUUAAGAUAUGCUUAAAUUCUCAUAAGUCAUUUUCUCCCAAUCAUCGUCCUUUUCGUUUUGAAGCUAUGUGGUUGAGGCAUGAAAAUUUUAAGGAGUUUGUUGAUGGUUAUUGGAGUAAUGGUGGAGGUUCGGUUGUUGAUAAAACUUGUGCUCUUGUUGAACCGCUUAAGAAGUGGAAUAUUCAAGUCUUUGGUCAUCUCAAACAGAGAAAGCGCAAACUUCUAGCAAGAAUUGAUGGGAUUCAAAAAGCUUUGUGUCGUGGGCCUAAUAAAUUUCUUUCUAAAUUGGAGGAUGAGUUGAUUUCUGAUUAUAAUGAAGUUCUAAAUGAGAAGGCUAUAUUUUGGCAUCAAAAGUCUCGGUUGAGGUGGCUUCAAGAAGGUGAUCGUAAUACAAAAAUUUUUCAUCUCACUACUAUUGUAAGGAGGAGAAGAAAUAGAAUUGAGGGCCUCAUUAACAAUCAAGGUGCUUGGAUAUCGGAGUCUUCUGAUAUGAAAAAGUUGGCAGUUGAGUACUUUCAAACUAUUUUUUCGCAUGGGCAAAAGUCUAAGCAAAUGGAAUGUCUUCCUAAUCUUUUUCCUGAUAUUAAUGUUGCUGUUCGUGAAGCUCUUACUAAAGAUAUUGAUAUGGUUGAAGUCAAGGAAAGCCUCUUUAAUAUUGGAGGCCUUAAAGCUCCACGUAUUGAUGGGUUUCCUGCUUGCUUUUAUCAAAGUCAGUGGAAUAUAUGUGCUAAUGAUAUCUUUGAUAUGGUAUGGAAUGCUUUUCACUCAAGGAGAUUGCCUGCUGGGUUAAACAGUACGCUGAUUACAUUGGUCCCUAAAAUUGAUAAUCCUCAAAAGAUGUUGAAUUUUAGGCCUAUUAGUCUCUGUUGCACUCUUUAUAAAGUGAUCUCUAAAAUCAUUGUUGCUAGAAUCAGACCUCUCUUGCCUCAUCUAAUUAGUCCUAAUCAGGCUAGUUUUGUUCCUAGUAGACAAAUUUCUGACAAUGUCCUCAUUGCUCAAGAAAUUCUUCACAAGUUCAGAAUGUCAAAAGGCCAAAAAGGAUUUUUAGCCUGGAAAAUUGAUCUCUCUAAGGCGUAUGACAGACUUAAUUGGAAGUUUAUUGAGUAUGUGCUGAAUGAGGUUGGGUUGCCUUCGAAUUUGAUUCAACUUAUGAUGGAAUGUGUAUCCACAGUUAGGUACCAAAUUUGUUUCAAUGGUGAAUUAACAGAUGGUUUUAUUCCUCAAAACGGUAUUCGGCAAGGGGAUCUUUUGUCCCCUUAUUUGUUUGUUCUAUGUAUUGAGAAACUCUCCCAUUUAAUUUCUGCAACUGUGAACAAAGGAAGGUGGAAACCUGUUAAGGCUUCUCAAUCUGGACCUAGGGUAUCUCAUCUCUUUUUCGCUGAUGAUUUAAUGUUGUUUUCUGAAGCUACUCCUAAGCAAGCAAGAGUAAUGAAGAGGUACCUUGAACAAUUUUGCAAAGCUUCUGGUCAAGCUGUUAACUUUGAAAAAUCUGUUCUUUAUUGUUUUCCAAACACGUCCAGGGCUUGUCUUAAGAGUAUUAGUACAAUUUGUGGGUCUCCUGUCUUUGAGAGUCUUGGGAAUUAUUUAGGAAUGCCUCUAAUUCAGACUAGAGUUUCAAAGGCUACUUAUUCGGGCGUUAUUGAUAAAGUUCAGAAGAGGUUGGCAACUUGGAAGAGCAAGGUAUUGUCCAUGGCUGGAAGAAUUACCUUAAUUCAAGCUGUUACCUCGUCCAUACCAGUUUAUGCCAUGCAAACGACCAAGCUUCCGGCCAGUGUGUGUGAAGAGUUAGACAAGGUGAAUAGGGAUUUUUUGUGGGGGGAUACCGAUCAAAAGAAAAAAGUCCAUUUGUGCCAAUGGAGUAUGGUUUGCAAACCUAAAAGUAAGGGUGGUUUGGGGAUUAAGAGAGCUUGUGUAAUGAAUCAGGCUCUUUUAGCUAAGUUAGGGUGGAGGAUUCAUGCUAAGGACUCUGGUCUUUGGUCUCAAAUUUAUCAGGCUAAGUAUUUGAAAGGCUAUUCUAUUUUAGACCCCAAAAUUCAUGAAAGAACUGAGUGUUCUUAUUCUUGGAAAGGAAUUUUGUAUGGAGUUAAUCUUCUUAAAAAGGGCAUGACUUGGAGAAUUGGCAAUGGUGAGAGUGUGAAAUUUUGGAAGGAUUCAUGGGUCUUAAAUGUCCCUUUAAUGGAAACUAUUGAUGUUGCUAACAUCUCCAAUAUUGAUUGUGUUGUCUCUGAAUUUUUAAGAAAUGGUUGGUGGGAUAUUGAUAAGCUCAGAGAUGUGUUGCCAGAGGAUAUGGUUCAAAAAAUUAUAUGUCGGCCUGCUGGUACUACUGGUGCAGGUAUGGAUAAAAUUAUUUGGAGAUGUGCUUCUAAUGGAGUUUUCACCGUUAAGUCAGCUUAUAAUCUUUUCUUUGAUGAAGAGGAUUUGCCUGAUUCAUGCUGGGAUUUUAUUUGGAGAGUUAAUGUUCCACCGAAGCUAAAAGUUUUUCUUUGGUUGAUGAGUAAAGGGAGAUUGCUUUCUAAUGAGCAACGAGUUAGAAGACAAUUAACUUCUGAUUCUUCUUGUAUGACUUGUUGUGGACCAAUUGAAUCCAUUGCUCAUAUUUUUAAAGAUUGUUCCAGGGCUAUGUGUAUCUGGAAAAGUAUGGGAGUUCCAUGGCAACUGAGGAAUGCCCAGAAUCUUGAGUUUAAGGCUUGGUUGCUGGCAAAUCUGAAAGUAAGUUCAAAAGGGACCAAUGAGGGUGCUUGGUGUACUCUUUUCCUUUUUAUUUGUUGGCAUAUUUGGAAGUGGAGAAACAAGCAGAUUUUUGAUGUCAAUUUUGUCAUGCCUAUGUAUCCAAAAGCGAUCAUUGAGAGAGAUGUGGAUGAAUGGUUGAAGGCUUGUGUGAAGUAUUCUGUCAAACCUGUAAAGAGGCAAAUUUCUCUCUCUUGGGAUCAUCCUGAUGUAGGUUGGUGUAAGCUAAAUGUGGAUGGGUCUAGAAGGACAAAUUCUGGUCGAAUUGGGGCUGGUGGCGUUCUAAGAGAUCAUAAUGGCAACUGGUUAGGUGGCUUUGCUGUGAAUUUGGGACAAGGGCAGGUUUGUGAUGCUGAAUUAUGGAGUUUAUACUUUGGUUUACAGCUUGCUAUUGAUAAGGGUGCUACUGAGCUUCAUAUUGAGAUGGAUUCCAAGGCUGUUAUUAUGUUGUUGAAGCAAUCCCAAGUUGAUAAUUUCCAUCCUUUGGAGACAAUUAUGCAUAGCUGCAGAUUAAUGAUGAGACAAUUGAGGAGGUGUGAAUUGAAUCACGUUUAUAGAGAGAAGAAUAUUGUGGCGGAUCAGUUGGCUAAUUGGAGUUAUAACAUGGAUAUUGGUGUUCUUGUUUUUGAUGAGCCUCCUGUGUGGAUUAGAUCAGCUCUCAUUGAUGAUGCUGCUGGAGUCCCUCGGACUCGGUUUGCUGUUGGUUUGUAGUUCUUUUUGGGUUGUGUUCCCCGUUCUUCACCAAAAAAAAAAAAAAAAAAAAAAAACUCCUGUCAACCAUUUCCAGCUUAAUUGUUCCAGCUUCAUACACCGGAAUGUAUGAAGGAGGUUGUCCGUACAUUACUUCAUAUGGAGACAUUUUUGUUGCAGAAUGAAGGGUUGUAUAAUAAUUCCAUUCAGCCCACGGUAACCAGAGAGACCACUUCUUAGGUUAGAGACUACAAAAACAUCUUAGGUAAGUCUCUAGACAUCAAUUAACAACCUAUGUCUAUCCAUCCGUUUAAGGGUGGUACCUUGAGUUGUGAGACAAUGAUGAUCCUUGUAGUGUAAAAAAUGUUUUCCAAAAUGCACUCAUGAAUAAUGGAUCCCUAUCAUAGAUUAUAGAAGCAUGCAUUCCAUGUAACUUGAACAUAUGUUCCAUAAAGAGAUUAGCUACUGAGGCUGCCAUGAAUUGAUGGGUUAAUGCUAGAAAAUGGGCAUAUUUGGAUAGCCUAUCAACUAUCACCCAUAUAACUGUUUUACCUCGACAAGGAGGCAAUCCCACUAUGAAGUCCAUUGAUAUGUCAGUCCAGAUUUGUGAAGAAUUGGUAGUGGCUGAAUUAAACCCGCAGGGGCUAAAGUUUAUACUUUUGCUUCUGACACACUUGACAAUUUGCGACCAUUUCCUUUAUAUCCUUUUUCAUCCCUUUCCAAUAGAAGGACCUUGAAAGCCUUCUAUAUGUCUUCAAAAAUCUAGGGUGACCUGCAGAAGGGCUGCUAUGAUGUUCCUCAAACAUAAGUUGUCUCCAAGAACUGUUGGGACUUAAUACAAUUUUAUCCUUGUAUUUGAGAAAACCAUUGUCGACUUUGUAUUUUAACAAGGUCAAUGGAGAUGAAUAUGAGACAUUCUUCACUUCUUGAAAUUUUUCCAAGAUCCAAGAGUCUUGUUCAAUAUGCCUUCUCAAGUUAUUAAUCCAGCUAAGAUAAGGGUAGGAAAUAGCCAAGAGUUCUAACUGACCUAUUGCAGGACUUGAUUGAACAAUAGAUGCAUCUAGAGAAAUUCUGGACAAGGCAUCAGCUACUUGAUUAUCACAUCCCUGUUUAUAUUGGAUUUCAUAAUCAAAACCCAAUAGUUUAGACACCCACUUCUAUUGAAAAUGAGGGUUAGCCUUAUUUUGCAGGAAAAAAAACUUCAAACUAUGGUGGUCUGUUUUAAUGAUGAAGUGUCUGCACACAAGGUAAGAUUGUCAUUUCUUGAUUGCAUGUAAUAUAGCCAUCAUCUCCCUUUCAUAAGCAGUUAAUGAUUGAUUCCUCACACUCAAUGCUUUACUGCUAAAUGCAAUAGGUUUGCCAUUUUGUUGCAAAACAGCUCCAAUGCCAUAACCAGAUGCAUCACUUUCAAUUAUAAAAGGUUGGGUGAAAUUUGGUAAAGCUAAUAGCUGAGGUGAAAGCAUAGUCUGUUUGAGUGUGUUGAACGCCACUGUGGCUGCUUCACUCUAUUUGAAAUUAUCAUUUUUGGUAAGGACUGUCAAUGGACUAAUAAUCUUUCCAAAAUCAGGAAUAAAUUUCCUGUAAUAUCCUGUCAAACCAAGAAAUCAUCUUAAGGCUUUUACAGUAAUGGGAAGAGGCCAUUUAGCUAUAGCAUCUAGUUUGGAGGGGUUAGCUGCAACUCCUUCCUUUAAUACUAUAUGUCCUAAGUAUUCCACUCAAGUUUGCCCAAAUGCACAUUUAGACUGCUUGACAAAGAGAGUAUGAGACUGUAGAAUCUCAAAAACCGUGCUAAGAUGUUCCAUGUACAGCUCCCAGGUCUUGCUAUAUACUAGAAUAUCAUCAAAAAACACCAAAAUGAGCUUUUGAAGGUGUGGCCUAAAUAUCUCAUUCAUUAAGCACUGGAAGGUUGCAGGUGCAUUAGUCAAUCCAAAGGGCAUGACUAAAAACCCGUAAUGGCCAUCAUGAGUUUAAAAGGUCGUUUUUUCAAUGUCAUAUGAAUGCAUCGUUAUCUGAUGGUAACCUGAUCUGAGAUCCAACUUAGAAAAGAAUUCAGCUCCAAACAGUUCAUCCAAGAGUUCAUCAAUCAAUGGAAUUGGAAAUUUAUCUUUAAUAGUGAUGAUGUUUAAAUUUCGAUAAUCCAUGCACAUCCUCCAAGUCCCUUAUUUUUUCUUAACUAAAAUGACUGGAGAAGAACAAGGACUAUUACUCACUCUGAUAAAACCAGCAAUUAACAAUUCUCGCACACAUUUUUCAAUUUCUGUCUUUUGCAGAGGCUCAUACCCAUAAGGUCUUAUACUUGGUGGUCUACUUCCUUCGAUUAGGGGAAUUCUGUGGUCAUGUGACCUGGGCGGAGGUAAUGCACUGGGAGUGAGGAAGAUCAUUCAUAUUGUUGUAAAAGCUGCCUUAAUUGUUGUUGUUGUACCAAAGAGAAAGUGUCUUCUUAUUGUUCAACUACUUCAGGUUGCAAUUGAAACAGAAAUGCCCCAAUUAAUGGUUCCUGCAAUAACAAUCUCUCCAUCUGAAAUGCAGUUACAUCCUGAAUUUGAUCCACAUAAGUUUCUGGACUGGAAAUACAGUAAGUUUAGUUGCCUUUGUGGAACUUCAUGUAAAACUUGUCAAAAUCCCAUAACACAGGGCCAAGUGUCCUCAACCAUUGUACUCCUAAUACUAUAUCACAACCCCCCAAUGACAUAGCAUAUAAAUUUGCGGUGCAUUGGUAUUCUUGAAUCUUAAGUGGCACAGCCCCUAAGGUGCCCAAGGUAGUGACUUUACCCCCAUUAGCUAUCUUGACAUUAAAAGAAUGAGUGGUAUCCAACUACCCUCUAAUUCUCUUAACCAAUGAUAGGUCAAUGAAAUUAUGAGAGCUCCCUAAAUCAAUGAGUAUAACCACUGAACAAUUCUUGAUCAUACCACAAACUUUCAUAGUUUGAAUUGACUUAGGAAGAGGGGUCCCAAACAAUGCACAAGCAGUUAUCUCAGGCUCUAAAUUCUUUUCUUCUAUCUGUUCAGUUUCCUCAUGAUCUUGAAUAUCAGUAAGCAACAAUUGUUUUUUCUCACAUGAAGGGCCCCUACUGUAUUUCUUUUUACAGUGAAAACAAAGACCAUUUUUUUGACAAAAUUUUACCUCCUCAAGAGUUAACCGACGCACAUUAUCAGAGUUGUUCUUAACAUCUCCAGCAUGUAUAUUACUAACAUUGUAUAAAGGAGAUCUCACAGGUGUAGCACCAUAAGAUCAAGACAAAGUUUUAACCUUUAGAUCGGAGAGUUUGGAAUCCAAUUAGUGGGCGUAGGCAGUAGCUUCUAAGACAUCCUUGGGCUUUAAGAUCUUGACAUCGUGCCUUAAUUCUGACUUUAAACCUCCCAUGAGAGAUAGGCUCAUGUCUCGAGUUCUGUUAGCCAAUCUUCUGAAUUCCAGAAUGUAAUCUCUUAAAAGACUUGUUUGUCUCAGCUUCACUAGACUUUCCGCUGCAUCUUCGAACUCGGAAGGUCCAAAUUCUUGACAUAAAGCUUUGGUGAAAUCCUCCCAAUUGGGGUACUUUGUAAUGUAAUUAGCCUAUUGGAACCAUUGCAAGGGCUCUCUUUCGAAGUGAAAGGACGCCAUUUUUACUUUCUUGCAAUCUUCGAUGUUGAAGAAUUCAAAAUAGUGAUCUACUUUAUAAAUCCAGCUUAAAGGAUCGUCACUAUCAGCAAAUCUUGGAAAUUUCAUCUUAAGAAAUGGAAGACGCUGAAUCGCUGUAUUGGGCAUAUUUUCUUGGCGAUCCAGAAUGUUACCCAGGUUCGGAUCCACCCCCAUUCGCCGCAUCAAAUCUGAAUGUGUAGCGUCGGAAGAUUCACCGAUUGACCCAUUACCCUUCGCAUACAAUGAAUGCAAUUGCUGCAAGAUCAAAUCGUGAGUUGCUCUAAAUUCAUUUCUUGAUUCUGCGAAUUCGACUCUUGACUCCUUGAAUUCGUUUUGGAAAUUGGCAAAUUGGGCUUUGAGAGUUGACACCUGAGACUCCAUGGAUUUCCUGGAAGCAAGGCGAAGCAUACACGAGGAAGGAUUAAGCAAGAUCGGAUGCACUGGCUCGAUACCAAUGAUAAGACCCAGACUUCACGUCUUGCUCGAUGUAUUGAUACAGUGUAAUACUACAAUAUACUUUUCAUUCAACAACCUUUUCAUCCUUCUUACAAUCUCUUAUAUAGUAACUAGGCCGACUUAGCUACUAAGAAACUGACUAACAACUUUAUCUUUUACUAUAACCAACUAACCAAUUUGAUAAUGCUGACACAUCAUCCUAGUCAGCAUCUUAUCCCUAUCCUAGCAAACAAAAAAAGGAUUUAUACCCUAGCUUUUAAUGUGAGAAAGAGGGUGAGUUCUAAAGGAAAAUGGAUCUUUGAUUGGUCGAAUUUAUGCUAAAUUAAGGUUGCAGCCAUGCGAUUUCCAUGCAAUGUGCAGGCUUCAUUCCAUGGUUGCAGCUGUGCGUUUCUGUUUUGUAAUGCCUAUGAAACUGUUCGAUCAACAGCUACCGAAUAACUUAGAACGUCAAAGGAGAGCGUUUGUUUUGAGUUUGGUUUUUCAUAUUCUAAAUGGAUGUAAAAAUAAAUUUACAUCUUGAAUUGAGUUUUAUCAGGGUAAUUUAGGUAGUAAAUGUGGGUUUAAAAAAAUAUUGAUAGUUGAAUUUUAAAAAGAGUAAUGCUAUGUUGACCAAUUUUUGAUAGACUCGGCAAAUUUUGACACGACAAGAAAAUAACGGGUUUCGGGUCAACACGAUAACUAAUCGGGUCAUUAUCGGGUGACCCGUUAAUAACAGGUUCUUAACGGGUAUACACGCAGGUAACACGUGGGUAACCUGAUAUCAUGUUUUUUCCUUGUCCUUUCAUUUGUCCUUGUUCUUACCUACAAAGACAAGGAUAAAGAAAACAAUAUGCCGGAACCUCCACUCAAACUCGGGUAAGGAACCGACUGCUUGGAACCCUUCCCUGAUUGCCUACCUAGCACUGCUCUCGAGUACUCGUUUCCCACUGCUGCUGUACUUCCAAAGAAGCUGCCACAUCUGCCUGAAGAACAGAUAAGGCAAGUGAAAAUGAUACCUUGCAGCAUGUGGAGACAACGUGCAGAAGAAACAAGUAGAGAAGAAUGCAGCCUGCACAGUCAACUCAGCAGAAGGAGUUUGAGUUAAGGAACUCGAGAAGAUGCCACAUCUGCCUGGAGAACAAAUAAGGAAAUGCGGCAUGCACAAUCAACUCAGCAGAAGGAGUCUGAGAUGAGGAACUCGAGAAGAUGCCACAUCUGCAUGAGAAACAGAUAAAGGAAAUGAAAAUGAUACCUUGAAGCAUGUGGAGACAAGUGCAAACAAGCACGUGCUGAUUCAUCCGCUACUUCUUCAAAAUCAAAAGUAUCUCAUAUCAUCAAGGUUACAAUCACUCUGGACGGUGAAUUCGUUUUGACCCUCAAAUUCUUGGGUCGACUUACUAGGCGUUGUGGGCUACACGUGCCGAUUCACCACCCUUGAAUCAAACCCUUAAAGAUCAAGUCACCAACUGGAAGAAGAGCCCAACAAUCUUCAAGAUCAUACCGUUGACCAAACUGCUCAGGUGUGAAUUAGAAAGAUUGAACAAAGCAACAAGUCGUCACCUUCACCUCGUGCCUGCUUGCCAUGUGUUCGAGUCAUCCUCAAAAUCAAGCCUUAACGGCCCUUGAAGAAGCUUCCAACCAAAUUCAAGAUCAAGCCUCGACGACCUUUGAGGAAAUCACAAGUCCGAUUCAAGAUCAAGUGUCUACCACUCUUGAAUCAAAUCCAGUUCAAGAUCAAAGCUGUGGAAAGUCAACAAAGCGCAAAAACAAAUACAUGCUGAUUCAUCCACUACCAAAGCCAAAGAUCAUCUACCACAUGAAGUUCCUUGUGGUCCAAUUUCAACCUUUAAGAUCGAGCAUCGACGGCCCUUGAAGAAAUCUCCAGCCCAAUUCAAGAUCAAGCCUCGACGGCCCUUGGAUUGACAUCUACAGUAAGGGACUUCAAAACGCAUCUCCUACACGCGACAAGCACAUGUAUACAACGCGUCUUGAAGUGGGGGCAUUUGUAGACAUCGAAAUUUCGGUAAAUAAAUGUUGACCGAUAAAUUAAAGUUUCAACGCUCAUGUAUUACAUAAAUUUUACACGUAGCGUGUGUCUAAACAAAAAAUCAAAAUAAGUUGGAAAAGUCAUCAAACAAGACACGUGUCAACACCUGGCAGAAACAACUUAUUUCAUCUGGAAUAUUAUAUUCAAAAUUAGGCCUUGGAAAUUUCUAUAAAUAGAAGGCUAAUUCAUUCAUUUGGGAGGACAAAAAAAUCAUUAUCCAAAAUUCUUGAAGCUCUGAAGCUCUGAAACUCCGAAGCCCUCAAGCCUCCAGGUUCCCGAAGAAUCAAGAAAGUGUUCUUCGUUCUUCGUUCACCGUUCUUCCAAGAUCAAGCCCCAACGGCCCUUUGGAUCAACAAUCAUCCACCAAUUCAAGAUCAAGCCCCGACGGCCCUUGAAGAAAGUGUUCUUCGUUCUUCGUUCAUCGUUCUUCCAAGAUCAAGCCCCGACGGCCCUUGGAUUAACAAUCACCAAUUCAAGAUCAAGCCCCGACGGCCCUUGAAGAAAGUGUUCUUCGUUCUUCGUCUUCGUUCUUCCAAGAUCAAGCCCCAACGGCCCUUUGGAUCAACAAUCAUCCACCAAUUCAAGAUCAAGCCUUGACGGCCCUUGAAGAAAGUGUUCUUCGUGCUUCGUUCAUCGUUCUUCCAAGAUCAAGCCCCAACGGCCCUUUGGAUCAACAAUCAUCCACCAAUUCAAGAUCAAGCCCCGACGACCCUUGAAGAAAGUGUUAUUCGUUCUUCGUUCUUCGUUCAUCGUUCUUCCAAGAUCAAGCCCCGACGGCCCUUGAAGAAAGUAUUCAUCGUUCAUCAACUGUUCAUCCUAAGAUCAAGCCCCAACGGUCCUUUGGAUUAACAAUCAUCCAUCUUCAAGAUCAAGCCCAAAAGUCCUUGAAGAUCUGUUCAUCACCGUUAUUCAAGAUCAAGCCUCAACAGCUCUUGAAGAAACGCUCAUCCUUAAGAUCAAGCCCCAACGGCUCCUUGAAGAUCCGCUCAAAUCCACCUUCAAAAUCAAGCCCAUGGCCCUUGAAGAACGUUCAUCCUUAGAUCAAGCCCAACGACCCUUUGGAUCAACGAAACAUCCACAAAUCAACACCUUACGGAGAUCGAAUCAGAGGAUCAAAUUUGAGAGAGAUUGUAACCCAAAACCAUCAAAUACAAAUAUUUGUUUGUGCACGUUGUUCUUGUCUCUUUCGUUUCAGGAAUUUUCCAUGUUCACAAAUUGGCACGCCCAGUGGGACCAUCUUACCUCUCAUCUCUUUCCCCGUUCAAAAAAAAAAAUUUCAAAAGUAAUGGCAUCAAGGAAGGCUCAAACUGUUCCCGCAACCGGCACAAAGAAUAAGAGCGUCCUCGUCACAAGUGGUGUCACUUUAGGCAUCACGACUCGAAGCAAGACAAGAGCUACUUAUACCGCUUCAUUCACCUCUGCAUCCACUCUGCCAAGGGAACAAGAGCACCCAAGGUACGAGCCUGUAAUCACCUUAGCCUCACUAAGGGCACCAGGGGAGGAGAGCCUAAGGAAGUACUCCGAAUCCAUGCUCUCUGAUGCCGACUUAAGCGGCAGUUCAACCAUGCAAGUUAUGACCACUGGAGCAACUUCAAUCGAUGAGUAGCUGGCUCAGAUGAAUGAAGCAAUCGCAAGGCUAACCCGAACUGUGGAAGAAAAAGACUUGCAAAUUGCAGCACUCGUCAACCGACUAGAGGCGCAGGACGUCGAGAAACCCAACCCGAAGAUUGAUCCUCUAAAGAAGGAAGACGAUGAAGAAGAUGAGCCUAUAGUGGAGAAAGAUGAAGAAAAGUUGAAACUCGACCCAACAACAACGCUCAUGGGAUCUCUCUCCAUCAAGCAUUUACAGGAGAUGAUCGCCAGCACCGUCAAGACGCAGUAUGAAGGGAGCUCACAUGCCUCCACGUUGUACUCGAAGCCUUACUCCAGGAAGAUCGACGCCUUAAAGAUGCCGAAGGGCUAUCAACCACCGAAGUUUAUGCAAUUUGACGGAAAGGGAAACCCGAAGCAACAUGUCGCACAUUUCGUCGAAACCUGCAACAAUGCAAGGACGGAGAGAGAUUACCUCGCCAAGCAGUUUGUGCGCUCGUUAAAAGGAAACACCUUUGAGUGGUACACGGACCUGGAGCCCGAGUCCAUCAACAGCUGGGAACAGUUGGAAAGGGAAUUCCUCAACCGCUUUUACAGUACCCGCCGCACUGUGAGCAUGCUAGAGCUGACGAGCACGAAGCAAUGGAAGGAAGAACCAGUCAUGGACUACAUCAACCGAUGGCGUAAUCUAAGCCUCGACUGUAAGGACAGACUCUCUGAGAUUUCUUCAAUCGAGAUGUGCAUCCAGGGCAUGCAAUGGGGUUUACAAUACAUCCUUCAAGGUAUCAAACCACGAACUUUUGAAGAAUUAGCCACCCGUGCCCACGACAUGGAGCUGAGCAUCGCCCACCAUGGAAAGAAUGAGCCAAUCACCGAUUUCAAAAGGGAUAAGGUGUUUACUUCAAGAGCAGACAAUCAUGGGAAAAAGCCCGCCAAGGAAGCUUUUACCACCAAUACCACCCCUAUCAAGACCUCGUCCCCACCAUUCAAAAUUUCCUUCAAUAACAAAGCAAGGGAGAUAAAAAGAAGUGAGCCUUCCCGCACCCAAGAUAGGUACAAAAACACCUUGAGGGAACUGGAGCAGAAGGUAUACCCUUUUCCAGACUCCGACAUGGACGCAAUGCUGGACGACCUGCUGGAGAAGAAGGUGAUUGAAUUGCCUGAAUGCAAACGCCCUGAAGAGAUGAAUCGCACCAAUGAUCCUAAGUACUGCAAGUAUCAUCGUAUCGUGGGUCAUCAUGUGGGCAAGUGUGUCAUCCUAAAAGAACUCAUCAUGAAGUUGGCACAGCAAGGGCGGAUUGAGCUCGACCUAGAAGACACAGCCGCAACGCACACCACUACGAUCGUGUUCGGAUCCUUUGAUCCCGUGCCUCUUCAAGAAAUGCCCGACCAUUCCUAUCAAUGCACAAGCUACACGACACCUUCUGCACGACCAUCAUCGGGGGCAAACAACCAGGAUGCACCUAUCGAUGAUGAAGAAGGGUGGACAAUAGUGACCUAUAAGAAGACGAGAAAGCCAAGACCACAAGCUAUAAGGCCAAAGGGGGAGCAAGCGAGAAAGCACCACCGCCGCAACAAUAGGAAGCCUAAAAGAAGCAUAAGAGCUGCUAAGCCAACAUAUGUUGGGGAACCUAUGGAGCAAGAGCCACGUAUUCUCGUCUCCUUGCACGAAUACUUCCUAGAGGACUUCUUCCAACAGUGCACUAUCACUGCGUGUCACAUGGUCGAAGUAGAAAUAGAAGAACCUUCAGAAGGCAAAGCUGUCACCACUGAAAGGGAAAAGACUCUUACAACUAAAGAAGGUUUGCCAACACACCUUAGCAUCGAGGGAGCGCUCCGGUUGCCAAAGAAGAUGCGAAAAGCACUGGCAGCAAUCUUGGUAAGUCCUGACGACCAUGAAGGGCAAAAAAGCAAGAACGAAGGCUUAAAACUUCGGCCAUAUGAAUGUGCCACAUGCUGUGCCGCCGAGGACGCAAUCCACUUCACCGAUGAAGACUUGUUGCUAGGAUCCAAGCCUCACAACCGACCUCUCUUCGUCUCUGGGUACGUAAGGGAGCACAAAGUCAGUCGCAUGCUUGUAGAUGGCGGAUCAGCCAUAAAUAUCAUGCCAAAGUCAACAAUGAUCGCAAUCGGCAUCAAGGUGGAUGAACUAUCCCUAAGUCGUAUACUAAUCCAAGGUUUUAACCAAGGAGGACAAAGAGCGAUGGACAUGAUCCGAGUGGAGAUAACCAUUGGUGAACUCAAGUCAAGCACAAUAUUCCACGUGAUUGAUGCAAGAACUUCCUACGGUUUGCUCUUAGGAAUGCCUUGGAUCCAUGUGAAUGGAGUAGUACCGUCCACCCUUCACCAAUGCUUAAAAUUUUACCGAGAAGGAGUGAAGGUGAUCUAUGGCGACACCAAGCCAUUCACCGAAGCCGAAUCACAUUUCGCAGACGCCAAGUUCUACAUGGAUGAAGACAUGGUGCCCGAAACUCUUCCAAAAGAGAUCAAAUCCAUGGGCAAAGCAACACCUAAAAAGCAAGAGUGGCAAGUCGUGCCCAAGAAGCAAGAAGAAGAAGCUAUGCCAUCUUCAAGCAAAAACAACGAUGAGCUUGCGAAACCUGCAACAACCAGAGGGAGUAGGACGCCUUCAAAUGGACCAAACAUACCUGUUUUCUGAUACAUCCCGAUGUCGAGAAGAAAGAAUGGUCAAUCCCCAUUCAAAACUGCAGCAAGCAAAGCCGAUGCACAGCGGCACAUGGAUAACGUAAAGUUGCUUAAAACAAAUGCAGUUUUACCUCUGACACAGCUAGGCGACACUAAGGUUGCAAGACCAUCACAAGGCUUCAUAAAAGGCCUGCCAAAGGGGGUAGAACCAAGCUUUUUCCCAACCAAGAGGACCGAAGAAGGUUUUGAUCCAAAUGCCUACAAACUUAUGUCGAGAGCUGGGUACAACUUCACAUCAUCUGCAAAUUUGGGAAAGAAGGAUUUGAACACCGUCAAAGACAACAAACGUGAUCUCACUAAAACUCAGAAGAAGUUGAAGGAGCAUGGUUACGGGGUCAACGACAACAAAGCUGGACUUGGCUUCAUACCAAAUGCACCGGUGAAGAUCUCCAGCAAGGUAAAAAAUGCUAGCGCUCAACACAUCAGCGUGAGCAUUAUACAAGAUAAAAAUGAGCACCAACCUGCCCCCCAGACGUUAGUAUUCGAUAGAAUGAAUCAUCCAAGGCCUAAAGUUCCGGCACCUAAACUCAUUAGCAGUCAAAACAGAACUUCCGUCUUCAAAAGGCUUACACGUCAGCAUCUCGAAGCUCUGUUUUCAAAAGGUUGUCGAAACCUAAGAAGCAAAGCAAUACGACUAGCUUUCCUCCACGACAGUCAGUUAUGGAAAGACUUGAAGAAGCCAAAGAGCCUUCCAGAAAGAGAAAGACGACACCAGAAGUAGAAAAGAUCGAUCAUCUGGCAGAAAAAGAUGACGUUCGAAGUUCCAUUCCUUCAAGAAUGAAACGCCAAGCAAUUUUGGACGUUAACAUAGUUGGAUCAUUGAAAGUGAAAAGGCGCACCAUCAUCCACACUGGACAGUCUUCAUGCCAACAAACUCGAGAGGUCAACACCGAAGAAGAGACCCAAGACGUCUUCCAUAUCACAAUCCAAGAAGGUGAAGAAGAUGAAAUCCUCGAGGAAGAUGUCAUUGCAGUGCCAUCACAACUCGAAGAUGGGGGGCAAGCCACAGUCGACGAUCUCAAAGAACUCAACUUAGGCACAAGUAAGGAACCAAAACCUAUCUUCGUAAGUGCAUUACUAAGUGCAGACGAGAUAGAGAAGUAUUACCAGCUGCUAUUAGAGUACACGGACGUCUUUGCUUGGACCUACAAGGAAAUGCCCGACCUCGACCCUAUCAUUGCUGUGCAUCGUCUUGCAGUUAAACCUGGAACACGACCAAUAAAGCAAACUCAAAGACGUUAUCGAUCCGAGCUCAUCCCACAAAUCGAGGCCGAGAUUGACAAGUUGAUCGAAGCAGGCUUCAUUCGAGAGGUGCAAUACCCCAAGUGGAUCUCCAACAUCGUCAUAGUCCUUAAGAAAUCUGGACAAAUACGUGUUUGCGUAGACUUCUGAGACCUCAAUGAUGCUUGCCCAAAGGAUGACUUCCCCUUGCCAAUCAUUGAAAUCAUGGUGGACGCGACCACUGGCCAUGAGACACUAUCAUUCAUGGACGGCUCUUCUGGAUACAAUCAAAUUCGUAUGGCUCUUGAAGAUGAGGAACUAACAGCCUUCCGCACUCCAAAAGGUAUCUACUGCUACAAGGUGAUGCCCUUUGGUCUGAAGAAUGCUGGAGCUACAUAUCAACGUGCAAUGCAAAAGAUCUUCAAUGACAUGCUACACAAGAACGUAGAAUGCUAUGUAGACGAUGUGGUGGUCAAGACAAAGAAAAUAUCAGAUCACUUGAAGGAUUUGCGAGUAGUGUUCGAAAAGUUGCGAAAAUACAACCUCAAGAUGAACCCGUUAAAAUGUGCAUUUGGCGUCACAUCUGGAAAGUUCCUUGGCUUCAUUGUCAAGCAUCGUGGCAUUGAAGUAGACCAAUCAAAGAUUAAGGCAAUUCAAAGCAUGCCCGAACCAAGAAACCUGCACGAGUUGAAAAGUCUACAAGGACGGCUAGCCUUCAUCAGACUCUUCAUCUCCAACCUUGCAGGGCGUUGUCAACCGUUCAGUAGACUCAUGAAGAAAGAUGUUCCGUUCGUAUGGGACAAAACAUGCAACAAUGCUUUUGAAAGCAUAAAGAAGUAUUUAUCAAGUCCACCUGUCCUGGGGGCACCUGUACCAGGGAAACCGCUUAUAUUGUACAUCGCUGCUCAGGAAAGAUCAGUUGGAGCACUCUUGGCACAGGAAAACGAAUCCCAGAAAGAAUGAGCGCUCUACUACCUCAGUCGAACGCUCACCGGCGCUGAGUUGAACUACUCCCCAAUAGAAAAAAUGUGCCUUGCCUUGAUGUUUGCCAUCCAGAAGCUCAGACAUUACAUGCAUGCUUACACCAUCCACUUGGUUGCUAAAGCUGACCCGGUCAAAUACGUCAUGUCCAAGCCAGUUUUGACAGGACGACUAGCUAAAUGGGCAUUGCUUCUCAAUCAAUACGAGAUCAUCUACGUCCCAGCUAAAGCCGUCAAGGGACAAGCACUAGCAGACUUCCUUGCCGACCAUCCAAUCCCAGCCGAUUGGAAAAUCUCAGACAACUUACCUGACGAAGAGGUGUUCUACAUCGACAUAUUCCCGACAUGGACGAUGUUCUUCGACGGAUCUGCACGAGCAGACGGAGCGGGGGUAGGAGUAGUAUUCAUGUCGCCACAAAGUCAAAUACUAUCUUAUUCAUUCCAACUAAGCGAAUUAUGCUCCAACAAUGUCGCUGAGUACCAAACACUGAUCAUCGGGCUCCAAAUGGCAAUCAACAUGGAAAUCACAGCCCUUGAGAUAUAUGGCGACUCCAAGCUCAUAAUCAAUCAACUCCUGACUGAAUAUGAGGUGAGGAAAGAUGAUCUCGUCCCAUACUUCCGGCUGGCAACGCAAUUGCUACAAAGGUUUGAGGCCGUAACACUAGAACACGUGCCAAGAAAAGAGAAUCAAAUGGCAGACCCUCUCGCCAACCUAGCCUCAAGCAUGACAUUAGGAGAAGAUGAAGCUACAAACGUGCCAGUCUACCAAAGAUAGGUAAUCCCGCUUGUCACUGAAAUGGUAAUAAGUGAUACAAAUGUUAUUUCCAUACUUCCGGUCAACGUUGAAGAAUGGAGACAGCCUCUAAUCAACUACUUGGAGCAUGGAAUACUUCCAGAUGAUCCAAAACACCGCUCUGAAGUACGUCGGCGAGCACAUCGCUUCCUCUAUUACAAAGGGACACUCUACCGGCGAUCUUUUGAAUGAGUACUUCUGAGAUGCCUAGGCGAGGAAGAAGCCAAUCAAGCCAUGGAAGAAGCACACUCAGGAAUAUGUGGGGCGCAUCAAUCCAGACCGAAGCUUCAUUUCCAGCUCAAAAGAAUGGGUUACUACUGGCCAAGCAUGGUAAAGGACUGCCUAGAACACGCCAAAAUGUGCCAAGCCUGCCAAUUUCAUGCUAACUUCAUACAUCAACCGCCUGAACCAUUACACCCCACGGCUACUUCAUGGCCAUUCGAUGCAUGGGGAUUGGACGUCGUAGGACCAAUUGCGCCAAAGUCAUAUGCAGGAGAAGCUUACAUCCUGGCUGUAACAGAUUACUUCUCCAAAUGGGCUGAAGCCAUACCCCUGAAGGAAGUCAAGAAGGAAACUGUUGUCCGUUUCAUCAAGGAACAUAUCAUCCAUCAAUAUGGUGUGCCUCGCUACAUUGUCACUGACAACGGAAAACAGUUCUCUAAUCGGCUCGUGGACGAGCUCUGCGAGAAAUACAAGUUUAAGCAGCAUAAAUCCUCUAUGUAUCAUGCUCCGGCCAAUGGUCUUGCAGAAACAUUCAACAAGACAUUGUGCAACCUCCUGAAGAAGGUAAUCGGUAGAACAAAGAAAGACUGGCAUGAAAGAAUAGGCGAAGCACUUUAAGCAUACAGGACGACAUAUAGAACGCCUACCCAAGCUACACCUUAUUCUCUUGUAUAUGGCGUAGAAGCUGUUCUACCGCUCGAAAGUCAAAUCCCAUCGUUGAGGAUGGCUAUACAAGAAGGCUUGACUGACAAAGAAAAUGCAAAGUUACGCCUUCAAGAGCUGGAAGCGCUGGAUGAGAAAAGACUCGAAGCCCAGCAACACUUGGAGUGUUAUCAAGCACGACUCUCCAAGGCCUUCAACAAGAAGGUUCUCCCUCGUUCUUUUCAAAUGGGAGAUCUCGUCCUUUCAUUACGUAGGCCUAUCAUCACAACUCACAAGACAAAGAGCAAGUUCACGUCAAAGUGGGAUGGACCAUACGUAAUACAAGAAGUCUACACCAAUGGCGCCUACUUAAUCAUGGCAGAAGACGGCUUGAAGAUCGGCCCUAUCAAUGGCAGAUUCUUGAAGCGCUACUACCCCUAAAAAGGCAACAACUUCUGCUCCUGGCCCGCAAGAGCAUAAACUGUGUACGGCAAAAUCAUCAUCAAAAUCAUUGUUAAAUUCAUCACUCAUUUGAACUACGUUAUGACUUGAUCCAUCCUCAACAGAGGGUACGUAGGCAACUUGAAACAUCAAAACUUCAAGUACAGUCACACCAUUUAAAAAAAAAAAAGAUUGAAGAGCAAAAUUCAAGAACAUAAAUACUUUAUUUCUUUGAAAGAAGGAGUCGACUCCAAAGCCUUAUUACAACAAAAAAAAUACUACUUGAAAACUAUGUCCUUAAAACUACGAAGGCGCUCUUCAAGCGAGCCUUCCAAAGUCUUCAAAGUCUCUACAUCGGUGGGAGACAAGAUGGGCAACUCCAUAACCAUGCCUUUCUCUCGUUCUAGGCGCGAAAUCUCCUUUUGGUACUGAGAAAGUACAGUUCCCUGCUCCGCAAGAACACUUUCAAGUUGCGAUGUUUCGAUUACCAACUGCUCCCGCUCUCGCACCAAUGCAUCUAGACGCCCCUGGACAGAAGUUAAAGAGGCCUUUGUGACUUGAUAAUUUCCUGAAACAGCUUGCUGAAAAGACCGGACUUGAGCCAUUGACGAGUUUAUCAUUGCUAGCUAAUGAGCCCUAACAUCUGGACUCAACUUCUCCAAGGAAAUAGCACGCAAGGAAGAAUACUCAGUCGAGGCAGCCAUAAGUUCGGCAAUCUUGAUCUUCAAGGAUGAGGAAUCAACGUUAAGAUUGUCAAUCACAGAAACAAACUUUGACAAAUCCUCAUUGAGCAACGUAAGGUCUUCUAGUGGACACUUAGAAAUCCUCGCUUCAAUAUGGCCCUUAAUCUCCAUUGCCGCACCAAGACUGAUGCGAUGGAUGAGUCGCUCAGUACCGCUAAGGUUCGGCCCUCUCAAAGAGAUCUUAGAGCUAGCUAGCAAAAGUGUUGGACGCAUGACAAGUUCUUGCAUACCUCCACCUAUACAUGGCAAACUCGGGAAGUUCGGCGUAUUUGGAACAAUCUCUGCACCAGGCGGAUCCCCGAUCUCCCUGUCUGUAGGUAGGCCGCCUACAAAUAGCAUCUUCGUAUAGGAAUAAACAUCUGCAGUCGCCAAAUUAAAAUGACGGGAAGGCCCAACCUAAAGAAGGCAAAGAAAGAUGUUAGAAACAAAAGACAAAAUGAUAAAAGCAGAAGAAAUCGUGAGAGAAAAUAAAGUACAUACAUCUCCCUCAAAUGGCGCACGGUCAUUGAAUUGAGAAUGUCUAAACACUUCUUUCUUCUUAUGAUGAAAAUUGACAUCACUAUCAGCUUGAGCAUCCUCAAGUGGUCGCUUGUUUGAAACUUGUUGACGCUGCUGCAAAGUAAAUCCAUCUUCGUGCAAGUCACCUUCAUCUCCUACCUCUUCAGAAGCAUCCGAAUGUCGAGGAGACAAACAUGGGCGUUGAGGAGCUAAAGCUACAGGUCUAUCUUGUAAGGGAGCCGCACUCACGCAAUCAAGAUGCACCAGUCGCAUAGGAACCACAUGACAACCCUCUCUCAACAUAUCAUCGCCUGAGUGAGAAGAAUUGGUACCACUCGCCAUCCUCAAGUUCUUGUAAUGUGUCCUUAACCACCAGCGUGCGUAAACAUGGGUCACUGGAUUACUCUUGAACUCAUCCUUGGCUGGCAGCGUGAUAACAACAUUUGUGAAUGAACGGGUACAAGACUCCCAGUGUAUGUACACGCCUUGCAGGGAUGCCGAUUGGUUCUUUUCCUUCAGCUUGCCUGGCAUGUUUUGGACAAAACCAAAUUGCCUGCUGAAACGGUGGGGACUAUAUGGCUGAACAAUGCAUCGGUCUUCUUGCCGCGAAGAAACAAACCCCGAGCGAAGACUUAUAAGAUAAGACAAGUCUGAGAAACGGAGAUGCGAAUUGUCCACGAUACCUCGCCGCACUGAGCCAACCCUCGCUAAGGGGUCCAUCUUCAAACCUUCACAACUUUUAAAUAGCGCUCGCGCCUGCAAACCAUCAAGGCUCUUCGCGGAGAGUACACCUGAAUACUUCGUCAUCAAAGGCCUCAGUUUUGCUCCAAUCGAUGAAAAAGGCCUUGACUUGUCAAGAGUCGACAAAGAAAAAUGAGUGCCAAAAUAUUCACCCAACCAACCAUACAGAUAGUGGUAAGGAAGCACCGCAGCACGAUCUUCAGUGUUUGCCGAGUCCGAGACAAUGCUUAAUCCAUUGUAAAUGUUGGCUAAAACCGGAAUAGCAAGGCUAAAAGGCUCACCUGCAGCCAUCCUUCUAGCAACUUUGAAAACAAACUUACAAAGCCAACAAGCUAAAAAAGCAGCUAGGUAAGACUCCUCCACAUGCUUUGAUGCUAUACCAAGAUCCUCAAACGCUCUCAACUCGUCAGAAGAGCGGCACCUGGUUGAGCCAAUAACAUCGGACGGGUCUGAAUCUCCCUUUGGCCUAGUGGUCUUGUUACGACCAUUUUUCUUCAAAGGCUUCUUAUACCUCAUGGCCCCCCAGUACCAAAAUCGGAUCCACAAGGAAAUCCUCACGCCCGAUUCACCUUGAGCAUCUUGGAAAAGCUUGUGAUACGCCCAAAACAAACAACGACAACUCGUAGGCAAUCCUCGGCUAUUGCAAAGAGAAAGUUCAUCCGCGCUGGGAACAACCUCGUCAUAAAACCUACCUUGGAUCGGCAAACCUCCUAUCCUAUGAAGAUCCCAAAGUGAAAUUGACAUCUCCCCUUGCGUCGUGUGAAGUGUGUUGGUCGCUGAACACCAACGCUCAAAGAACGCACGAAUGACGAAAUGAUGGCAAUCAUAACUAAACAAAGAUGCGUACACAGCGUGGUAAAUGCCCACGUUAGUAAGCACAUCUUUAGAUUGACUUAAGACAUCUUCAAGCCACUCCCAAUACAACUCAUCAAAAACGACCUCUCCAACAGUCGACAGGGUACCGUUCCAAGCCAUAGCUCUGCUGCGAAUGUGAUCACCAAGAAGCUUAAACGUGGCCGAAUGAUUGUCACCAGCAUGGUGCGAAGGAUUCAAGAUAAGAAUAUUCGAGAUGCACGCCUUCUUCUUCGUAUCCGGUUGAAUAGAAUCUACCACCUCCCAAGAUACUUCGGAAAACCACGACUUAAUAUGCAUGGAGUUAUCUUUUGCAGGAAGAGCAAGCGCCUUAGGACCAGUCAGUGGCACAUAAAGCUUCAAUGUCGUUCCACUAUCUUGUGGAUCGCAUUCCUUCGCAAGAAUGGUGAUGGUGUUGUUUUAAAACACUUGAGAAACACCAAGACUGCAACGGAAAAGUCAGCCACAAAGCUUGAGCAGCACGGCAGCGCACCACCGAGGGAAAACUGUUAUCAAAAGGCACUACACAGCAAAUCCCCGCUGCAGUCUCUAUCACAGCACCACACGGCAAAGGCACCACCGAGGGAAAACUGUGAUCAAAGGGCACUACACAGCAAAUCCCCACUGCAGUCUCUAUCACAGCACCACAUGGCAAAGGCACCACUGAGGGAAAACUGUGAUUAAAAGGCACUACACAGUGAAACUCUGCUGCAGUCUCUGGCACAAGCACUAGGCAACCUGCUCACUCCGCCACCCACAAUCACACCUCUGAAAGCUUCAUGAAGGUCCUAGCAUCAUGCUCUGCCUUCUUAAAAAUUAAGGAUUCCUAACGUCACAGCAAAGAAAUCCAUCAGUGGGAGCACAAACACACUGUGCAUAAAAAUAGACACAUUAUAUGGUAUUAUAUGUGUGUGUGUAUAUGGGUGUUCGUAUAUAUUUAUAUAUGGCUUGAAAAGAUGCAAAUGGUGAUGAUGAUGGGACGAUUGAAGGAAUGUAUAUAUAUUCUGGCAUCCUAAACAGAUUAUGUAUAUAUGAGGUCCAAAAGAUUGAAAUCGUCCUCAACCUAAAACAUACCUAAAAACUUACUAUUGCUGCACCACAAUGUCACCCGUCUGCAUCCUCACUCUGCUCAAUCUUCCGCCCAUUUGCCAAGCAACAUACGGGGGUAUUUAUAGGAAAAAAAAAAAAGAGGGUGAUGAUUUAAAAAAAAAAAAAAAAAGAUGGUGCGGAUUGCACCAUCUGAAAAGGAAAAAAAAUAUAUAUAUAAAUAAAUAAAAUAAUAUAAAAAAUUAUAAAUAAAUAAAUAUAAAAAAAAGGGGGAUGGUGCGGAUUGCACCAUCUGAAAAGAAGAAAAAAAAUAAUAUAAAAAAAUAAAAAAAUAAAAAAAGGGGGAUGGUGCGGAUUGCACCAUCUGAAAAGAAGAAAAAAAUAUAAUAAAAAAAUAUAAAAAAAUAUAUAUAUAUAAAAUAAAAUAAAAUAAACAAAUAAUAAAUAUUAAAAAAAGGGGUAUUGUGCGGAUUGCACCAUCUGAAAAGAAGAAAAAAAAUAUAAUAAAAAAUAUAUAAAAAAUAUGUAUAUAUAAAAUAAAAUAAAAUAAAAAAAUAAUAAAUAUAUAUAUAAAAAAAGGGGGUAUGGUGCGGAUUGCACCAUCUGAAAAGAAGAAAAAAAAUAUAAUAAAAAAAUAUAUAAAAUAUAUAUAUAUAUAAUAAAAUAAAAUAAACAAAUAAUAAAUAUAAAAAAAACGGGUAUGGUGCGGAUUGCACCAUCUGAAAAGAAGAAAAAAAUAUAAUAAAAAAUAUAUAAAAAAUAUAUAUAUAUAGAAUAAAAUAAAAUAAACAAAUAAUAAAUAUAAAAAAAAGGGGUAUGGUGCGGAUUGCACCAUCUGAAAAGAAGAAAAAAUAUAUAUAUAUAGAAUAAAAUAAAAUAAACAAAUAAUAAAUAAAAAAAGGGGGUAUGGUGCGGAUUGCACCAUCUAAAAGAAAAAAAAUAAUAUAAAAAAAAAAAAAAAGGGAUGGUGCGGAUUGCACCACAUGAAAAAAACAUUGAGAGAAAUAAAGUCCAUUUCAUUGAUUUCUCUAGAAAAUUACAAAGGGAACAUUUACAUACCAAAAAAAAAAAAAAAAAAAAAAGAAGUGCAAACAAACAAAAGCCUUCAUUGAUCAAGUGGCGCCUCAGUACUCGGCGGAGCCCCAGAUCGGAGAGGCACCAGAGGGUGAUUAUUCAGAGCCUCAGUACUAGGCAGAACCCCAGGAGGAGUAGGCAUCGAAGGUUGAUCAUUUGGAGCUUCAUUACGCGGUACAGCCCCAGAAGACGAAGGCAAAUGUUGUUGGAACAAACCCACAAACCUCUGAUGAUCAAGUAAAAUUUGACCUAGGGGUGGGCACUUGGAACCGAAAACCGAAACCAAAACACGAAUCGAAUCAAACCGCACCAAACGGUUUGGUUUUGCGGUUUUGAAACGGUUUCGGUUUCAAAAUCGAACCGCGGCACACAAAACGGUUUGGUUUCGGUUUUGGGUUUUCAAAACCGCACCGAAACCGAAACCGCACCAUAUAAUAAAUAAAUGUUAUAUAACUUAUAUUUUAAACUUUUCAAGUAGGUUAUAACUUAUAGGUUUGUAUUAUGGCAAACUUAACCUUUCAAUUGGGUUGUAAAGUAUUGUCAUUGGUGAUCAAGUUCAAUUUUAGUAGAUGUGAUGCAUAAGGAUUUAAAGUUUAAACCCUUUGAUGCAUUGGAUGUUGUCUCAAUUUUAGUAGUUGUCAUUUGUUGCAGUUUUGGUACAAGUUUGGUACAAGUUAGCUGCACUUUUGGUGCAAAUUUUUGGUUCUGUUUUGUGCAGUUUUUUGGUGCUGUUUUGGUGCCGUUUUUGGUGCUGUUUUUUUAUGCAGUUUUGCUGCAUUAUUUUUUGGUGCAAUUUUGUGCAGUUUUGGUGCAGUUUUGUGCAGUUUUUGGUGCAGUUUUGCUGCUGUUUUUUAUACAGUUUUGCUGCAAUUUUACUGUAUAUUCAUUAAUUAAUAUACGAGGAAAAUAAGACCAUCUUAUGCAUAAAUAGGUGUAUAUUUUAAAUUGUACAUUUUUUUUCUCAAAAACCAAACCGAAACCGUUUGAAACCGCACCGCACUGAACCGAACGGUUUGGUUUCAUUUCGGUUUUGGCUUCAAAACCGCACCGCACCGCACCGCAAAAUGUUUCGGUUUCGGUUGUGGUUUCAUUCGAAACCGCACCGCGCCCACCCCUAAUUUGACCAUCAGAUUCCUGCAUCUGGUCAAUUUUCCUCUUCAUGUUUGUAGCAUAUUUAUGCGCGAGCCUGUGUAACUGUUUGUUCUCAUGCUUAAGCCCUCUAAUCUCCUGUUUGAGAUUCAUCACCUCAGCUGCCAAUGAUUCAACUUGACGGGUUCGAGCAAAUAGGCUUUGGGCCAUAUUAGACACAGAACCUGCACACUGCACACUGAAAGCCAGAGAAUCCUUAACAGCCAACUCAUCAGACCAUUUGGAAAGUAGUCUGUUAUCUCUGGGAGUGACAAGGUUUCGGGCCACCACCGCAGCGGUCAUAUCAUUCUUCACCACCGAAUCCCCAACGGUAAGAUGACCAGUAGGGGAUAUGAAGGAUGGGCGCCAUAUGUUGUCUGGAGAAGGCGGGACUGCCUCUUCACCAAGAUUCAAGUCAAAACGACGGUCGGAGGGUCCAGACAUUUUCAAAGUGUUGAAGAAAUAAGAGAUCAGACAAAUCAAGAUCUUAGAAGUGCAAGAAGGGAGUUUUCACAAGCGAAAAUUCAAGUGUGCUUUGAAAUAAACAGCGUGCCUCUAUAAAAAAUCAGCACUCGACGGGAUUUCAGAGAUCGAAGAGGCGAGGUCAGAAUUCGAAGAGGCCAAUUCAAAAAAUCAAAGAGGUGCUAGCUUUCUCAAAAGCUGGGCUUGCUCGGAAACCACGGGCGAUCUUCCUUUCCAGACUUGUCAGCACCCAUCACACGCAAACUCAGCUUUGCGAAAAUCACGGGUAAUUUGUCGAAGCGUCGAUCCCGGAUAUCGAAGAGGCUCCAGUCUUUUUCAGCCGCGUCAACACCUGUCAUAUGCACACUCAACUUUGCGCAAAUCACGGGCAAUUUGUCGAAGAUUUUCGGUGAAGGAGAAAGCACGUGAAGUUUACUGUUCAAUCAUCCAACGGUUACCGACAAGAGUGAAAGAACAGUACCGGUUAUUAAUCCAUAUAAAUGUCCACCUUCACCCCUCAUAGCAAGGCAGACAUACAGAACCAUUCUUCAUCUCCGAGAAUGCCUUCCCAACGAAUCCUCUCGGGUCACUCAGUGUUCCUUAUUCCUUGGGGUACCUUUGCAAACAAAUGACUCCAAAGCAAGAGUAUCUCAUAUCAUGCUUUGUCCUUGUCCUUUCCUUUGUCAUUGUUCUUACCUACAAAGACAAGGAUAAAGAAAACAAUAUGCCGGAACCUCCACUCAAACUCGGGUAAGGAACCGACUGCUUGGAACCCUUCCCUGAUUGCCUACCUAGCACUGCUCUCGAGUACUCGUUUCCCACUGCUGCUGUAUUUCCAAAGAAGCUGCCACAUCUGCCUGAAGAAUAGAUAAGGCAAGUGAAAAUGAUACCUUGCAGCAUGUGGAGACAACGUGCAGAAGAAACAAGUAGAGAAAAAUGCAACCUGCACAGUCAACUCAGCAGAAGGAGUCUGAGCUGAGGAACUCGAGAAGAUGCCACAUCUGCCUGGAGAACAAAUAAGGAAAUGCGGCAUGCACAAUCAACUCAGCAGAAGGAGUCUGAGAUGAGGAACUCAAGAAGAUGCCACAUCUGCCUGAGAAACAGAUAAAGGAAAUGAAAAUGAUACCUUGAAGCAUGUGGAGACAAGUGCAAACAAGCACAUGCUGAUUCAUCCGCUACUUCUUCAAAAUCAAAAGUAUCUCAUAUCAUCAAGGUUACAAUAACUCUAGACGGUGAAUUCGUUUUGACCCUCAAAUUCUUGGGUCGGCUUACUAGGCGUUGUGGGCUGCACGUGCCGAUUCACCACCCUUGAAUCAAACCCUUAAAGAUCAAGUCACCAACUGGAAGAAGAGCCCAACAAUCUUGAAGAUCAUACCGUUGACCAAACUGCUCAGGUGUGAAUUAGAAAGAUUGAACAAAGCAACAAGUCGUCACCUUCACCUCGUGCCUGCUUGCCAUGUGUUCGAGUCAUCCUCAAAAUCAAGCCUUAACGGCCCUUGAAGAAGCUUCCAACCAAAUUCAAGAUCAAGCAUCGACGACCUUUGAGGAAAUCACAAGUCCGAUUCAAGAUCAAGUGUCUACCACUCUUGAAUCAAAUCCAGUUCAAGAUCAAAGCUGUGGAAAGUCAACAAAGCGCAAAAACAAAUACAUGCCGAUUCAUCCACUACCAAAGCCAAAGAUCAUCUACCACAUGAAGUUCCUUGUGGUCCAAUUUCAACCUUUAAGAUCGAGCCUCGACGGCCCUUAAAGAAAUCUCCAGCCCAAUUCAAGAUCAAGCCUUGACGGCCCUUGGAUUGACAUCUACAGUAAGGGACUUCAAAACGCAUCUCCUACACGUGACAAGCACAUGUAUACAACGCGUCUUGAAGUGGGGGCAUUUGUAGACAUCGAAAUUUCGGUAAAUAAAUGUUGAUCGAUAAAUUAAAGUUUCAACGCUCAUGUAUUACCUAAAUUUUACACGUAGCGUGUGUCUAAACAAAAAAUCAAAAUAAGUUGGAAAAGUCAUCAAACAGGACACGUGUCAACACCUGGCAAAAACGACUUAUUUCAUCUGGAAUAUUAUAUUCAAAAUUAGGCCUUGGAAAUUUCUAUAAAUAGAAGGCUAAUUCAUUCAUUUGGGAGGACAAAAAAAUCAUUAUGCAAAAUUCUUGAAACUCUGAAGCUCUGAAACUCAAAAGCUCUCAAGCCUCCAGGUUCCCGAAGAAUCAAGAAAGUGUUUUUCGUUCUUCGUUCACCGUUCUUCCAAGAUCAAGCCCCAACGGCCCUUUGGAUCAACAAUCAUCCACCAAUUCAAGAUCAAGCCCCGACGGCCCUUGAAGAAAGUGUUCUUCGUUCUUCGUUCUUUGUUCUUCGUUCAUCGUUCUUCCAAGAUCAAGCCCCAACGGCCCUUUGGAUCAACAAUCAUCCACCAAUUCAAGAUCAAGCCCCGACGGCCCUUGAAGAAAGUGUUCUUCGUGCUUUGUUCAUCGUUCUUCCAAGAUCAAGCCCCAACGGCCCUUUGGAUCAACAAUCAUCUACCAAUUCAAGAUCAAGCCCCGACGGCCCUUGAAGAAAGUGUUCUUCGUUCUUCGUUCAUCGUUCUUCCAAAAUCAAGCCUCGACGGCCCUUGAAGAAAGUAUUCAUCGUUCAUCAACUGUUCAUCCUAAGAUCAAGCCCCAAUAGCCCGUUGGAUCAACAAUCAUCCAUCUUCAAGAUCAAGCCCAAAAGUCCUUGAAGAUCUGUUCAUCACCGUUAUUCAAGAUCAAGCCUCAACAGCUCUUGAAGAAACGCUCAUCCUCAAGAUCAAGCCCCAACGGCUCCUUGAAGAUCCGCUCAAAUCCACCUUCAAAAUCAAGCCCACGGCCCUUGAAGAACGUUCAUCCUUAGAUCAAGCCCAACGGCCCUUUGGAUCAACGAAACAUCCACAAAUCAACACCUUACGGAGAUCGAAUCAGAUGAUCAAAUUUGAGAGAGAUUGUAACCCAAAACCAUCAAAUACAAAUAUUUGUUUGUGCACGUUUUUCUUGUCUCUUUCGUUUCAGGAAUUUUCCGUGUUCACAGUAAUAUCUGAUGUCAAUUAUUGGAUAAAGGUCAAAUACGAGCUAUGGUUGGGCUCAGUGUUUUGGCGUCAGUUAAGAUUAUUGCUUUGGAGGAUACGUUUUGAAAUUGCUUUGAGAUGGAUAAGAAGUUUUAGGAUUUUUUUUUUUUUUUGUUUGGAUGGGGUAUCCUGAAUCUUGUGCAUUAGAAAUGGUCUAAUUGUGAGGAUUGCUUUGAAGGCAAUAUAUCAAGCCAAAGUUCCAAACUGUUUUCCAUGGUGAUUGAGGAAAAUUGAAGAGUUUGAUUGGAAGAAAAUGUGCAAGGUUCCAAUGUUCUAAUGUUCCAAUGUCCUUAAUUUUGCAAAUCUUUUGAACAUUUGAUAUUUUGUAAUGUUCUAACGUUUUUUUUAUUAUGCUCUUAUUUUGGAUAUGUAAAUAUAUACUUAAAAGAAAAAUGCGAUUUUAUGUUUUGGAUGUGACAAUAUGGUAUGUAUAUACUUAUUUAGUAUUAUGUUUUUCAUUUGAUUAUUUAUAAAAUAUAUUUUCCUUAACGGGUAACGGGUCGGGUCAUAUUACCUAUUAAUAUUAUUGGGUCGAGUCAUUUUACCCGUUUAUUUUAACGGAUGUUACACGACACAACCCGUUAGGCUAUCGGGUAUAACACGAACACAGAAAACACGACACGAAUGCCAAGUUUAAUUUUUUAGACCAAAUUUACAAAUCAUGUGAUGUAUCACUAAUAGAAAAUAAGUACGUUAAUCAAUACUUAAAUAAUGAUUCAAUCGUCAACAACUAUGUUAUAUGGUUUACGAAAUUAGUUUCUCUAGCAUUAUUUUUAAAAUAAUGUGUAUAAAGAGUAAGCUAAGUGUAGAAUAAAAUAAUAUGAAUUCAAAUAAAAUUUACCUAAUAUCAUUUGUAAGUCUUUUUUUUUUUUUUUUUUUGAGUUUUAAUGAAAAGCCUGCGGUACUAUUCACUUUAACUAAAAAUCACAUUUUUACACUAAAAAGUCAAACCUGGUACUAUUCACUUUAUCCUUUAUUUUGUCGUUAUCGUUAAAACUCAAAGUUUUCAAGCUUUUUUCAUUAGUUUUUCUUCUUUUUUUCACAUGACAUAGCGUUACUUGUUAUACUUAUACAUCAAUGUAAGUAAAUCAUGGAGGAAUAUGAAACUUCGACAAAAGUUACGGAAUCCCCUUCAAGACGUCUACAUAUACAUAUAUACAUACAUAUAUAUAUAUAUAUAGGCCCUUUAUCAAGAGAAUUCUCAUUUUUUUUUAAAAUAGAGACAUCCUCUUAACUGUUAGAUUUGGUUUUAAUGAAAUUCUGUGGUUGAGAUUAAAUCAUAAACCACAUAAUUUUAUUAAAAUCAAAUUUAACAGUCAAGAAGGGAUCCCUAUUUUUUUUUGAAAAAUAGAAAUCCAUCAUGUUAAGUAGUUCUAAUAUAUAUAUAUGUAUAUAUGUAUAUAUGUAUGUAUUGUGUUAGUUACACUGUUUUGCCAACAACAAUUCACACGUAAAGCUGGAAGCAAUAGAUUAUAGAUCUCUGACCUAGUUUGGGAGUGAGGUGCUUAAAAAAAAACACCCAUGAAAAAAAGCUGUGAGGGUUUUAGGUGUUUGGUAAACUGAAAAAAAAGGGCUUAUUUUGGAAGCUGCUGUGAGAAUAAGCUGAAAUCAAAGGAAAAAGCUGAAGCUGCUAUUUGCAGCUUUGGAAAACUGGCUUUUUUUCAAAGCACACGGAGCUAUAAUGCUUCUUUAAUGAAAAUACCCACUAUUAGACUGCUUUUUUUUUUCCAAAAGCACUUUUACAAAAAAGUUUACCAAACACUCUGCUGAUUUAUUUCACAGCCGCUUAUUCUCACAGCACAGCCGCUUAUUCUCACAGCAGCUUUUUUUCAAAGCACAGCAAUACCAAACCAGCCCUGUCUGGAUGGUCAGUCGUUGAAGUGAAUCCGAGAGACAAAAAGCGGGUCAUGAACAUUUUAAUAAUUUAUUAUACACCCAGAGGCUAGACCUAGUUUCAUAUUAGAUACGGGAGCAUUAUACAUAUGGUAAUAUGUAAACUUUUUCAUGAUGCAAUUAAAGCUUAUUUUUAGUUACGUCUCUUGAAAUUCGAUUUUAAUUUUAUUUUACUUCAUAUAACUCAAAAGUCAUAACUUUACUCUUUAAUAUUAAAAAAUCAUUUCAUUUUACCUUCUAAAGCUUAACUUUGAACCCAGUUUGCGCCCCCUAAAAAUUGAUAGUCUACAACUAAUUGGUAUAUACAUUUGAGUAUCACCUGAUAAAAAUAAGACAACAAUUAAUUGGUAUAUACAUUUGGGUAUCACCUGCUCAGUAUUAAUGUGAAAAAAAUCUGUAUCUUGCUGUCCUAAUCAUUUAUACGAAUCAAAUGACAUGGUCCAUAAUACGCGUUGGAGGAGGAAAAGUAGGUGGGAACACUGCUAGAGGGAGGAAAUUAGGUAAAAGUUUAAAAUCUCCUAGUGGAAGACUCCAUAACACGCGUAGCCGUUUCCAACUUUAAAUAUUUCAUUUUUUUUUUUUUGAAAACAUUAAAUAUUUCAUAUUUGGCAUCGAAAUUAUGGCUCCAGGUCCACUGUCCCGGACUCUAUGUCUCAUUUUUAAUUUUUUGAAGUAAAUUGUCGAUUUACCUCCUGAACCUUCAUCUAGCUUUCAAUUUCCCUCUUGAACAUUUCUAUUGGAAAAUUAAGGACUCAAACUAAUUUUUUUAGCCGAUUUGCCCCCUACCGUUAGUUUUUCACAUAUUUCAUCCAUAUUUCUGUUAAGUGAGACCAUGUGCACAACAUGUGAGGGCAGUUAAGUCAUUUCACUCUUAAAAAUGAUUAAAAAACUGAUAAUAAAUAAAAAAACAAAACUUUCCUUCUAUUUUUUCCUACUAAUUCCUAUCCUCAAUUUUAUUUUUCCCUCUCAUUCCUAUGCAUGAGAAAUGACAUAUGGUGUUAUUGUCUUCAUAAGUAGCUAAGUUAGUCUUUUUCUUGAAGCAUGUACUACAAAUGUAGCUAAGUUAUUGUUGACCCUAAAAACUACCAAGCCUACGUGGCGCGCAGGCCGAGUAAUUAAUAAGCUAACUACGUCAUUCGGUUGUGUGCGGGGGCGUGCCAACUCGACGGCCGAGCUCGGCCGGUGAGUAAAAUUUGUUGAUGUUGCGUUGGGUGAGCUGCUGACUUCUUGAUCUUGCGACUGCGGGUCGAGGAAGGAACACUAUCGGCCUUCGGGUUCUAUAGCCUGAAGACAAGGCUGCUAGUUCUGCGAAGUUCAAUAUCUAAUUCGGCUUUCAAUGUGUCGAAUGUAGUAACUUGUAACACCUCACUUCGCCGAGAAGGCUAAUGAGAUGACCUCUGCCAAUAAAGAUUCGAAAAUCCUUCUCGACCGAGACUUGGAUAGAUAACCAGUCGGCCUCGACGCAGUGCUGUUUAUCCAAACUGAAGGUGCUCUGCGGUCGACUGAUUCCACGGCAACAGUGCUGUUUAUCCAAACUGAAGAUGUUCCCCGGUUGCCUUCACAGUGUUGUUUAUCCAAACUGAAGAUGUGUUGGCGAAAAAGAAAAUAAAAAUCUCAAGAUGUUUGAGAGGUUUGGCAUAGAGCGAGGGUUUGCGCAGGGCAGUUUAUGUGUUGAGUUAGAGGUCCCUUUAACGUUGCAACGCACCUUGUAUUUAUAGCAUUCAUAUCUUCUACUGGGCACGGCCAGAUAAUUUUGUAGAGUCCAACUACAACUCUAAUUCCCGGAACCGAACUUGAUCCGCAUCAGAAACCAAGGCAUAUCCUUCAAAUUGAUCAGUGGGAUUCGUCCUUUGACUUUUCACCCAUCAGCUAAAUAAGCAACAACCUAUCUGAUGAGCUCCAUGGUGCUGGAAUCAAGGCAUGCAAGUUUAUCCAUCAGCCAUGUAUUUCAACAUGACUCGGCAAUAAAAAGGGCACGGUCUCUAGUAAUUUGAAUGCAAGUUUUACUCUUGAUCUAUCCAUAGAAACUGUCCUAGUACAAUCAUGCAUUAUCAAAGAAAAUAUCAACUUGAUCGCAUCUCCCCACCCUCCACGUGUUUACAUGUUGACUUACCAACUUAAUCUAAUCACCAUAUUCCAAAAAACAUCACGUGCAACAACUCCAUCCAUGAAUUCCAAGUCAAUUUGACUUGUACCACCCACUCGUUUAUCAAAAAUAGGACACGUAGGAGAUUGCAUGCAUUUGGGAAUUGAUACUCAAUCGAACUGAAGAUGGACCAAAUCAACUUUUUCCAAAACAACCAACUGGAUAUAUCAAAUAUUAGGUUUAAAUAUCCUAGUUAAUAUUAAGAGAUAAUAUUAUCAAAAUAUCAUUUCUCAAUAAUAACUAAAAAUCAUUCCUACCACUUUAUCAUCCAACGGUCUAAUAUUUGAUCAUUCAACGGUCUCGAUCGCUUAGGCCGAUAGUGUAAAAUCGGGUCCAAACAGUUAUAUACCUUAUGGAUGGUAAAAUCUCUUACGUUUUCCAACUUCUUAAGGAUCGUUUUGUGGAAUUAUAUUGAGAUUAUUAUGACAUUAUGAAAAGUAUGUAAUUAUCUUGAACAUUUUUUAUGAGUAUUAUGAACAUGUUUCUUAUAUUAAUGUCCUGCUUUUGAGACAAUAACACCAUGAGCAUUUGUCAAAUUAUUAAUUUGUUAGAGAAAAUAAAAAUGGUAGUACAUGCUUCAAGAAAAAGACUAACUUAGCUACUUAUGAAAACAAUAACACCAUAUGUCAUUUCUCAUGCAUAGGAAUGAAAGGGAAAAAUAAAAUUGAUGAUAGGAAUUAGCGGGAAAAAAAAGAGGGAAAGUUUUGUUUUUUUAUUUAUUUUCAAUUUUUUAAUUAUUUUUAAGAAUAAAAUGACUUAACUACAUUCACAUGUUGUGCACAUGAUCUCACUUAACAGAAAUAUGGAUAGAAUAUAUGAAAAACUUAUGGUAGAGGCAAUCGGCUAAAAAAAUUAGUUUGAGUCCUUAAUUUUCCAAUAGAAAAGUUCAGAGAAUAAAUUGACAGUUUGCUCUAAUUUUUUGACACGGGUCUCUUACUUGACUCAACAUCUGACACUGUUAAGUUUUACUAAAACUAAUUAAUAAAUAAAUAAAAACUAAAAACCCAGGCAUGGAGAGAGCCAUUCGGCUCCUCCGCCUCGCCAUCGCAAACCCAGCAAAAAGCAAAGUAGAAAAAUUCGAAAAUCAAGCUGAAGAAGAAGAUGACGAUGAUGGGUGAUGGAUUGGUGAAUAAAGAGACCGGCGAGAUCGGUGGUCGGAGCCCACACGUUUCUGCAAUUGGGAGCUAAACGGCCGGUGCUAUUAUUUUUUAGUUUGCUUUUUUUCCAGAUCUGGUCAAAUCAUGAUAGCAAUGUUAUGCAAUUUUCAAGAGAGAGAUGCACCUGGGAGAGAAACGGUACGGUGAAAAGUUGAACUGCAAGAUUUUUGGGUAUCUGGAGUUUUGGGGUGGGUCUCGGGAGUUUUCUUAUUGAGUGGUGAUAUUUCCACCCCGAUGUCUUAUUUCCCCACCCAUCAUUUAAUGAAAAUGUUAAUAACAUAUUUAUCCUUUUAAAAGAAGACUCUUAAACUCCUAUUUCAUUCAAUACUAAAAUUUUGAAAAGAUAAAAAAUAAUUUAAAAUAAUAAAUAAAUAAUGGUGGGUGGGGUGUGAUAUCUUUGGGGGAAAGAGGUUUGGAAAGGGUUAGAAUCGACCGGAAAGGUUGGUGGAAGGAAUGAGCGUGUACUUGACGAAGGCGAUAAACUUCAAUGGAGAAAAAAAAGAAUUGAGUGUGAGAUCUGCGGUUUUGACAAAAAAUGAGGAAGAAGAGUGGUUUGGGGGUCCAGGGUCUCUGUAGGGCGGCGAUAGGUGUGAAUGAUAUGAUAAAUGUCUAGGUCUUAGGUCUUGCAUUUUCUUUCAUUUUUUCUAUUUUUAUUUAUUUAAUUAUAAUAUUAUUUAAAGAUAUAUUAGAGUUAUUUAAAAAAAAUAUUAUGGUUAUUUUGGGAAUAAUGGUGGGUGGGGAAAUAACAUUUUACUUUUUUAAUUUUUUAUGGUGGGUGAGAUUAUCAUAUGGGUGGGAAAAUAGGACACUGGGGUGGAUCUAGUAGCACUCUUUCUUAUUUCUUUGAUUUUUUUAUAAUUUAUUUUAUAAACAGUAUCAGUGUUCUGUGGAGUUAAAUUGUAAAACACGUGUCAUCAAACUAAACAAAGAGACACCAAGGAGACAUGGAAUCCGGGAGAAAUUUUUUGUUGUGACAAGAAUACUGAUGUUACAUCCCGUGUUUUUAUGCUAGUGGUGGAAAAUUUUAAUUUUUAAGUUAUUAAUCUUUUAACACAAAUAACCUAUUAUUUAUAGAAGUAUACGUGGUAUACCACCUUGUUUGACAGUAAGUCGAAAAUAUCUCUCGGAAUGAAAAUAUCUCUCGGAAUCCGGGACAACAGACCCACAGCCGAAAAUAACACUCAUUGAGACAUCCCACGUGGAAAAAAGUUGACCGAGAUCUGAACUAGUAACAGAGCAAAACUAGCUCAUCCCCAUUCCCCACAAUCCAAACACUUUCAUCUUUGAGAUUCCUAUCCGUCGACGACACAGUUGUGACCAUGGCUGAGUUGGUGGGUGGAGCUUUUCUCUCUUCUUUCCUCUCUGUUUUGUUCCACCGGAUGGCUUCCCGUCCGGUCCUCGAUUUCAUCUCUGGGAAGAAAAACAACAACGAGCUGCUAAUGAGGGAGUUGAAGAUCAAGUUGCUCACUGCUAACAGGCUGGUUGACGAUGCCGAGGAGAAGCAGAUGACAAGCCCGACUGUGAGGGAGUGGGUCGACGAUCUCAAAGAUGCUAUCUACUGUGUAGGAGAGUUGCUGGACGAGAUCAACACUGAAGCUCUUCGACGCCAGCUGGAAGGUGACGAUGACCAUUCUCCUGCAGCUAGCAGCAGCACAAGCUGGAUCUCGAGAUCAGUAUUCAAGCCUUCUUCUGCGUCCGAUGAAUUUCACAACUCUCUUGAACCGAAGAUAUCAAAGGUUCUGCGCGUGUUAGACCUCAUUCUCAAUGAAAGAGACGCUCUUGGUCUGAAAGAAGGAGUUCAACAUAGACCACAAGAAAGAAAUCGUCAAACUACUUCACGGGUCGAUGAGUCUGGCGUCUUCGGAAGGGAAAAGGACAGAGAAACGAUUCUUAAAUCAUUGCGUUCGAAUGAUACUGCUGGCGCUAAGAUAGCAGUUCUUCCCAUCGUGGGCAUGGGAGGGAUCGGGAAAUCCACCCUUGCUCAACUUGUGUACAAACAUAUCAAGGAUGACUUUGAUGUCCAAGCAUGGGUUUGUGUCGGAGAAGAAUUUGGUAUUCUUCAAAUAGCACAAACAAUAUAUGGGAGAAUCAUAGCUCAAACUUGCACGAUCACAGAUCUGGAUCUGCUUUCUGAAAAAUUGGAGAAGGUUUUGACAGGAAAAAAGUUCCUCUUCGUUCUUGAUGAUGUUUGGAAUGAAGAUUAUGAUGAUUGGAAUAACUUGAUGACUCACUUCAAUAGUUGCGGAGGACAUGGAAGUAAGAUCAUUGUCACAACACGCCUCGGACGCGUUGCAUCUAUCACGGGGACUCUUUCAACACAUUAUCUACAGAUAAUAUCUGAGGACGAUUCUUGGUUGUUAUUUGCAAAGCAUGCGUUCACAAAUGCCAGUGUUGUUGGCGCACAUCCGGAGCUUGAAGUCAUUGGAAGACAAAUUGUUAAGAAGUGUCAAGGCCUUCCCUUAGCUAUAAAAUCAUUAGGGGGUCUAUUACACUCUAAUUCAAAUCCGAAGGAAUGGGAAAAGAUAUUGAAGAGUGACUUAUGGAAGUUGUCGAACGAUAAGAUUUUGCCGGCUUUAUGGUUAAGCUACUAUUAUCUUCCACCACAUCUCAAGCGUUGUUUUGCUUAUUGUUCGAUAUUUCCAAAAGGUGACAAAUUUACAAAAUCAGGGUUGACCUUAUUGUGGAUGGCCGAAGACCUCAUACAAUCCAAAGAGGAGGGCGUAUUGGAUCCGGAAGAAGUUGGAAGUGAUUACUUUGACAUUCUAUUAUCAAGGUCUUUCUUUCAACAUUCAGGUGAAUUAUGGGGUGAGUCAUAUUUCACCAUGCAUGACCUUAUCAAUGAUUUAGCAAAGUUUGUAUCUGGAGAGUUUUGUUUGAGAUUGGAGGAAAUUCAGCCGCCCAACAAAAAUUUAUGCAAAACUCGUCACUUUUCAUUCAUGAAAUUUGGAGGUCAUGACAUUCAGAAAUUUGAGGCGCUGGAUGAGGCUAAGCACUUGCACACCUUUCUACAACUUGAAUACGUACCAGACUGUUGUGGUAAUAAGUUGGCAUUGGACUACACACUUGUUGAUUUAUUACCAAAUCUACCAUAUUUAAGAGUGCUCAAGUUAUCUGCUAUCGGUGAGUUGCCUAGCUCAAUUGGCAACUUAAAACAAUUAAGGCAUUUGGAUGUGUGUGAGACUUCAAUAAGAGAAUUACCUGAGACGGUGUGCACCUUGUACAAUUUACAGACCUUGUUAUUGUUUGGUUGUCAUCGUCUGAUUCAACUACCAUCCAAUUUGAGAAGGCUAAUCAACUUGCGCCAUCUUGAUAUCCGUGACACAGAGAUUCAAAAGAUGCCUGCAGGGAUGUGUAAUUUGAAAAAUCUCCAAACAUUAAGCCAUUUUGUGGUGGACAAACAAACAGCUCAAAGGAUUGGAGAGUUAAAAGAACUUCAGCAUUUGCGCGGAACACUUCACAUCUUAGGAGUUGGUAACGUUAAGGGGAAUGCUUUGGAGGCAGAUAUCAUGAGCAACAAGGAGUAUCUGGACCAACUUGUUUUGACAUGGGGAAGAGGUUAUGAUGCUAGUAAUCAUGAUCCAGAAAAUGACAGAGAAGUGCUCAACAAGCUCCAACCUCAUACAAACCUCAAACAACUUGAGAUUAUGUCUUACGGGGGUUUAAGAUUUCCAGGUUGGUUAGGAGAUCCAUAUUUCUCUAAACUAUUUUCUAUUCAACUUACAGUUUGCAAACAUUGCUGCUUAUUGCCACCACUUGGGCAACUACCCUCCCUCAAAGAGCUUCAUGUUCGAUGGAUGAAUAACGUGGUUGAGAUUGGUAGCGAGUUUUACGGUAAUGAUACUUGUGGGAUUACUCCAUUUAGAUCUCUACAACAAUUGUUCUUCAUAGAUAUGUUGGAGUGCAAAAAGUGGUCAUAUUACGAUGGAAGCAGAAGCAACACCACAAUACUGUUUCCUAAUCUUCGUGAGCUUGUACUGAGCAGAUGUCCCAAGCUAACUGAGAUAGUACCGUUGGAGAAGCUGCCAAGGCUUGAAAGCGUACAAUUGUGGGACCUGGAAUCCUUCAAUGGUUCACUUGCACAUGUGGAAUCUGAAUGCCCUAAAUUCCUCUCCCUCGUUCACUUGCGAAUAG